UUGGAGAAGUUCAUAUUUUCAAAAGUUGUCAAGAACUAUUCACUUAGUUGGAAGAAACUUCAAGAAAUUGCUAUAGGUAUAGCAAAAGGAAUUGAGUAUCUUCAUCAAGGUUGUGAUCAAAGAAUCCUUCAUUUUGAUAUCAAACCUCAUAAUAUUUUACUUGACCACAACUUUAAUCCAAAGAUUUCUGACUUUGGUUUAGCCAAAUUGUGCUCCAAGGAACAAAGUGCAGUCUCUAUGACAAUUGUAAGGGGAACAAUGGGCUAUAUCGCUCCAGAAGUGUUAUCUAGGAAUUUUGGGAAUGUGUCUUAUAAGUCAGAUGUUUAUAGUUUUGGAAUGUUGUUACUUGAAAUGGUUGGAGGAAGGAAGAACAUUGAUGUUAGUGUGGAGAGUACUAGCCAAGUAUAUUUCCCAGAAUGGAUUUAUAAUCAUUUGGAUAUAGGGGAAGAAUUGCAUAUUCGAAUUGAAGAAGAAGGAGACGUUGAAAUUGCAAAGAAAUUAGCAAUUGUGGGACUUUCAUGUAUUCAGUGGUGUCCAGUGGAUCGUCCUUCCAUGAAAAUUGUGGUUCAAAUGUUGGAAGGAGAAGGAGACAAGUUAACCAUGCCUCCUAACCCUUUUGCUUCAACAGUUCCAACAAACUUGAGCAAGCCAGGUAGAGUUUUUCAACAAGAGUUGGCAAUAAUUUCAGAACUAGAGUAAAAAUAAUUGUUUAUAUGUUCAACUUAUUAUGAAUGUAUAGUUUAAUAAAAAUUCAUAUUGUAGUUGUUCAUCAUCAUAGCAUCUUUAUUUAUAUUUCUGUUAAUUGAACAUAUGAUUGUAUAAAAUGAUUAUACUAGUGGCUCAAUUGAUGUUAGAUUCCAGAAGUUCUUAUUCCCAUGUAAUGUAUUUCUUGUGUAUUAAAUUUUAAUGAAUAUGUCCAAGAAUAUUCUCGCAACCCAAUUUAUAGUUCAGCUACACACAACUCUAUAGAUCACCUUUCAAUCAAGUAAGAGUAACUAAUGUCCAUCACAUUCAAGAUAGAAAGUAUUGCACGAAAUAGUAAUAGAAUUAGAUCUAGGAAACUUGAAAAUAAGAGUCCCAUCCACUACACCUAUAUAGAGUUUCUUUUGUUUCUUUUUUCUUCUUCUUCUUUUUUCUUUUUUACCUUUACCACUUUUUUAUUGGAUUGAGAAGUAAGCCUAAUUAGUUAUGUAAUCACUAAAUUAUACUGAAUGGUGAUGGCUCGUUGGAGAACUUUGCAUCGAAUAAAAUGGAGAUCGAUUUCGAUGUGUUUUCUCCUUGCAUGAAACACUGGAUUUGCUGCUAGCUAAGUAGCACUUCGGUUAUGACACCAUAUCAAUGGUGAAGAUAAGGCAUGUAUCCUAACAAUAAAGGAGUUAGAGAGUCAGGUGAAUGCUUGAUCUUGAACUUUAUCAAUACAAAUUACCAAUGGACCAUAUGUACUAGACCACGAAAAAUAUUAGAUUGUGGGAGAAAUGAACCAUAUGAUAUGUGACCAUGUAGUAAUCAUUGAGAAAGGAAAAAAACAUGGACUCAAUAGAUUAUUUAAUAAUAAUAAUAAUAAUAAUAAUAAUAGACUCAAACUCUCUCAAUAUAUGGUAUAUAUUGUUUAACCUAAACAACAAAAAGCCUAGUGGCUGAGGACCUUGUCUUAGCCGAGAGGUCUGAGGGUUCCUCCAUGUGUUUAAGAUUAAUUGCAUUUAGGCCAGAACAUCAAAUCAAUGGAACAAUCUACUUUGUUUCACUAGGCCAAGCCCAAUGGUAGGUCCAUAGCCAGAGCUUGGAUCAUGUGCUAGUCAGGCUGGGUUAGGCCUAAUACAGACCUAAUUUGAUCAUGGCAGCCCAAUAAGAUAAUGGAUUCUUUCCUAGCUACUUACAAUCAAUAUUUUUCUUUAUUUUCUUCAUAUUUUUCCAAGGAUAUGAACCUAAAAAUACAAAGUAAUACAAUUGCUAUUCAAGCAUUCCUUUGGGAUAUGGAAAUAUUUAAUAAAAGAACAUUACUAAGAUUAUUGAAUAUAGAUGAUUUUCUUAAUUUAUUUUUUCAUAUCCAAGUGGACCAUACUAACCCUAAAUUUUCCAAGCAAUUCAUCUUUAUUUCAACUCUCAAUAAUUACAAUUGUGUAAAAAACUCCAUAAACAUCAUUUUUCUAGUUUUAAUAGUUAUCCACAUGGAUGACUUUUCCCUUAUAUCUAAGAUGAGAAAUUAGAUGUUAAUGGUCAAUCGAAUCGCCGAGUGUUAUCGUACCUACCAAUUGGAUCACUAUAUACAAUGGUAUAGAAUAAGGAUAGAGGUUUCUCCACAUUCCUUUUACAUAGAGUUUCAUUUUUAUUUUAGUUUUUGUCAUAAAAUAUGAUGAAUUUGUGUCUGAGGGAGUCAUGGAGACAGCAAGUUAUUAUGAAACAUAGUGUAACUAUGAUACAUAAUAGGGAUUAGAAGGGUAUGUUGGAAUUUCCACUACAAGUUAGGAUAGAGUUAGCAGUAGAAUUGGUACUACCUCAAAAGUAAAAAUGUAGAAUACAAGAAAGAAACCAAAAGAUAAGGUUGAGGCCUAGCAUAAAAUUAAUUAGAUUAAAAUCAUAUCACAUGAACAUGUAAUUUAGCAUUUUUUUUUAAUUCCAAGAGCAUAACAAGCUAAUUACUUUUUUUCUUAAUUUUUUAUAGGUGUAUCGAAGAAAAUAAUUGUGACAGGUAAUAUUCUAUUCAUACAUAUUUUAUUAUAGAGAUAAAGAUUCUUAAUUUGGUUAUUUUAUCUAUUUAUUUAUAUAAAAAAGUUUAAGUUUUCUUCUUCUUAUGUACGCAAGUGCAAUCUUUGGUUUCUUUCUUCUCGUGUUAGUGAUUAUUAUGCUUUCUCGUGUCUAUAGCUCAGAUAAAGUAGAAAGAGAUAAUAGAGUAACGUUUAAAAAGUUUCUAGAAGACUAUGAAGCUCUCAAACCCUCAAGAUACUCCUAUGCUGAUGUUAAAAGGAUUACAAGUCAAUUCAAAGAUAAAUUAGGCCAAGGAGGAUAUGGAACUGUGUACAAAGGAAAGCUUUCAGAUGAAGUUUUUGUUGCAGUAAAAAUCCUUAACAAUUCUCAAGGAAAUGGGGAAGAGUUCAUCAAUGAAGUGGCAAUAAUGGGUACAAUCCACCAUGUUAAUAUAGUUCGCUUAAUUGGAUUUUGUGCUGAUAGAUUUAAACGAGCUCUAAUUUAUGAGUACUUACCAAAUGAGUCAUUAGAGAAGUUCAUAUUUUCAAGAGCUAUUAAGAACUAUUUACUUAGUUGGAAGAAACUUCAAGAAAUUGCUAUAGGUAUAGAGAAAGGAAUUGAGUAUCUUCAUCAAGGUUGUGAUCAAAGAAUCCUUCAUUUUGAUAUCAAACCUCAUAAUAUAUUACUUGAUCACAACUUUAAUCCAAAGAUUUCUGACUUUGGUUUAGCCAAAUUGUGCUCCAAGGAACAAAGUGCAGUCUCUAUGACAGUUAUAAGGGGAACAAUGGGCUAUAUCGCUCCAGAAGUGUUAUCUAGGAAUUUUGGGAAUGUGUCUUAUAAGUCAGAUGUUUAUAGUUUUGGAAUGUUGUUACUUGAAAUGGUUGGAGGAAGGAAGAACAUUGAUGUUAGUGUGGAGAGUAGUAGCCAAGUAUACUUCCUAGAAUGGAUUUAUAAUCAUUUGGAUAUAGGAGAAGAAUUGCAUAUUCGAAUUGAAGAAGAAAGAGAUGUUGAGAUUGCAAAGAAAUUAGCAAUUGUUGGACUUUCAUGUAUUCAAUGAUGUCCAGUGGAUCGUCCUUCCAUGAAUAUUGUGGUUCAGAUGUUGGAAGGAGGAGACAAGUUAACCAUGCCUCCUAACCCUUUUGCUUCUACAGUUUCAACAAAGACAAACUUGAGCAAGCCAAGGAGAGUUUUUCAACAAGAGUUGACAAUAAUUUCAGAAGUAGAGUAAAAAUAAUUGUCCACAUGUUCAAAUUAUUAUGAAUGUAUAAUUUGAUAAAAAUUCAUAUUGUAGUUGUUCAUCAUCAUAGCAUUUCUAUUUAUAUUUUUGUUAAUUGAACAAAUGAUUGUACAAAAUGAUUAUACCAAAAUUGAUGUUAGAUUCCAAAAGUUCUUGUUCCCAUGUAAUGUAUUUCUCCUGUAUGAUAUUUUAAUGAAUAUGUCCAAGAAUAUUCUCACUGCCCAAUUUAUAGUUCAACUACACUUGACUCUAUAGAUCCACCUUUCAAUCAAGUAAGAGUAACUAAUGUCCCUCACAUUUAUGAUAUAAUCAAAUCUAUGAAGCUUGAAAACAAGAGUCUCAUCCAUUAUACACAUAUAGAGUUUCUUUUGUUUUUUUUUUUUUCUUUACCACUUUUUAUUGGAAUGAGAAGUAAGACUAAUUAGUUAUGUAAUAACUAAAUUAAGUUGAUCCUUCAGUUAGACCAUAUUGCCCAAUAACUUGAUAAAACAUAUAAUAUUUUACUUUGCACAAAGAAACAAGAGUUUCCAAACAAAUAUUUGGCCUUUAAUCCAUGACUACAGUUUUAUAAAUUUAAGCUUAAUUCUCUACCAUCAUUUUCCUAAAUAUUGCAUUAAAAAUUGAAUUUCCUAACUAAAAUAACUACUCUUGAAUUUUAAUUCCCUUAUUCACCUUUUUAGCUAAGAAAACAAACUUCCUUUUACAAAUAAUAAUUGUUGCAAAUUGGUUAAAUUGUUAAAUUGGUUAUAUUUUGUUGUUACUAACUAGAUUGCACCAAGAAGGAUGGGGUGGAAUUUCACAUUAAGCCACUACAGGAGUCUUUUUCAAGGAACCUGACACAACUAAAUUUGAUCUCAAAAGUAAACCAAGAGAUGAAUUAAGAUCAAGUCUAAAAUUUCAAAAGGAGUGAAAAAAAUGUCAAAGAAAAACACUUACUUAUUGUAUAAACAUAUAAUAUAAUUUAUUUUUAUGAAUAUCUAGCCUCCAAGCUAGUUUAACAACGUCUAUCUUAUCUAUACAAUUUUUUUCAUGGAAUAUUAGGUAUCAAUCAAUGAAUUUCUUACUUAUUGUAGUACAAAUCUUAUCAUCUUUUUUUCGAUACCGAUUAUGACAAUGAAUGGCAAUUGGUACUUAGUCUCUCAAACUUGAUUGGUUUGGCCCAUUAGUUCUUGAAAUGCGAAGAGAAACUCAUGUAUGUAUCAUUUUUUAUGUGAGGGAGUGCAACUUGGACUUAUGAAAGAUCAUUUUUUGUUUGUAAUUGUAUAUCUUUCUCUAUAUACCCACCUUUGGAGUAACUAAAAUAAUUUAUAUCAAGUGAUUUUUAAACAAUUUUCUUUUUCUAAGAGUUUCAAUUGGGAUUCUAUCCUUGUGGAAUUUGCUUCUACAUUUCUGGUGAAACCCAAAAUGGUAUAUGUUAGGAAUUUUAAGCUAAUCCAACCUAUGGUAAUCACCCUAAAAGGGGGAGGAGGGGUGAAUAGGGUGAUGGUCUCUUUUUGCAAAUUUAGACUAAGUGAAAGUAAGAAACAUUUAUAUGCAAGUAUAUAAUAAAUAAUAGAAGGACAAUUGCAUAUAAUUUAAAAAAGUAAGGAAGAGAGAAUGCAAAUAGAAGAUUUUAUAGUGGUUUGGCGCAACCCAGCCUACAUCCACUCUCCUCUAGCUUCAAUCCCGAGCUUGAGGUUCCACUAAUUCAAGGCUUCCAAACCAAGCCUUCAAGCAAUACAAUUGGAUUAUGGUUCCAAUUCACCCUCUUGGACUUUUGGCUCCAAGCACCCUUUAUACUGCUCAAGAGAUAUCCCACUCUUGAACAACCCCUCAAGUGAUACCACACACUUAAGAAACUUCCUCUCAAAGAUUUACAAAUAAAUGAUCUCACAAAAUCCUAACACAAAACUUUUAAGCUCAAAUGAUACAAGAAAAACUAGGAUUGAAUGGUGCACUAAAGAUAUGCAAGUUUUAGAAUAAUGGUGCACUCAAAAACACUCUUCCAAGGCUUAAAUAUAUUCAAGAAAUGUUUGGAAAGGUUAAGCUUAUGAAACAAUAAAGAUUGGAGCCUUUUUAUAGAAGAAAAAAAACUAAACUAGCCGUUGGAGGUUCAACCGAUCGAGCUAGGGGUCGACCGGUUGACUAACCGUUAACAUUUAAUGUUGGCAGGUGCCCGUUGGGCCUCGACCGGACCUCAACCGGACCUCAACCUGUUGAGCUUCAACCUUGACCGAUUGAACAAGCGUUUUGGAAAAAAGAGAAAAUUUUUGUACCGGUUGACCAGUUACUGUUCAUGGGUCAACCGGUUACUGUUUAUGGGGUCAACCGAGUGCUGUUCAUGGGUAGACCAGUUACUGUUCAUACCUCAACUGGUUGAGCUAGGGGUCGACCGGUUACUGUUCAUCCAGUUCACCCGGUUGAGGCGUUUUUGGCUCAACAACCAACUUUUUCAACUUAAAACCUUUUAAACAAGUUUGAAACAACAUUUGACACAAGGUUUUAGUUGAAAACAUGAAAUCAUCCAAUUUUAAAAAUAUUUAAAACAAAAUAACUCUUGGAUGAUUUAGGUGCAUAAGUAAAGAAUGUAAUGCAUGAAAAUCCUAGUGCACCAACAACCUUACAAAGAGAUCUUAUGAAGCUUUGGUCUUGAAAAGCACUUCUCUUUGAGGUGGUCUUCUUCUUCAUGAUUUCUCUUUGGCUUGAAUUGUCUUUGUGAUUGCCACUUUGGAAAUCGUCUUGCCUAAUCACACUUAAAAUAUAGUCAUUAGUUCUAAACCUUAUUUUGUUAUGAUCAAAACCGAGAUUAACCAAACCUUGGUUUUACAGUAUCUUUUGCAUUUUCCCAUUUAGAAAAAAAAUUGUCUUUAAUUAACUAAGUAAAGUUGUCCAAAAUCUUGUUUUGAUUUUUAUUAAUUUCUUCAUCAAUCAUAUGAUAAGUUUUUCUUAUGAAUUUACUCUUAAUAAUAAGGAAACAGUGAGUUCUCUAGAGUAUUUCAUUACUUAAUAGGAAAAUUAAUGGUAAAAAAGGAAAACUAAAGUUGUAAGCCUCAAUUUCUCAAAUGUGAUUUGUUUAAUUUAUCUUAAAACUAAAUAAAUUGUAGUUUGACUGAAGUUUAAAUAGAACUUAAUUUUAUUAAAUAUUUUAUAAGACUUAAGUUAAAAGAUAAGCAUGACUUUAAUUCAAAAUUGAGCUUAAAAGUAGUCUAUUGUAAAAAUAUCCCAUUGAUCAUGAACCAUUGAUUACAACAUUUGCUAACCAUACAUUCAUAAAUAAUAAUAAAAAAGAAUUUUAUUUUUUCACUCUAAUUAUAAGAUGAUUGUAAAAUUAACUUGUAAAUAGGUGAAUGUUAGCCUAACUUGUUUUUGACCAUUGAAACAUUAAUGAUUAUUGUGCAUAGGUUAUUAGUUUUAAGAUUUCAUUGAAAUUAUUUGCUUACAAGGGGGUGACACCAUGACCAAACAGAACAAGGGAAAGGAGGGUAAACUUUAUGUAGAGAAAAUCAAUAUAGAAAAAUAGUAGAUUAAGAGGUUUGGGUUUAAAUUUUGCUUUAACUAUUGUCUUAAUUGGUUGGAGGUUUCAAUGAAGGACCAUACACUCAUUACAUACUAUAAUUUCAUCUAGAUUGAUUUGAAGUAGGAUAUAAGAUAAUCAUAAAAUUAUGACAAAAUUUAUUUUACAAAAAAAUAUUUUUAGUAAUUUCAAUCCUCACCUUAAUCAACUUCCAUGAUCUAUGUUUUUUUAUGAAAUAAUAGGUUUCUAGGUAAGAUGUGGAAAUGUGUACUUCAUGUUUUAAUUGAAUCAUAAUUUAUUCAUGACUUCAUAGAAUAAGGCAUUUGUUAGGACCUUGGCACUAGUUUAAUGUAUUUUCCCUUUUAUAGACUUUUUUUAAUAGACUUGUUUUUUUCUCUUUUUAUUUUUAUUUUUUUAUAGAAUAACGAGUAUGAAUGUGUCAUGUCUACUUUUAGUAGCAUUUUUCAAAAAUGAAUUUUGAGAAUAGUCCUAUAAAAUAGUUCUUUAUUAUUUUUAAGAAAAAAAAAUAUUUGCAAACUUAAUUUGAAAAAUAGUUUUCUCAUUCUAUGUUUCUUGAAAGUGCUAUACUUUUAUGUACAAUGUAAUAUUUUGAGUUCACUCUUUAUAUAUAUCUCUCAAAGUGGUUAUGGGUUUAGCACAACGAUCCCUUGAGUAAUAAUUGGUGGAAGCAUUGGACAAAUUAUCUUUUGUUCUUUUUUAGUAAUUAUACAUCUAUAUGACAUAUCCCAUCUCAGAUUAAUUAAAAUGACUUGUCUCCUUUCUUUGUGUGUUUUAUUUCUAUAUCUUGUAUUUUCUAAUCCAAGACCACACUUUUGUAAGAAUUAGCCUUCAUCCGACUCUAGAAUGCUUUUCAAGUAUUCAUGGGCACCAUGUUACUCAAAAUAAUUGAUUUAAACUUUAGUAUCUAAUAGUAGCAUAAAUUAUUGCAUUUCCAGAGAUAAAUUGAAAUUGAAAUUGAAAUUUCUGGAAAUAAAAGUACCAUAUUAUUGCAUUUCCAGAGAUAAAUUGUUUUUAUCCAGAGAGAGACUACUUUAGUAUCUAAUAGUAACAUAAAUUAUUAUUGAAACUCACUUUAUUUGAUCACUAUUUUCUUACUAUUUCUAAUCCAUGACAUAUUGCACAGACUAUCUAGCAUCUAACAAUUACCAACUUGAGUUUGUCCAGUGAUUGCAUUUCAAGUGGCAGUUUAAUAUUUCAGUCUUCAAAUUGAUAAAUGGUAGUUUUUUCAUUCAUACUUUCAUUCGUUCAUGUACAGAGUAUAUAUAGAGGGUAAUCACCAUUCUGAGAAUGGGAAAGAAUGAUACAAGGAAAGAAUGAUAUAAGGAAAUAACAACUAAUAUCCUAAUAUGUCAACUUUCCUAAUAUUUCAAUAUUCCUAAUAUCUCAAUAUUCCUAAUAUUUCAAUAUUCAUAAUAUCUCAACUUUCCUAAUAUCUAAACAUUCCUAAUAUCUCAACACUAAAUGAUAUAAGGAAAGAAUGAUAUGAGGAAAACAUUCCUAAUAUCUCAACACUCCCCCUCAAGUUGGUGCAUAGAUGUCAUACAUGCCCAACUUGUCUAAAAAUUUUGAGAACACUUGACUUGAGACAGCUUUGGUAAGGAUAUUGGCCAAUUGAUCUUCUGAUCGAAUCUUAGGCAAUUCCACAAUCUUAUCAUCCAACUUUUCCUUAAUGAAGAAUCUAUCCACGUCGACAUGCUUUGUACGAUCAUGUUGUACUGGAUUAUGAGCAAUGUCACAUGCGACUUUAUUAUCACAAAACAAUCAGAUUGGUUGCCUAGAUAAGUAACCUAAAUCCUGUAAGAGGAGUCUUAGCCAUAAUGUCUCACAAAGUCCUAGAGCCAUACCUCUAAAUUCCGCUUCUGCACUUGAACGAGCGACGACAUUCUGCUUCUUACUUUUCCAUGUCACAAGAUUACCACCUACAAAGGUAAAGUAACCAGAUGUAGAUCGCCUAUCAUCCACCGCACCGGCCCAAUCAGCAUCAGUAUAUACUUCUAUACUCUGAUGAUCAACAUUUUUAGCGAACAAAAUUCCCUUCCUAGGAGCAUUCUUCAAAUACCUCAAAAUACGCAUGAUUGCAUUCAUAUGUUGCUCUCCAGGAUUAUGCAUGUAUUGACUCACUACACUCAAUGCAUAAGCAAGAUCUGGUCUUGUAUGAGCUAAGUACAUUAAUCUCCCCACAAAUCUCUGGUAUCUUCCCUUAUCGGUUGAUACUUGAUUAGGCUCAACACACAAUUUCAGACCUUCUUCUAUUGGUGUAUUAACAGGUUGACAUCCCAACAUUCCAGUCUCUUGUAAAAGAUCUAAGGCAUAUUUUCUUUGAGACAGAAAAAUUCCUUCACUUGAUUGAGAAACUUCAAUCCCAAGAAAGUAUUUCAGAGGACCUAGAUCUUUCAUUUCGAAUUCUCUAGAUAGAUAAUUUUGUAGAGCUUUUCUUUCUUCAGGAUCAUUUCCUGUAACUACCAUGUCAUCCACAUAUACGAUGAGUGCCGUAAUCUUACCAUGUUGCUUUUUCAGGAACAAAGUGUGAUCUGAAUUACUUUGACGAUAGCCAAAAGCUCUCACUGACUUUGUGAACCUUCCAAACCAUGCUCUUGGGGAUUGCUUUAACCCAUACAAUGACUUCUUCAAUUUGCACACCUUCUGACAUUGCUUUUCUGGCACCAUGCAUCCUGGUGGAAGAUCCAUGUAUACUUCUUCAGAUAACUUGCCAUGCAGAAAGGCAUUUUUCACAUCGAAUUGUUGUAAUGGCCAAUCUAGGUUUGCAGCUAAAGACAGUAAUACUCGAACUGUUUUGAUCUUAGCUACAGGUGCAAAUGUCUCUGUGUAGUCAAUUCCAUAAGUUUGAGUGUACCCUUUUGCUACCAAUCUUGCUUUAAAUCGUUCAAUACUACCAUCUGCCUUGUACUUCACAGUAUAGAUCCAACAACACCCAACUGGCUUCUUUCCUGGUGGACAUUCUACGAGUUCCCAUGUUUCAUUUUUCUGCAAUGAUUCCAUCUCUUCAUUCAUGGUUGCUUUCCACCUUGGAUCAGCUAAGGCUUCCUGCACACUGUUAGGAAUAGCUACAGUAGAUAAUUGAUUUACAAAUGACUUAUUUGAUUCAGACAAACGAUGGUUAUACACAUAGUUGCUCAUGGGAUAUUUGACUUUGGUAGACAAUUCAGGUUCAUAUGUGGGUUUAGGAAUACCUCUAUUAUGACGGUGUGGUAACCGUUUCAUGAAUGGAUCAGGUUCCAAAUUAAGAACACCCUCAACAGACAACGAUUGGUUUGGUAUUUCAAUGAAGACAUCUUUGGACCUAAAUUGUUGACCACUCAUAUCCAACUCACCCGCUUCCUGGUUCACUAGUUCAGAUUGUCUAGAUUCAUCUUCCUCAGAGAUAUGAUAAUCAUAAUCGAGANNNNNNNNNNNNNNNNNNNNNNNNNNNNNNNNNNNNNNNNNNNNNNNNNNNNNNNNNNNNNNNNNNNNNNNNNNNNNNNNNNNNNNNNNNNNNNNNNNNNNNNNNNNNNNNNNNNNNNNNNNNNNNNNNNNNNNNNNNNNNNNNNNNNNNNNNNNNNNNNNNNNNNNNNNNNNNNNNNNNNNNNNNNNNNNNNNNNNNNNNNNNNNNNNNNNNNNNNNNNNNNNNNNNNNNNNNNNNNNNNNNNNNNNNNNNNAAAUAUCACUCUUUGCAAACAAACUAGGAAACAAUUUUUUUAAAUAACCAAAGGAAGCAUGUCCCAAACGUCGAUGCCACAACCAAAUUUCAGACUUUUUCUUCUCCCCCUCAGAUCCAUCUGUCAUCAAGGCUUGUUGCAACUUAUUUGAAUCCUUUGACUGCAAGUCCAAGUAAUAGAGUUUUCCCCGCUUAAUACCAUAACCAAUCGUCUGUCUUGUUUGGAUGUCUUUAAUCACACAAAAUUCAGGCCAAAAAAUGACAAUACAAGAUAAGGCUGCAGUGAUUUGAGAAACUGACAAAAGGUUGUAAUCUAAAGAUGGAACAACUAAAACAUAAUCCAAAUUCAAAGUAUCAGUAAGAGUUAAGGAUCCUUCCCCAAUGAUUGGGGUUGUGUUACCAUUGGCUGUGGAAACAAUUUUUUGUGAGGAAGGUCUAAGGGGUGAAACCUGUCUAGAAUCAAAAGUCAUAUCAUCUGUAGCACCAUAAUCAAUUAUCCAUGCACUAUUAAUAACAGGUGUAAAAGUAUUUAAAAACUUACCACCAUGAUCAGUAGCGGCUACCAAUGCAGAGGCUUUCUCAACAACAUUAGCCUCUGUUUUUAUUUCGGCAACAGUUGCAGUCAAGGUUUUCUUAGAAUCCUUCUUCCAUUGAUCACGAUUAUUAUCAUUAAUAACAAAGUGUUGAUAGCCUAAACAUGAUCUAAAGGUCCAUGGUUCAAACCCUCGAUUCCUCAUUAUUUUCCUGGUCAUACCAAGAGUUGUUGCUUUGAAAUUGUGGGAUAUCCAUACUGGUGGGACCAGUCUUAUUGCAGUGAGUGCAUUUGAAGGUUGACUUAUCAAUAUUAGGGCUUGUCUUAGGAUGGUUGAUCGCUGUCGGACUACCAUAGCGACAAAAUAUCCAGGAUUUUAGUUCCAUGGCUCUGAUACCAUCUUCAAAUUGAUAAAUGGUAGUUUUUUCAUUCAUACUUUCAUUCGUUCAUGUACAAAGUAUAUAUAGAGGGUAAUCACCAUUCUGAGAAUGGGAAAGAAUGAUACAAGGAAAGAAUGAUAUAAGGAAAUAACAACUAAUAUCCUAAUAUCUCAACUUUCCUAAUAUUUCAAUAUUCCUAAUAUCUCAAUAUUCCUAAUAUUUCAAUAUUCAUAAUAUCUCAACUUUCCUAAUAUCUAAACAUUCCUAAUAUCUCAACACUAAAUGAUAUAAGGAAAGAAUGAUAUGAGGAAAGCAUUCCUAAUAUCUCAACAUUCAGGCCACCUGAUGUGUCUAUUAUUAUUAUUAUUAUUGGUCUAGUAAUAUAUACAUGUGACCACUUCUAACUACUGCAAUUCAAAUUUUGGUAUGGUCUAUUGUACCUACAUAUGACCUAUUAUUAAUUUUUGUUCAAAAGUUGACCUCCCUUCGAUAUACCUGCCUUAAAUUGCCAACAACGCUAUUUAUUAUUUAAUAAAUGCCCUUUAUUUCAUUUUUUUCAAAAAUUAUUUGCAGGAGUAAUUUAUGAAAAAAAAAUAUUUAUGAAAUAUUUGAUUUAAAAAAUAGAAAUAGAUGAUUAUGUCAUAGAAUGAGCUAAAAGAUAAAUUCGUCAUCAAUGGCGAUGGACCUUCUAUUUUUCUUUCUUCAUAAUUAGAAUUUGUUUCUAUAAAAAUUCACUAAGGAUUUCAAAAUGUCUGUUGUACUUGUACCAAAAACAAAGAAAUAAUGAGAGAGGGAGAGUGAAAGAAGCUUCAUGAUAUCUUCCUUGUUACAUAAACAGGCUAGUGACCACGCCCCGACAUAAAAAGCGGUUGGGCACUGGCAUCGUAUACUAUUGGAUUUUUCUAGAUUCAAUCAAAUCACUAAAAUUAGUCGUUACUUAUUUAAUCAUACAUAACACUCCUUCAUCUGUAUCCAAAGCGUCGGAUUUGCACAAUUCCACACAUUAACAAAAAAAAAAAGAAAAAAAAAGAGAGAAAGUAAAACGGCCCAUACAAUACUCAUGCACCAUGAAGCACUAAAGUAGGGAAGGAUUUUAAAGAGGGGGGUUGGGGUGUGGUUGGGAAAGCGGAAAAGUCAUGGAAAAUGGGCGGUUUGGCAUGAAAUGUUGGGUGCUACAUGUUUCUCUCUCUUUUAAGGUCAUAUUAACUUUAUUAAUUCUUUUUAUCAUAUCAAAAUUUAACAAUCUCAUGAAAAAAUGGAAUCUACAUAUAUUUUGGAUAAUAUAUUUAUUUCUUAUAUUUAUUAGAUAUUUCUUUCAAAAAAAAUUUCAUGUUAAUCACUUUGAAUAACCAAAAAAAAAAAAAAAUCUAAUUUUAAAAUGAUAAAAUUUUGGUUCCAAAAAAGAAAAAAAAAGCAUAUAUAUAUAUAUAUAUAUAUAUAUAUAUAUAUAUAUAUAUAUAUAUAUAUAUAUAUAUAUAUAUAUUAUCAUAUUUCAUUAAUAGUUUGUCCUAGUCUAGACCGUAAAUUAAAUAUGUUCUUAGUUCACAUAAUUUCAUUAUUUACAUUUACAUGUGUUUAACAUUCAUAAGAAGAUUAUAAAUAAUAUUUUGUGUUUUUUUGACAAUGAUAGUGCAAACCAAACAAAUUUAAAUAUUGAAUUUUUCUAGUUACUUAAAAGAAGUUGCCAAGGAACUUUGGAAUCAGAUUAAUUAAUAUUUUAUUCGGUCAGUCAAGCAAGACAAAACCAAAAAAAAAUAUUUAUCACAUUCUUGAAAUAUUCUACCCACUUUUCCACUAAAAUCCAUAUUUGAAAACUUCAUAGAUCCUUCCUCUCUCAUAUAUCUUAAUGCAAAAGAGUCAAAGUCUUUCAAGUCAAGGUUCAUAGAUUCAUUUAUUGCUAAGAAAAUUCAUUGGUAGAUAUAUAUAUAUUUUUUUGAAAUUGAGACAUGUAUAAUGGACCAUAUGACUUAUGACAAUAUAGUGGUCAAUGUUAACAAAACUAGUCUUGUAAAAUUAAUCCAUUUAAGCCAAAACAUUAACAUAAAAGGCUUGUAAACAAGUUUAUCAACUCUUGGCUAUUUCAUUUAGUUCCAAAAUGCUCAUGGGGUAAGCCUAGUGAUCAGCCCAUACACAACUAGGCUAUUUCAUUCGAUUCCAAAAUGCCUCUCAAAGGAUCAACCCCAACAAUAGGCUCAUGGGCUAGUUUUUGGGCUUGUCCCCAUAGAAGGCAUUUUGGAACCCAAUGAAAUAGCCAGGAAUAUUUGUUUAUGAACUUAUUUAUAAACCACUAAAAGUUAAAUGUACUAACUUGAAAUGGAGAUAAUGUUUAAAUUUCUGGAAAUAAUAGAACCAUAUUAUUGCAUUUCCAGAGAUAGACUACUUUAGCAUCUAAUAGUAACAUAAAUUAUUAUUGAAACUCGCUUUAUUUGAUGACUAUUUUCUAACUAUUUCUAAUCCUUGGCAUAUUCCAUAGGCUAUCUAGCGUCUAACAAUUACCAACUUAAUAUUGUAAUAUUGAAUGCAUAGCCACCAGAAAAUAAUUUAAUAUUCUAGUGAUUUUUAUAUACUAUUUGGUCGUGCAUGUGAUUCUUCUUAAAGCACAUGAAAUAAUGUUUUUCUUAAAAAUUCCUCAUCAUGUGGUCAUCAUAGAAGAUAAACCAUGACUUGUAACUGAAGCAUAAGAAUUCCAACAGUAGAAAUUUCGUCCAAACAACCCCCCCAACAACAAAAAAAGAAACAAUAACAAUUGUUCAAUUGCUUCUUGCUUUCUUACUUUUAGGUUCUGCCUUUCCUGAAAGGACUCCAUUUGCAGACCAAAUUUUUAGUUUUUAAAGACAGGGUCUCUAGAAUUAAUAUGCAGUAUUUGGUCCUUAAAGGGCCAGUAGACCCAUGGGCUAGCUGGCAGGGCAGGGCUAGCUGGCAGGGCAGGGCUAGCUAGCUUGGAUUUGGGCUAGCCUAGCACGUUUGAGGCCUAGCAUCAUUAGAGCCCAAUUUGGCCGAGGAGGCAACUUUAGGGUCAACACAAACCUAUCUGCGCUACCCCUAAACUAAGAUUAAAUGGCUAGGACCCAAAGGGAGAGCUCAAAUGGGUCCAUAUUUGCCAUAAGAUGAGGAAUAUAUCAGUCAUUGCUAGAUUCUAGCAUGCUAUAUUUUAAAGAUUAUCUCCAAGUCUUUUUAUAUUUUUUCCUUUUUUCUUUGUUCUCACAUCUCCCUAACGUGGUUGAGACAUGUUUUUUCAUUUUAGCUCAUGUGGUAAAGUGGUGAAGUGGGGUUGUUGCUUUAGUUAAUCUUAGGAUACGUGGAACUUUGAUGGUAAACUUUAAAUUAAAUAAAAUUUAAUGUGUUGGAAUCAUGGAUAAAUCUAAUAUUUUUUAAAAAUAAUUUAAAACUCAAAUAAUAAAUUCACUAAUACUAGAAAUUUAUAGAUUAAAAUUAUUUCACAAUAACUUUAUUAAUUCUUUUCUACAUAUAAUUACAUUUUUAUAAAUUUUUCUAUUAGAAAAAUGAACUUCAAAAGUGAUAUAUUAUGAGUUAGACUAUAUUAUUUCUCCUAUACAAACUACCAUAUAUAUUUUUUUAUUUUUCUUACUAGGUAAAUAGAUUAUAAAUUAAGGAAUACAUAAUUAAUAAUUUAAAUAUUUUAAUGAAUCUUUUGAUUUUUAAGAAUAACUUGAUAAUAAUAAUUUUUAAGAAUAAUUUAUUAAUUAUUAUUUUUAAAUUAUGUUUUUUAACAAAAAAAAAUUACAAAGAUAUUAAUAUCCUUAUAUUUCUAACAUAAAUUAAAAUAGUGUAUUUCUUAAUAAAAAAAUAUAACUGAUGAUUUUAUCAUAAUAUUACUAUUUAUGUUCUACUAAAAGCUAUUCAUUUUUAGUUUAUUUGUAAUUACAAAACUAUUUUUAUUUUUAAUAAGAUUUGAAUUAAAUUUAAUUAACAUUAUAUAAAUUAAAUUUACAAUAUUUUUAUAAAAUCAAAACAAAAAAAAAUUUAUUUUGAAAAACAACUUAUCCAAACAAGUAUUUUGUUUUUAAAAAUUUAUGAACAUAUUAAUUUCAUUAUGCUUCUAACAUAUAUUGAAAUAAUGUAUUUUUUAAUAAAAAUAUAUAACCUAUGAUUUUAUUAUAAUAUUACUAUUUAUGUCUACUAAAAACUAUUCAUUUUAUUUAUUUAUUUAUUUGUAAUUACAAAAUUAUUUUCAUUUUUAAUAAGAUUUGAAUUAAAUUUAAUUAUUAUUAUAUAAAUUGAAUUUAUAAUGUUUUUUUAUAUAUAAAAUUAAAACAAUUUUUAAAAAAAAACUAGUUUGUCUCCACAACAACUAGUUUGUGAAAACAAGCUCUAAAGUUCGCAUGAUCAAUCAAAGCUUUCACCAGCACAACACAAGCUUCUCUUUCUAUUUUUUGUUCAUUUAAAACAUUCAAAGGAAUGAAGCAGCAUAAAGAGAAUAGGGCUUUUACUAGAAAAUUCAAAACUACUCUUAUGAUGGGAGACACCUAAGCAGAAAGUUGAUACAAACAAGGCCAGCAAUAUCAAGACACCGAAGCAGAAAGUUGAAACAAAAGACUGCCAGACUUCUUCAUUGAAACAAAACACUGCCAUAAAAUGCUUAAUCAAUAUAAUUUGUAAAGUUUGGACUUCAACAAAGUCCUCCAUUUUAAGUGUGCUUAAGCUCUUCUGGAGCUCGAGUGCAACACUUCAAGUGCUUUUUUUAGUUGAUCAAGUAUACUUGAGUGCUUAUUUUAUGUUAUCAACAACCUUAAAUAUAGCAAAUAUUUUUUUUUCUACAUUGAUACAUAAAUAUUAGUCUAACAAAAUAAAUAAUUUAUUUUUUUAUUUUAAAAAAUUAACAAAUAAAUAAACAUGUCACAUGGUGUUGUUAUUGUUUUCUCUUGGGGUACGUAGCUAACAUGAUAUUUUGUUAAUUGUGACUGGCGAUCACCAGAGCAGGUAACAUAAUAUUUUAUCUCCUAAAGUAUGAAUACAAUUUUGUGAGAUGAGCUAUUUUCCUAUGCAAUUAUUUUCUUGCUAGAAACAAACUACUUUUGGUAGUUUUCCCUCUAGAAUUCACUUUAGAAAAUAAAUAAAUAAAUAAUAAGAAUUUACUUCACAAAUCCGAAGAUGUAUGAUGCCUCAUUAGCAUUAAGCAAACUCCUCCCUGCAUCUUCUUCCAAUGCAUCUUGCUUUCUUACUUUUAAGUUCUCCCUUCUGACUCCAUUUGCCCUACUCCUCCCUGUUGAACAGACCCAAUUUUCAGAUUCUGAAGAUGAUGUCUCUAAUAUUGGAAUGCAGUAGCUUGUCGAUCCAUAGGCUGGCUCGGAUUUAGCCUAGCCCAUCAUGUUUGAGACCCAGCAUCAGAGCCCAAUUGGGUUGAGGAAGCAAUUCUGGGCCCAACGCAAAUCUAUUUGGGCUAUAGCAUGAGGAAUUAUGGCUAGGACCCAGUGCGAGAGCUCAAAUGGGUCCAUAUUUGCCAUAGCAUGACGAAUUAUGCCAUGGCUGGUGGUGAAUAUCACUUUUAAAGAGAGGCAAAAAUGUGUCUCACCUUAAUAUAAACUAAGUGCACAUGGGUACCAUGAUAAGUCUAACUAAUUCCUGAGUACACUAAUCCAUGUUUUUCCCCUCCUACUUUCUCUAGAGUGCUCAAACAUCAUUUUUCCAGAUUUGGACCCGAUUUGUGAAGAACUUGUUGAAGUUGCAGCUCGACCAGUCCACCUUUUGCUUCUCCUUGCACUUGGAUGAUGGUUAAACAUGGGAAAAUACAAGUUUGAAUCACAAGUUCAAAAUCAAUUAAGUGAAAUGUUCUAUUAGCUAGGUUGUGUUCAGAGCAUUAGGGCUCAUCAGUGGAAGAUUCAAAACACCACUCUAAUUUCUUUUCCAUGUUUCUCCUCUAUCAUAUCAUAAUCCACAAUGAAAAGUACAUUUGAGUUCAGUGUUGUACAAAUGCAUUCACAUUCCUUACUACGCAUAAAGACAAUAAUUUUGCUAGGCCAAAGUCCCAAACUUUUGUGCAAAGUCUGUUAGAUUAUUGGUUCUAAAAUACUAGAGGGUACAAACGAAAUGACAAUUGAAGUGAGCCCAAACGCACUAAUAUUUUUGCAGAAAAAUUAUCAAUUUUCUCUAUGCUUGUUUUAAUUUUUAAUAUUAGAAUUUAGAAUUUAAAAUUUAAAAUUGAGCACUAGAAUAGAAACUCUCCUCAAACUGAAUCAUGCUCAUCAAAAGCUUAUGAGUUUGUAAUUAUAAAUUGGUGGGUUAUUUUGGACAUAAUUAAUACACUUGAACAAAACUAAACCAGUGGGUUAUUUAUCCCUUGAAGAUGUUACAUUUAACUUUUGCGGUCACAAUUAAAAUAAAAGUAAGAUGGAAGCUUAUAUCACCUAAUUAUCCAAUAAUUACUAGAAACGAAACUAUUUUAACUUCUCAAAAUGAUCAAAGCAAACAGAUUAUAUUAAUUGGUUUCAUUCCCAACUUUUCAACUUUCAAGAAUUAUUUAUGAUGUUUGUGUUCAGGUGUAAAUAUAACUCAAAUUUUCAUUAACUCUUUAUGGCUCCUUGGCUUUCAUGGUUAAAACUAAAAAUUGAUCAAUAAUAUCAUUUUAGAUUAUGAAAUGAAAUUCCUUUUCCUUUUCAGCAUUCAAAGAGUUGAUUAGUACAUUUUUAUUUAUUAUUGAAGUAUAGAAGAUGAUGCCUAAUCUAAGGCAUGUUGCCCUUCACCAAUGACCUCUCAAAAAUGUGUAUGUCAAAGUGUGGUUCCCCAAAUAUUGAGAGUUGACUAUAGUUUUAAAAUCUCUGUGAGUGGGGAUGUCGAACAUCAAGAAGGUAACUUUGAGAUAAACUCUUUCGCUUUGAAACAAAAGGGGAUUGAUGAAUUAUUGUAAAAACAAGAGAAAAUCUUAGGAAAUCAAACUAAAAUAUAUUAUACUAUACUAAAAGCUGUUUAUUGAAGGAGUAAAUAUUAGAAUAAAAAACAUAUCUCAUCCUAAUGUUUCACAAUUGUUUAAAUGAUAUAUGAAUUGCAUCCAAACAUUUAUUAUUAAAAAAUAUAUAAUCUCUCUUACUAUUCAACAUUAUUUAGAGAUCUCUCAAUUGUUUAUUUUAAAAUUGUUCUUUAUAAAGUCUUAUAUGUAUGAAAUUAUUACAUGUUGUUAAAGGACAUAUAUUAAGUUGACAUAUGUUAUAUAAAAUCAUUUUUGUAUAUAUGUAUUACAAAAAAGAAUUUGUGGUCCAUUAGAUAUAUAUCCCAUCAUUUUAUGUGGUUGUUAAAUAUCAUGUGGAGGAGAUACAAGGAAGAGGGUGAAUGUAUUAUCUCACCUUUUAUCUUUAUUCUAUAGUAUAUUCAAUUAUUUAAACAUUAAUUAAAGAGCAUAAUAUUUUGGUUGAAUAAAGUUAAUAACAAACCCUUUCAAGUAAUAUGAAUGAAGGUUAGCUCCUCCAAAAUUAGUAUCGGACAAUGGAAAUCUGAGAUAGAAAUAAAGAAAGAUAUAAAACUAAUUGAAAGUACGUUAGAGAAAAAAAUUGUUUAGAAAAUGUUACAUCAAUUUGUCCACUAUAUUUGAUUUUUCUACAACAUCGACUAUCGUAACAAGUAUUGAAGUAUAAGGGUAACUAGCUACAUCAACUUUCUCCUAGUGUUUGCUUUUUCUAUAGCAUUGAAUAUCAUAGUCAGUAUUAAAUUAUGAGGGUGAAUGGGUACAUCAACUCAACUUGCCCACAAUGUUUGAUUUUUCUAUAACAUUAACUAUCAUAGUCAGUAUUGAAGUAUGAGGGUGACUAGGUACAUCUACUUGUCCACAAUGUUUGAUUUUUCUAUAUUAAUGUUUUGUAGCUAGUCAAGCACGACAAGCUAUCAAAUUACAAGACAUACGCACAUGCUUGUGAAAUGAGGAGGUCCUUGCAAGUUGUUAUCCUAUUUAAUAGGUAAAGGAUUAGAAUUACUGAAAAUAAUUGUCUUAAGUAUGUGUGUAUGUAUUUUUUUAUCAUAUUAAAUACAUGUUUUAGAUAUUGUUACUAAAUAUUGGAUUAAAACAGGAAUUUCCUAAGUAAUUAAAAUGACUUCUCUUGAACUUGAAUUCCCUUCUUUCCCAUUUUAGCAAAAAAAAAAAAAAAAAGACUCCCUCUUAUAGAUGAUAAUUACUGCAACUUGUUAAAUUGUUGGAAGAUGCAUGUUUAAGGUUUUGCUUUGAUAUUUUGCUGCUACUAAAUAGAUUGAACCAAUUUAAUAGUCUUUUACGCUCUCCACCUAAGACAAUUAUAUGUUAUUUAAUGGGGAUUUAGGGUGCAAAUUUCACUUCAAGGCAUGAUGAAAGGUUUUUGUAUUUUUCAAAGAAUUGACAUAACUAAAGUUGAUCUCAAAAGCAAAUCCAGAAAUUUAUUAAAAUCAAAUCUGAAAUUUAAAGGAGGGAAAAAAAAUAAGAAAGACAAAAAAACUCAUAUUUGGUGUAAGUAUAUAAUAUAACUAAUUUGUAUGAAUUUAUGAACCUCCAAGCUAGUUUAAUAGGUUCUAUCUUAUCUAUACACCUUUCUCCACGGAUUAUUAGGUAUCAAUCAAUUUUGUUAGUAGCAUGUUGCCAUCUCUACUUUAAGUCAUAUUUAUGUGUAGACAUCUAUGGAUAGACCUUCUACCAAUGCAAAGCAAGUGGAGUAGCAAAAUUUCUUAGUCAUUGUAUGACAAAUCUUACCAUCUUUUUUCGACUUUAAUUAUGAUAAUGAAUGAUAUCAUACAAUCAACCUCUCAAAAAUUGACUAGUCCUUGUGGGGCCAAUGAGGAAAGAAACUGAUUCAUGCAUCAUUUUACAUAAGGGACUGCAACUUGGAGCCAUGAGAGAUCAUUUUUUUUUGUUUGUAAUUAUAUAUCUUUCUUGAUGCAUCCGCCUUCAAACAUUCAAAUAAUUCUCUUUUUGUGAGUUUCAAUUGGAAUUUUGCCUUUGUGGAAUUUGCUACUACAUUCCUAGUGAAACCUAAGUUGGUAUCUCCUGCGUUUUCUAAUUUUAAAAAGGAUGCCUUUAUUGACUAAUGUAAGGCUCUCCAAAAUCUGAUUUUGAUUUUAUUUAUUUCAUCAUGAAUCAUAUGAUUAGUUUUUCUUAUGAAAUUUCUCUUAAGAAUAAGGAAAUUAGUAACUCUCUAAAGCACCUCAUUUCUUAAUAAGAAAAUUAUUGGUAAAAAGGGAAAUUGAUGUUGUAAGCCUCAAUUUCUCAAAUGAGAUUUGUUUAAUUUAUCUUAAAGCUAAAUAAAAUUUAAUUUGACUUAGGUUUAAAUAGAACUUUAUUUUUCUAUAUUAUUUUAUUAUAUUUUAAGACUUAAGUUUAAAGAUAAGAAUGACCUUAAAACAAAAAACAAGCCUAAAUAGAAGCAUAUUAUAUAAAGAUCACAUUCAUCAUGAACCAUUGAUUAAAACAUUAGCUAACUACAUAUUAAAAAAUAAUAACAUAAAAGAAAAUAAUUUUUUGCUUCACUCUAAUUAUGAGAUGAUUGUGAAAUUUACUUGUAAUUAGGUGAAUAAUAGCAUAACUUGUUCUUGGUAGGUGAAACAUUAAUGAUUAUUGUGCAUAGGUUAUCAGUUUUAAAAUUUCAUUGAAAUUGUUUACUUGGAAAGGGGGUGGUACCAUAACUAAACAUAACAAAACUAUUUAUUUAGAAAGGCAGAAGGAAAAACUUUAUGGAGAGAAAACCAAUCUAUGAAAACAAUCAAUCGAGCUUAACUAGUUAGAGGUUUGAGUGAAAGUUACCACUUAUAAUCACAAACAAAUGAUGUAUUAUAUUUUCAUUCACGUUAAUUGUGAAACAGUAUGAUAACCAUAAAAUUAUGAAAAAAUUUAUUUUAAUAAAAUAUAUUUUCUAUUGUAAAUUAUUGAAAAAGUGGUGCAUAUAUAAUUAAAAUAACAAGUAAUUUUCUAUUGUAAAUUAGAUUAUAGAAAAAACAUUUGAACAAAAAUUGAAAAUUUUAAGUUUUUGCUUAUAUAUUUUUAUUAUAAAUAUUUUUCUACUAAAAAAAUAAACUUUAUAGUAGAAAGUCAAACAUUAUAUGAUAAUUAUUCUUACGAUAGUUUAAAAAAUGAAAUGUAAAUUAAUGAUUGAAAGUGGUAUUUUGCCACAAAAAAAUUUGAGGUAAAAAGUGGAGUUCAUGGCACAAUGUUAUAUACUGCGCAAAAAUUAUUCUCACCAUGUUUUUUACAAUAAAAAGUAACUUCUUAGCGAUAUGUAAUAUUUUCAAAAGAAUUUUGGGAAGUAUAUUUUAGGAAGGUAUCAACAAAGACACAUUAAACAUUGUGGGGUAGUUAAUGUAUGUAACAAGAAUAUAAACAAAGGUAGAAAAGCUUGAUUAAUUCCUUUGGUAAUUUCUUAUUUCACAUAGCAAGUAGGCAUUGAAAAUUUUUUCACAAAAUUUAUGAGGGAGGGAUAAUGUCCAAAAUGUGUCAAUCAAAUGGACUAAACACUAUGUAUAUAGAUAUAUAUACAAACACACAUAUAUAUUGUUUUCCAUAAGAAAAUGGGUGCCAUUGUUUUUAAAAGAAUUAUUGAGAAGGACCUUUUGGGAAGGUGUCAAUAUAGAAACAUUAAAAAUUGUGGGGUAGUUGAUAUAUCUUACAAGUAUUGAAAGGAUGGUGGAAAAGCUUGACUGAUGGUUAGAUGGUUUCUUAUUUUCCAUGGAAAAUCUGGCUUUGAAAUUUCCCCACGAAAUUUAUGAGGAACGAAUAAUGUCCAAAAUCUGCUAAUCAAAAAGACUAAACAUGGUGGAGAUAACCAAUAUAUAUAUAUAUAUAUGAUGGGUGUCAUCAUUUCAAAAGGAUUAUUAAAAAGGACCCAACAAAUUCUAGGAUACCAACAAAUUCUAGGAUACCAACAAAUUCUUAACUAAAUUCGUAUAGAUCAAGCUUGACUAAUUCUAUGAUGGUUCUUCUUUUCCAUGAAAAGUGGGAGUUAUUGUUUUAAAAAAAAAUUAAUGGGAAGGCCAUAAAAAAUAUCAAACAUACAGAGGACAAUUUUAAAGUAUAGUUAAGGAACAAAGAGAUUUACUAAUUUAUUUUAUUAUGUUCUUCAAUUGUACUAUGCAUAAAAGAAUAAAUAUAUGCAAAAAUAUCUAUAGAACACUAAUUCUACUAUUUUUCUACUUUUAUUUUUUUCAUGGUAUCAAAGCCAUUUGACUCAUACCCUCUAUAAUUUCUUAACAAGAUAUUUAAGUUCCUUUUCUUCCACUCUCUCAUUUUCAAUUAAUGGUAUUUCUCAUCCCAUUUUUAUUGAGUUAGAUAUGAAGGAUAAGGUUUCCUAGAAGAUUUCAUGUAUCCAAAUACAUUUCUUGACAUGAUAUAAUAUGAUGCUUAGGCAAGCCACAUCAUAUGUCUUUCUUGAUGCUUAAAAAGCGUCAUUGUUUCCUUUUUCCUUAUAGUGGUUUCUACAAGUUCUUCAUAGAUGUGACUUACUAGCUAUUGUUUAUGAAUUGAAACAUGCCCAUCUAAGCUCAUCCAAGACUAUAAGGGAGAAGAAAUAACAAAACCACAAUUUAUAACUCAAAUAAGUAGGAUUAUAGUACAUUCUUUGUUAUCUUAAGAACACUGUAUAUGAAAUUUAUUUCUUCCUAAAGAUAUCAUGUAGUUGUGGUUUAAUUGAGAUGAACUUUAUUCUUCCUAAAAAGGCUUAGGGUGCGUUUGAUAGUGAUUCAUGCCCAGUCGGUUCCUUUAAUCAAAAAUAUUUAUAAAUCCUAUGACCUUAUACUGGCGUAGCAAAGCUACUAUAGUAUAGCAGUUCUAGGGUCGAACUCAGGGAUGGGUUUUCACUCUAUCAGUGACAAACUCUAAAUUAGAAAUUGAUUCUGAUGAUUUCCUUUAGCACAAACUUGAAAUUUAAAAGAAAAUAAAAUUGUUUUGAAAGUGGUGAUUGAAACUAAACUCACAUAGAACUAAGUAAAAAUAGAAGAAAGAAAGUCUCCCGGAGCUAAAGGUUGCUAGGUUCAAGUUUAGGAUGCAAAGUGGAAAAUUCCGGAUUUUUCUCCUCGCAUUGGGGAUUUAACCUAUAGUUAUUUCCCGAACCGGUAUAGGUUUGACAAUGAAGAUUUAAUCCAUAAACAGUCAAUAGAGAUGGUAGUCAAGAUCCAUUAAUGGCUUAAGACACUAUGGGUUAUCACCUUGAAUCACUUUCCACUGGCUCGUACAUGAUAACUAAUGGACUGAUAUGGAUCUAGCAAUAAGCAUCCACAGAGACCUGAAGCUUACCAUGUAUUGGCCAGUCAAAGUGAUUCUAAGGGAUUUAAAGCAAAACUUUGAAUUUAGAAACCAUUUAUGGACUCCAACUACCUGAAUUUAAUGCACGGAAACGUUCCACCUUUUAAUCUGGACUUUUCACCUAGCUUCCUUUACUCCAAGAAACUAUAAGUUUAGCCUCUCAUCCUCUGGGAAAACAUCCUCAGAGGUUGUUUGGCUUCCAAGAAAAUAGAAAAUAGUAGAGAGAAAAAGAAAGCAAAAGAGAUCUCUGUAUAUCACUAAGUGUAGAAUUUACAUCAGUUGGUCUCCUGGAGAAAGUUCCCCGAGAGUACUUCUUCAGUGUUUACAAGAGAAUUUAUAUAGGAAGGUAAUUUUACCCUUCCUUGGAUACUUCCUAGCUAAGGAAUUACAUGAGUGGCUGAAUACAAGGAGAAAAUGGAAAUUUAGACACAAAAAUAUCAGAAGAAAAAGAGUCGGCAAAAAUAUCCAAUUUUCGCACGUUGCAUUGUGACAUGCGAAAAUUUCGCAAGUUGAUUUUGCAACUUAGAAUUCACUUUUGCACGUUGAGAUUUAAGUUCACAAGUUGCAAAAUAAACUUCACAUGCUGGCUUCACCACGACUACACAGCUGCUAUCCAUUUUUACAUUUCGCACGUUGGAGUUCCAAUUUCGCACAGUGCGAAAUUGUCCCUCAGCUUGAUGUAGUUGUCUUCCGAAGGCCAUAUCUUCCUCAUUUCAGCUCCAAAUCGUACAUGGUUUGAAUUGUUGGAUUCUUGACUUUCUGAGCUUUGAAAUGGUAUAUAGAAUGUAGAAAAUAGACUUCGGGAAGUGCUCCAAAAGUGCGAUGAAAGACUGCAGCUAUGUCCCCUGUUUUCAUCACCCUAUUUUCCUCUUCUCCAUUGUUCUUUCCUUGCAUACUUUGAACGACUAAGGCAAAGGAUUAUGAGGCUCCAAAUCUUGGUUUCUUCAUAAAUUUGAGCUUCCAAAAGCUUUGCCAUGAAUUAUAUAUAGCUCUCCCUCAUUCUUAAAUUGCUUUGGUGAGCAUAAAGCUAUCAAAAAGCACCAAAACUUAACACAAUUUGAUUAGAAACGAUUGCAAGGGUCCCUAACAUGCUAAUUGAGUUAAAAGGUAAUAAUUACUACUCAAGGGUGCUUAAAAGAGCUAAUAACAAGCUACGAAAUAGCAUGUUUUGAGUAGUAAUCAGAUAGUGUUUUACUCAAAAUGUUUUCUCUAAAAGUGUUUUUAUGAGAAUCACCCAUCAACUGCUUCUCCAGAAAACACUAAAAAGGAUUUUUCAAAUUUUUUCAUAAAUUUUUUCAAACAUUUGUUUUUUCUAAAAACACUUUUUAUGCUAAAAACAUUUCCUAUAAUUACUACCAAAUGAAUUCUUAGUGUUGAUUUAUAGUAUAUGCCAUGACUGAAUUAUAUUAGAUAUAUUGGAAUGCUACAAAACGAUCUAUGUAUAUGCUCUUAUCCUCUUCUAUUUUUACCUUAUCCCAAAUGCAGCGCAUUAAAAAUAUUGAUUACCAUUUAUUGGAGAAGAGGUUCUAUAUGCUGCAAAAUGCAUAUCAACUGUUGAUCAAGUGGCCUAUAUUUUUAUGAAAUGCCUUACUUUCUAUCUGCAUGUUUACUUGAGGAGGCUCUUCAGGAAGAAGUAGCAGACUUAAUACAUGAUCCAAAGUCAAGAGGGUUCAAUGAAAGAAUCCCAAAUUCCUUACUUUCUAUCCAUUUACUUGAGGAGACUCUCAAGGAAGAAGUACCAGACUGAAUACAUGACCCUAAUUAAGUUGAAGGGCCGGGUUAAAUUAAACAAUCCCAAUGACAUAACAUCUGACUUAUCAACUCUACGAAUGGAUCAACAAGUCUAUAGAGACUAAUUUAUGUCAAAAUACGAACAAAUAAAAUGAAAUUAUGUCAAAAUUUCUAUUACCAUAUCAGGGUGCAAAGGAAUAUGGCAUGGGCUAAUAUCCUCUGUCAUAAUUUCUCCUUUCAAAAUGAUAUGGAAUAUUGUGUAGUACGUACCUUUUGUUGGCUUCUUUAUGCACUUGAUUUCAGGUUCCGUGUCAUUACUCAUCUUCAGCCCGCAUUUCUCACCUUCUGCUUUGCAAUUUCCACACAAAGGUUUUGACCAAUUCAUAGAAAAUCUAGAUUCCCCAUAUGCUAUAUUUAAUGGAAGUGAAGCGUUGGAAAUCUAGCAAGCAAAAUAAAUUUAUAAAUAAAUUAAAAUAGACAUCAUUCCUCAUGCUUAUGUUUGGAAUUUAUAUAUAAAUUCCNNNNNNNNNNNNNNNNNNNNNNNNNNNNNNNNNNNNNNNNNNNNNNNNNNNNNNNNNNNNNNNNNNNNNNNNNNNNNNNNNNNNNNNNNNNNNNNNNNNNNNNNNNNNNNNNNNNNNNNNNNNNNNNNNNNNNNNNNNNNNNNNNNNNNNNNNNNNNNNNNNNNNNNNNNNNNNNNNNNNNNNNNNNNNNNNNNNNNNNNNNNNNNNNNNNNNNNNNNNNNNNNNNNNNNNNNNNNNNNNNNNNNNNNNNNNNNNNNNNNNNNNNNNNNNNNNNNNNNNNNNNNNNNNNNNNNNNNNNNNNNNNNNNNNNNNNNNNNNNNNNNNNNNNNNNNNNNNNNNNNNNNNNNNNNNNNNNNNNNNNNNNNNNNNNNNNNNNNNNNNNNNNNNNNNNNNNNNNNNNNNNNNNNNNNNNNNNNNNNNNNNNNNNNNNNNNNNNNNNNNNNNNNNNNNNNNNNNNNNNNNNNNNNNNNNNNNNNNNNNNNNNNNNNNNNNNNNNNNNNNNNNNNNNNNNNNNNNNNNNNNNNNNNNNNNNNNNNNNNNNNNNNNNNNNNNNNNNNNNNNNNNNNNNNNNNNNNNNNNNNNNNNNNNNNNNNNNNNNNNNNNNNNNNNNNNNNNNNNNNNNNNNNNNNNNNNNNNNNNNNNNNNNNNNNNNNNNNNNNNNNNNNNNNNNNNNNNNNNNNNNNNNNNNNNNNNNNNNNNNNNNNNNNNNNNNNNNNNNNNNNNNNNNNNNNNNNNNNNNNNNNNNNNNNNNNNNNNNNNNNNNNNNNNNNNNNNNNNNNNNNNNNNNNNNNNNNNNNNNNNNNNNNNNNNNNNNNNNNNNNNNNNNNNNNNNNNNNNNNNNNNNNNNNNNNNNNNNNNNNNNNNNNNNNNNNNNNNNNNNNNNNNNNNNNNNNNNNNNNNNNNNNNNNNNNNNNNNNNNNNNNNNNNNNNNNNNNNNNNNNNNNNNNNNNNNNNNNNNNNNNNNNNNNNNNNNNNNNNUAAAUCAAGGGUUGGGGAAGAAUAUUGGAAUUUAUAAAUAAUUAAAAUAGACAAAUUAAAAUUUAUAAUAUUACUAUUUAUGUUCUACUAAAAACUAUUUAUUUUUUUAUUUAUUUGUAAUUACAAAAUUAUUUUCAUUUUUAAUAAGAUUUGAAUUAAAUUUUAUUAUUAUUAUAUAAAUUGAAUUUAUAUAUAUUUUUUAAAUUAAAACAAAAAAAUUACUUUUAAAAACAACCUAUUUGAAACAAGUUUUUUGGUGUCUCCACAACAACUAGUUUGAAAACAUGCUCUUAAGUUCACCUUAUCUUUCAUUAACACAAUACAAUCUUCUCUUCCUAUUUUUUUCUUCAUUUAAAACAUUCAAAGGAAUGAAGUAAGCAUAAAGAGAAUAUGGCUUUUACUAGAAAAUUCAAAACUACUCUUAUAAUGAGAGACACCUAACCACAAAGAUGAUACAAACAAUGCCAACAAUAUUAAAUUAUGAUAUAAUAGAAAAUAAAUUAUGAUAAAUGUAUAAUUUUUUAAUAUUUAAUUAAUAUAUUAAAAACACUAUAAAGAAUAUUAUAGUGAUCACUUUUAUAUUUUUUCUAAUUAAUUAAAUAAUUUUUUUUAAUGUUUGAUGCAUGUUAUUUAACAAAUUAAGAGUAAAUUUGCUCUAGUGGUGCUUGUGAUAUUAGCGAGCAAUCACGAUAUUUUUAUAAUUUAUUAAAAUUAAAAAUAAAAAUAUCGAUAAUUACUUAUGUCUAUAUAUAUAUAUUAAUAUUUCGAUUUUAUUUAAGUUUGAAGUCCACCAGGUCAUUUGCACAAGAAAGAUGAUCACAGUACUGCACAAGAAAGAUGAUCACAUAUAGUGUACUUGGGACGCGUGUACUAUUCCCAUCCCGGGGGUGAAUUAUGAUAAUUGUAUCUCACCAGCCUGAGAAGGCAGAGGGGUCGACAAAUCCAGCUCAUGCAGACAAGACGGUCAGCAAUUGUGGGCCAUGCGACCUAACGACAAACUUGAUGAUAAACCAACCUGAGCUCACUCAUGCCACGUUUCCACAUUUCAUUGGGUUGACUUGUAAAACUCAAAAAGUUUGGUCUAUUUAAAGGAGCUUUGACCCAAAAUAGGGCGUUUUAAAAAAAAAUUCCAAAAAAUAAAGUUAUUUUCAAAAUAAUGUCCGAUCUAAUGUGUCUGUGCCACAUAAGUUGUCAUGUCAUAAAACCGUAGUUGGUGACUACGGUUUUAUUUUUCUAAAGUGGUUAGAAACCGUAGUUACCAACCACGGUUUUAACUUUAAGUUUAAAACCGUAGUUGGUGACUACGGUUUCUAACCACUUUAGAAAAAUAAAACCGUAGUCACCAACUACGGUUUUAUGACAUGACAACUUAUGUGGCACAGACACAUUAGAUCGGACAUUAUUUUGAAAAUAACUUUAUUUUUUGGAAUUUUUUUUUAAAACGCCNNNNNNNNNNNNNNNNNNNNNNNNNNNNNNNNNNNNNNNNNNNNNNNNNNNNNNNNNNNNNNNNNNNNNNNNNNNNNNNNNNNNNNNNNNNNNNNNNNNNNNNNNNNNNNNNNNNNNNNNNNNNNNNNNNNNNNNNNNNNNNNNNNNNNNNNNNNNNNNNNNNNNNNNNNNNNNNNNNNNNNNNNNNNNNNNNNNNNNNNNNNNNNNNNNNNNNNNNNNNNNNNNNNNNNNNNNNNNNNNNNNNNNNNNNNNNNNNNNNNNNNNNNNNNNNNNNNNNNNNNNNNNNNNNNNNNNNNNNNNNNNNNNNNNNNNNNNNNNNNNNNNNNNNNNNNNNNNNNNNNNNNNNNNNNNNNNNNNNNNNNNNNNNNNNNNNNNNNNNNNNNNNNNNNNNNNNNNNNNNNNNNNNNNNNNNNNNNNNNNNNNNNNNNNNNNNNNNNNNNNNNNNNNNNNNNNNNNNNNNNNNNNNNNNNNNNNNNNNNNNNNNNNNNNNNNNNNNNNNNNNNNNNNNNNNNNNNNNNNNNNNNNNNNNNNNNNNNNNNNNNNNNNNNNNNNNNNNNNNNNNNNNNNNNNNNNNNNNNNNNNNNNNNNNNNNNNNNNNNNNNNNNNNNNNNNNNNNNNNNNNNNNNNNNNNNNNNNNNNNNNNNNNNNNNNNNNNNNNNNNNNNNNNNNNNNNNNNNNNNNNNNNNNNNNNNNNNNNNNNNNNNNNNNNNNNNNNNNNNNNNNNNNNNNNNNNNNNNNNNNNNNNNNNNNNNNNNNNNNNNNNNNNNNNNNNNNNNNNNNNNNNNNNNNNNNNNNNNNNNNNNNNNNNNNNNNNNNNNNNNNNNNNNNNNNNNNNNNNNNNNNNNNNNNNNNNNNNNNNNNNNNNNNNNNNNNNNNNNNNNNNNNNNNNNNNNNNNNNNNNNNNNNNNNNNNNNNNNNNNNNNNNNNNNAUUAGGGGCACAGAGACCUCUGCCAUAGCUGCGAGUGAUGGGGUCCGAGCUCAGAAUUGAGUAUUAAUUGGCUAGACUGAGGUGACCCCCUUUAAAUAGAGCUUUGACCCAAAAUAGUGCGUUUAAAAAAAAAAUUCUAAAAAAUAAAGUUGUUUUCAAAAUAAUGCCCGAUCUAAUGCGUCUGUGCCACAUAAGUUGCCAUGUCAUAAAACCGUAGUUGGUGACUACGGUUUUAUUUUUCAAAAAAGCUCAAAGCCGUAGUCACCAACUACGGCUUUAAACUUAAAGUUAAAACCGUGGUUGGUAACUACGGUUUCUAAGCACUUUAGAAAAAUAAAACCGUAGUCACCAACUACGGUUUUAUGACAUGGCAACUUAUGUGGCACAGACGCAUUAGAUCGGGCAUUAUUUUGAAAACAACUUUAUUUUUUAGAAUUUUUUUUUUAAACGCACUAUUUUGGGUCAAAGCUCUAUUUAAAGGGGGUCACCUCAGUCUAGCCAAUUAAUACUCAAUUCUGAGCUCGGACCCCAUCACUCGCAGCUAUGGCAGAGGUCUCUGUGCCCCUAAUCUCUUUACUCCCUUCACACCCAUUUGAUUUUUUCAUCUGAAUUUCACAUUUUCUCGCUGGUUUAUAUAUAUAUCAGCCAUAUACAUUAUGGAGCUUCAUCAAUAUAAUCUGUAAAGUUUAGAUUUCCACAAAGUCCUCUCUUUUUAAGCGUGCUUAAGCUGUUCUGGAGCUUGAGUGCAACACUACAGGAGCCUUUUUAGUUGAUCAUAACACUUGAGUGCUUGAUCUUAAAAUCCUGUUUCAUAAUUAAAUCAAACACCUAGUUUUCAAUUACCUAAAGUCCUUUUUUUUUUUGUCAUUUUUAAAAGCCAUUACCUUUUUUUAAAACUUGUUAUACAUACCUAUAUUCCCAAGGCUGAUUCGGCAACAAUCUUGAGUCUUCCAAAUGGUGUAAGUCACGAGAAAAUAUAUAGAGUUCUAAACCAAGAUGAACAAAAUAAAAAUGCCAACUUAAUCUAUCUAGGUCAAUGCAUUAACGAUGCCAUGGAUUAUUUUGAAGGUGUAAAAUUUUAUUUUUUAUCCUUUCCUCUAUAACGAUGCCACUCUUUUGAUUCCAAGACAAAAGGCAGUUGAUGUAAUUUAGGGUUUGGGGUUUGUUCUCCAAUACUGAGAUCUCUAGUCAAUCAAGUAUAUUGAAAUCUCUAAUCAAUCAAGUAAAAGCAGGAUGAUUAAGCCGUUGCAAUGCCUCCCACUUUUCCACCAUGGUAGUGUUCUUUUCCUAAGGCAAAGACAUGAUAUUUUAUUUUCUUAAAUAUGGAUAUAAUUUUAUUUUCUAGCAUGCUUCUUUCUCAUGAAUUUAUUUAUUUAUUUAUUUUUAAGUUGAUGCCACUAGGACUGACAUUAUAAUUAAAUAUAAGAAAUAUGUCCAGCAAGAGUAUAGUGAUUAUUUUAUGUAAUCAACAACCUUGAAUAUAGCAAAUGUUUUGUUUCUCUACAUUGAUACAUAAAUAUUAGUCUAACAAAAUAAAUAAUUUAUUUUUUUAUUCUAAAAUAUUGACAAAUAAAUAAACAUGUCACAUGGUGUCGUCAUUGUUUUCUCUUGGGGUACAUAGCUAACAUGAUAUUUUGUUAAUUGUGACUUGCGAUCACCAGAGCAAGUAAUAUAAUAUUUUAUCUAUAUGAAUACAAUUUUGUAAGAUGACCUAUUUUCCUAUGCAAUUAUUUUCUUGCUAGAAACAAACUACUUUUCGUAGUUUUCCCUUUGGAAUUCACUUCAGAAAAUAAAUAAAAAAAUAAGAAUUUACUUCACAAAUCAGAAGAUGUACGAUGCCUUAUUAGCAUUCAGCAAACUCCUCCCUACAUUUUGUUCCAAUGCAUCUUGCUUUCUUACUUUUAGGUUCUCCCUUUCGACUCAUUUGCCCUACUCCUCCCUGUUGAACAGACUCAAUUUUCAGUUUCUUAAGAUGACGUCUCUAGAAUUGGAAUGCAGUAUCAUGUUGACCCAUAGGCUGGCUCAGAUUUAGCCUAACCUAACAUGUUUGAGACCUAGCAUCAAAGCCCAAUUGGGUUGAGGAAGCAAUUCUAGGCCCAACGCAAAGCUAUUUGGGCUAUAGCAUGAGGAAUUAUGCCAUGGCUAGUGGUGAAUAUCACUUUUAAAGAGAGACAAAAAUGUGUCUCACCUUAAUAUAAACUAAGUGUACAUGGUUACCAUAAUAAGCCUAACUAAUUCCUGAGUACACUAAUCCGUGUUUUUCCCCUCUUACUUUCUCUAGAUUGCUCAAACAUCAUUGGAUCAUCAAACAUCAUUUUUCCAGAUUUGGACCGGAUUUGUGAAGAACUGGUUGAAGUUGUAGCUCGACCAGUCCACCUUUUGCUUCUCCUUGCACUUGGAUGAUGGUUAAACAUGGGAAAAUACAAGUUUGAAUCACAAGUUCAAAAUCAAUUAAGCUAAAUGUUCUAUUAGCUAGGUUGUGUUCAAGGCAUUGGGGCUCAUUAGUGGAAGUUAAGAUUCAAAACACCACUCUAUAGUUCUUAAUUGGUUGUUAAAUGCUUUGAUCAAAUUUCUCCUAGUGUUUGAUUUUUCUAUAGCAUUGAAUAUCAUAGUCAGUAUUAAAUUAUGAGGGUGAAUGGGUACAUCAACUCAACUUGCCCACAAUGUUUGAUUUUUCUAUAGCAUUAAUUAUCAUGGUUAGCAUUGAAGUAUGAGGGUGACUAGGUGCAUCAACUUGUCCACAAUGUUUGAUUUUUCUAUAGAUAAUGUUCUGUAGCUAGUCAAGCACGAGGAGCUAUCUAAUUACUAGACAUACCCACAUGCUUAUGAAAGGAGGAGGCCUUGCAAGUUGUUAUCCUAUUUAAUAGGUAAAGGAUUAGAAUUACUGAAAAUAAUUGUCUUAAGUAUGUGUGUAUGUAUUUUUUUAUCAUAUUAAAUACAUGUUUUAGAUAUUGUUACUAAAUAUUGGAUUAAAACAGGAAUUUCCUAAGUAAUUAAAAUGACUUCUCUUGAACUUGAAUUCCCUUCUUUCCCAUUUUAGCAAAAAAAAAAAAAAAAGACUCCCUCUUAUAGAUGAUAAUUACUGCAACUUGUUAAAUUGUUGGAAGAUGCAUGUUUUAGGGUUUUGCUUUGAUAUUUUGUUGCUACUAAAUAGAUUGAACCAAUUUAAUAGUCUUUUACACUCUCCACCUAAGACAAUUAUAUGUUAUUUAAUAGGGAUUUAGGGUGGAAAUUUCAUUUCAAAGCAUGAUGGAAGGUUUUUGUAUUUUUUUUUUCAAAGAACUGACAUAACUAAAGUUGAUCUCAAAAGCAAAUCCAAAAAUUUAUUAAAAUCAAAUCUGAGAUUUAAAGGAGGAAAAAAAAUAACAAAGAAAAAAAAACUCAUAUUUGGUAAAAGUACAUAAUAUAACCAUUACUUAUGAAUUUAUGAACCUCCAAGCUAGUUUAAUAGGUUCUAUCUUAUCUAUACACCUUUCUCCACGGAUUAUUAGGUAUCAAUCAAUUCUGUUAGUAGCAUGUUACCAUUUCUACUUCAAGUCAUAUUUAUGUCUGGACAUCUAUGGAUAGACCUUCUACCAAUGCAAAGCAAGUGGCAUAGCAAAAUUUCUUAGUCAUUGUAUGACAAAUCUUAUCAUCUUUUUUCAACUCUAAUUAUGACAAUGAAUGACAUCCAACACUCAGUUUCUCAAAACUUGACUAGUUCCUAUGGGGCCAACGAGGAAAUAAAUUGAUUCAUGCAUCAUUUUACAUAAGGGACUACAACUUGGAACCAUGAGAGAUCAUUUUUUCUUUUUUUCUUUUUGUAAUUAUAUAUCUUUCUUGAUGCAUCCACCUUCAAACUUUCAAAUAAUUCUCUUUUUUGUGAGCUUCAAUUGGAAUUUUGUCUUUGUGGAAUUUGCUACUACAUUCCUAAUGAAACCUAAGUUGGUAUCUCCUACGUUGUCCAAUUCGAAAAAGGACGCCUUUAUUGACUAACGUAAGGCUCUCCAAAAUCUGAUUUUGAUUUUAUUUAUUUCUUCAUGAAUCAUAUGAUUAGUUCUUCUUAUGAAAUUUCUCUUAAGAAUAAGGAAACUAGUAACUCUCUAAAGCACCUCAUUUCUUAAUAAGAAAAUUAUUGGUAAAAAGGGAAAUUGAUGUUGUGAGCCUCAAUUUCUCAAAUGAGAUUUGUUUAAUUUAUCUUAAAGCUAAAUAAAAUUUAAUUUGACUUUGGUUUAAAUAGAACUUUAUUUUUUAUUUUAUUUUAUUAUAUUUUAAGACUUUAAGUUUAAAGAUAAGAAUGACCUUAAAACAAAAAACGAGCCUAAAUAGAAGCAUAUUAUAUAAAGAUCACAUUAAUCAUGAACCAUUGAUUAAAACAUUAGCUAACUACAUAUUAAAAAAGAAUAACAGAAAAGAAAAUGAUUUUUUUCUUCACUAUAAUUAUGAGAUGAUUGUGAAAUUUACAUGUAAUUAGGUGAAUAAUAGCACAACUUGUUCUUGGUAGGUGAAACAUUAAUGAUCGUUGUGCAUAGGUUAUCAGCUUUAAAAUUUCAUUGAAAUUAUUUACUUGGAAAGGGGGUGGUACCACAACUAAACAUAACAAAACUAUUUAUUUAGAAGGGCGGAAGGAAAAACUUUAUGGAGAGAAAACCAAUCUAUGAAAACAAUCAAUCGAGAGAUCUGGAUUUAGAUUUUGCUUUAAUUACUAUCUUAACUAGUUAGAGGUUUGAGUGAAAGUUACCACUUAUAAUCACAAACAAAUGAUGUACUAUAUUUUCAUCCAUGUUGAUUGUGAAAUAGGAUAUAUGAUAACCAUAAAAUUAUGAAAAAUUUUAUUUUACCAAAAUAUAUUUUCUAUUGUAAAUUAUUGAAAAAGUGGUGUAUAUAUAAUUAAAAUAACAAGUAAUUUUAUAUUGUAAAUUAGAUUAUAGAAAAAAAAAAUUGAACAAAAAUUGAAAUUUGUAAGUUUUUGCUUAUAUAUUUUUAUUAUAAAUAUUUUUCUACUAAAAAAUAAAGUUUAUAGUAGAAAGUCAAAUAUUAUAUAAUAAUUAUUCUUACGAUAGUUUAAAAAAUGAAAUGUAAAUUCAUGAUUGAAAGUGAUAUUUUGCCACAAAUAAUUUUGAGGUAAAAAGUGGAGUUCAUGGCACAAUGUUAUAUACUAUGCAAAAAUUAUUCUCACCAUGUUUUUUACAAUAAAAAGUAACUUCUUAGCGAUAUGUAAUAUUUUCAAAAGAAUUUUGGGAAGUAUAUUUUAGGAAGGCAUCAACAAAGACACAUUAAACAUUGUGGCGCAGUUAAUGUAUGUAACAAGAGUAUAAACAAAGGUAGAAAAGUUUGAUUAAUUCUUUUGGUAAUUUCUUAUUUCACAUAGCAAGUAGGCAUUGAAAAAUUUUCCACAAAAUUUAUGAGGGAGGAAUAAUGUCCAAAAUGUGUCAAUCAAAUAGACUAAACACUAUGUAUAUAUAUAUAUAUAUAUAUAUACACACACACAAACACACACAUAUAUAUUGUUUUCCAUAAGAAAAUGGGUGCCAUUAUUUUUAAAAGAAUUAUUGAGAAGGACCUUUUGGGAAGGUGUUAAUAUAGAAAGAUUAAAAAUUGUGGGAUAGUUGAUGUAUCUUACAAGGAUUGAAAUGAUGGUGGAAAAGCUUGACUGAUGGUUAGAUGGUUUCUUAUUUUCCAUGGAAAAACUGGCUUUGAAAUUUCCCCACAAAAUUUAUGAGGGACGAAUAAUGUCCAAAAUCUGCUAAUCAAAUGGACUAAACAUGGUGGAGAUAACCAAUAUAUAUAUGUCAUCAUUUUCAAAAGGAUUAUUAAGAAGGACCCAACAAAUUCUAGGAUACCAACAAAUUCUUAACUAAAUUCGUAUAGAUCAAGCUUGACUAAUUCUAUAAUGGUUCUUCUUUUCCAUGAAAAGUGGGAGUUAUUGUUUUAAAAACAAUUAAUGGGAAGGCCAUAAAAAAUAUCAAAGAUAUAGAAGGCAAUUUUAAAGUAUAGUUAAGGAACAAAGAGAUUUACUAAUUUAUUUUAUUAUGUUCUUCAAUUGUACUAUGCAUAGAAGAAUAAAUACAUGGAAAAAUAUAUAUAGAACACUAAUUCUACUAUUUUUCUACUUUUAUUUUUUUUUCAUGGUAUCAAAGUCAUUUGACUGAUAUCCUCUAUAAUUUUUUAACAACAUAUUUAAGUUUCUUUUCUUCCACUCUCUCCUUUUCAAUUAAUAGUGUUUCUCAUCCCAUUUUUAUUGAGUUAGAUAUGAAGGAUAAGGUUUCCUUGAAGCAUUCAUGUAUCCAAAUACAUUCCUUGACAUGAUAUAAUAUGAUGCUUUAGGCGAGCCACGUCAUAUGACUUUCUUGAUACUUAAAAAGCGUCAUUGUUUCCUUUUUCCUUAUAGUGGUUUCUACAAGUUCUUCGUAGAUGUGACUUAUUAGCUAUUGUUUAUGAAUUGAAACAUACCCAUCUAAGCUCAUCCAAGACUAUAAGGGAGAAAAAAAUAACAUAACCACAAUUUAUAACUCAAAUAAGUAGGAUUAUAGUACAUUCUUUGUUAUCUUAAGAACACUGUAUAUGAAAUUUAUUUCUUCCUAAAGAUAUCAUGUAGUUGUGGUUUAAUUGAGAUGAACUUUAUUCUUCCUAAGAGGCUUAGGGUGCGUUUAAUAGUGUUUUACUCAAAGUGAUUUCUCUAGAAGUGUUUUUAUGAGAAUCACCCAUCAAUUGCUUCUCCAGAAAACACUAAAAAUGAUUUUUUAGAUUUUUAAAAAAUUUUCAUAAAUUUUUUCAAACAUUUGUUUUUUCUAAAAACACUUUUUACACUGAAAACAUUUCCUAUAAUUAAUUACUACCAAAUGAAUUCUUAGUGUUGUUUUAUAGUAUAUGCUAUGACUGAAUUAUAUUGGAUAUAUUGGAAUGCUACAAAACGAUCUAUGUAUAUGUUCUUAUCCUCUUCUAUUUUUACCUUAUCCCAAAUGCAGCGCAUUAAUAAUAUUGAUUACCAUUUAUUGAGAAGAGGUUCUGUAUGCUGACAUUUCUGCAAAAUGCAUAUCAGCUGUUGAUCAAGUGGCCUAUAUUUUUAUGAAAUGCCUUACUUUCUAUCUGCAUGUUUACUUGAGGAGGUUCUUCAGGAAGAAGUAGCAGACUGAAUACAUGAUCCUAAGUCAAGAGGGUUCAAUGAAACAAUCCCAAAUUCCUUACUUUCUAUCCAUUUACUUGAGAAGGCUCUCAAGGAAGAAGUACCAGACUGAAUACAUGACCCUAAUUAAGUUAAAGGGUCGGGUUAAAUUAAACAAUCCCAAUGACAUAACAUCUGACUUAUCAACUCUACGAAUGGAUCAACAAGUCUAUAGAGACUAAUUUAUGUCAAAAUACGAACAAAUAAAAUGAAAUUAUGUCAAAAUUUCCAUUACCAUAUCAGGGUGCAAAGGAAUAUGGCAUGGGCUAAUAUCCUCUAUCGUAAUUUCUCCUUUCAAAAUGAUAUGGAAUAUUGUGUAGUACGUACCUUUUGUUGGCUUCUUUAUGCACUUGAUUUCAGGUUCCGUGUCAUUACUCAUCUCCAGCCCGCCUUUCCCACCUUCUGCUUUGCAAUUUCCACACAAAGGUUUUGACCAGUUCAUAGAAAAUCUAGAUUCCCCAUAUGCUAUAUUUAAUGGGAGUGAAGCGUCGGAAAUCUAGCAAGCAAAAUAAAUUUAUAAAUAAAUUAAAAUAGACAUUAUUCCUCAUGCAUAUGUUUGGAAUACAAUGCAUGGUAUUAUCGGCAUAAUUCAUAUAGUAUUAUGGCCUUAUCACAUCUAGGGCAUUGCACAUUUAUGAAGAUAAAAGAAAUGAAGUCCUCUAAAUGUAAGGACCAACUUUCUUUUAGUGCCAAGAAAAAUUAGAAAAGUUGUCUUGGUGGUUUUAUUUGUAAAGUCAUAUUCAAUAAAUAAAGCAUCAAAAUCGACCAACAUUUGUGUUGCUAAGAGGAUUUGAACCUGGGACAAAAGACUCAAAUUAAAUCUAUAGCAACCACUAGAGCAUGGUACCCCUUAUUAGAAAAUAUGCACCAAUAUAUAUAUAGGAAUACUAAAGAUUAUUUUAUUAAAUAAAUUAAUUUUAAUUAUUUUAUUUUUGCAUUUGAUAUAAUUUAUUGCCAAAAAUAUAAAAACAUAAUUUUCUAUCUAUUUUAUAUAAUCUAUAUAUUUAUUAAAAAUAAAAACUAUGAAUAUUAAAAAAAAAUUAUACAUAUUUUAGUAUUAAUUUGAUAUCAUUGAAUACAUUUAAAUUAAAAUGGAUCAUAUUUUUAAUAUUAAAUAUAUUUUAAAAUUAAACAUGCUAUCAUAAUAUUGUUCUAAAAUAAUACAUAAUGAAACUUAAUAAUAAAUGUACACUUAUAAAAUUUAUAUAUAUAUAUAUAUAUAUAUUUAAAAAUAACUUUAAAAUGUUACUCCUUAUAUCAUUUUUUUUUAGUUUUUUUUCUGAUAUUUUUAAAAUUUUCAUUAAUUUUUAUGUCAUCGAUAUUUUGUGUCAAAAUAUCUUUUGAUAUAUCUCCGAUAUGUUCACAAAAUCAAAAUACCGAUAUACCAUAAUUAUUGAUAUUUUUAUCUUUGUGUGCAAUGAAUUACAAAAAUUAUUAGAGUGUGAGAGUUGUAGGAGACCAUUUUAAAAUUUUGAAUAUUUAUUUGCUCCUACAAUUUUAUGCUUAUAAUUAAUUAUAAUAAUAGACAUACCAUGGAAAGGUUUAAGCUCUCAAAUUGUUGCAUCUUUGUUAAUUCUCUCUCUAUUAAAAUGCAACUUUUAAUUUGAGAGACUGAUUUAAAGUGUGAAGAGUGAGAUUAGAGUCCUAAUUAAAUUUCAACGAGUAGAAAUCUAAGAAUGGAGAAACCAAAGCAUCCAUUAAUCUAAAGAACCAUACAUGGAAUGGUGCAAUCCAAUGUCCAAGAAUGUUAUUGAAUUGUAACAUUUGGAGGGGGCAAGGAUAUUUCUCUAACAAAAACUAUAAGUAAUUACUUACAAAAAAAUUGUUGUAAUUGGCACUAUUGAUCCUUGAAAGCCCAUAUUACUACUGGCAACAAAUUCAUAACAAAAUAGCUUACUUGAACAUCUACAACCCCAAUAAUUAUUUUUGUAGAAUACCUGGAAAAAAAAAAAAUAGAACUUAAAAGGAAAUGAAGGAUUUUCUUUGAUAAUUUUAAGGGCAAGCAAGAAGACUUUUCAAAUUACAUCUAAAAUGAUAUUUUAUUACUUGUACAUAGCCUCACUUACAAGGAACCAAACUAUUGUUUGAAGAAGAAACUUUAUCUUAUUACAUAGACCGAUCUCAUAGAAACCUUACACAUAAGACACAAUCACACAUUAUUAUUGGAUCACAAAAUAAGUAAUUAGAUGGUGUAGUACUACCUUCCAUUUAAGGUAAUUGUACCCAUGGAAUUGGAUGAUGAAGUUGAUGCCUCUACCAUGAAUUGCUCAUGAUUAUCAAUAGACCAUAGAGUUGGCUUAGGAGGCAUUUUCAAGAGUUCAACCUCUCCUUCAAGCAUCUCCAACGCUUGGCUCAUUGAAGGACGAUCUACAGGCUUCAUUUGUAUACACCAUAGUGCAACUAUCACCAUUUUCCUUACAUACCUUUUUUCAUCCUCAGUGGCAUCUCCCAUUUCCAUGUCCUCUUCUUGAUCAUAAUUGUUAUAAAUCCACGAUGUGAAAUACAUUUGACUUGAAUGUUCUGCAAAUGUGUUAACAUUUUUCCUUUUCCCUACCAUUUCCAAUAACAACAUUCCAAAACUAUAAACAUCAGCCUUAAAUGAUACACCUCCAAUGUUUUUGUAGAACAAUUCAGGAGCAAUGUAGCCCAAGGUUCCUCUAGCAGCAGUGAUGGAUACGAUACUAUCAUUUGUUGAAUAUAAUUUUGCAAGACCAAAAUCUGAAACUUUUGGUGUGAAGUCUUCAUCAAGAAGAAUGUUGUGUGGCUUGAUAUCAAAAUGGAGAAUUUGCAUGUCACAUCCCUGAUGUAAGUAUUCAAUCCCACGUCCCACUCCAAGUGCAAUCUUGUAUAAUCUUUCCCAAUUCAAGGGAAUGUUGUUUCCUUGGUCAAGAAAAACAAACUUAUCAAGAGACCCAUUGGACAUGAAGUCAUAUACAAGAGCCCAUUUUGAUCUCUGUAUACAAAAUCCAACAAGUCUCACAACAUUAACAUGAUGAAUCCUUCCAAUUGUAGCAACUUCAUUGAUGAAAUCUUGCCCAUUAGCUUUUGACAUAACUAACAUUUUUACAGCUACAAUGCGACCACUUUGGAGUUUUCCUUUGUACACAGAGCCAAAACCUCCUUGACCUAAUUUAUUCUUAAAAUUAUGAGUCAUCUUUUUUAGCUCCGAAUAUGAGUAUUUGAUUGGCUGAAGAUUUUUAUGGCUAUGUAGAAAUUCUUCAAUACCAUCAUCCAAUGAUAAGUGUCUUCGUCGAAACUUGUAGAUUAAAUAGACAAGCAAACACAAAAUACCAGGUAUGGCCCUCCCGAUGAUGAUCAUGCCUAUAAAUCACGUGUUAAAAAUAUCAAUAAAAAAAAUAAAAAUUAGAGGAAGGUGUAUCAUCAUCUACAUUCAAUUAUCAAAUCCAAAUAAGAUUGUUUAAAAAGUCAUUUCACCCAUAUAAUUGCUUAUUGGUUGACUCAAUAGAAAGAUGUUUUUAGGUUUCCAAUCAAUAUUGUAUGGAAUGAAAGAGAAAAUUUGUUUAGUUGCUUAAAAUUGGGAAAUGGAAUUGGAUGCCCAAUUGUCAAUUUGGUUGUACUCUAAAUAAAUUUAAAAUUCAAUACAUAACAAAUUUGCAAAAAUAUAUAAUUUCAUUUGAAAUUAAAAUUCUGAAUUUCAUAAAAAUGGAAUUCCAAUUUAUAUUUGUACAACCAAAUAUAGAACAACAAAACUAGGCACCUUUACACAAUCUUCUUUGAAAAAACUUCUAAAAGACUAAGGCAAAAUGAGUUCUAAAAAAAAAACAUAGUAUCGUUUGCAGCAAUCUAUUUAUUGAGAUUUGAAAGACUUACCUAUGUAUCUUAUUAUCCAACCUGCAAAAAUAAAAUUAAAAAAAUGAUUAAAUUAAAAAACAAAAGAUUUGCAUAUAUUACAUAUUAAAGAUGAGCAAUAGACCAGUAUAAGACAGUUAUUUUUAUUAUUAUUUAUUGAUUGAAAAGCAAGAGAGAUGGAUAUACAAGAAAAAUUAUUACGAUUAUUAUAGCUAUUUAAAAAUCAUCUAUACUAUUAUUAAGUGCGCAUAUAAAUUAUGUGUAUUAUUAAUUAUCAAGUUGACUAAGAGAUUUUCUCCUUCAUCUAAACAUUUAUUAUACUAACAGUUAAUAAUAAAAAUAAAGUAGCAGUUUACUUACUUGGAUUAUCAUCAAUAAAUAAAAUAAAUUAUUCAAUCACUACAUAAAUGAGAAUCUCAAUUAUAUAUAUAUAACACAUGGGAUUAUUAUUAUUAUUAUUAUUAUCCAAUUUAUGAAAAUCAUAUGAUAAUAGAAACUCUAGAAACCUUACCAAGGUAAAGUGCAGUUUCAUAGUGGUAGUAGUAGUUGUAUCUUUCUCUUACAUCUGCAUGAUGAAAUCAAGUAAUUAAAUUAUGUUAGUGGUAAAAGUUGAAGAAUCUUAUGCAUUUUGUUUUCAAAUCCUGCAUAUUGACCAAUUAGAUAAUGAUAAUUUAUCUUGAAAAAGGAAGAAAAUAAAAUGGAGAACCCACAAUGGUAAUCACCAACUAACUAAACCGCAUAAUUUCACCCACUUGGCUCUCCCUUUUUUUUUUAUUUAACUAAAAAGUGAUUAAUCCUCUGUCUUUUUGAAAAAAAUGUCAUGACAACAAUUCUACUUUUAACAACACUCCUUUAUUUAUUUCCAAAUUGGAAAAUCCAGUUUAAUGGCAUGCUUUAUUCAAAUUCAAUUUUACACUAUCAAAGCAAUGCUUCAUUCAAACAAUUGUUAAGUAGGCCUUACCGUUGCUUGAAAAGGUGCUCCGAUCUGUUAAUUAAUAAACAAAAAAAACACAAAUUAAAUUUAACAUGAAAAAGAUAUAGGACAAUAAAAGAUAAAUUUAUCAAGAAAUAAAACAUAAAAGAUAAAAACUUGACUCCCGGAGUCUCACCCCUUAAAGAUUCCAAAUAUUCAGAGAACCUAUACCCAAAAGAGUACCCUGCAAUAUUAAGCCAAUUAAGCCUUUUUGUAGGAAGCAAAACAAUUAAAUAAAAUAAAAUAAAAAACAUUUUUCAUACUCAUACAUUUUACGGUAUUUUUGGUCCAAUCUAGAUCGCAGUAUGGCCCUUUCAUAUGGCAUUCGCUUUUGCAACGGAAGGGCAAGAAUGAAAUAUCAAGCCCCUGAAGAAGUAUUUCUUGCAAAUCUGACCUUGAAAGAUUGCCGGGCUUCAAGAAUUGAGUAAUAAUAGUCCUGCUAAUGGUGCAUGAAUACUUAAUAUCAUUCACCAGCAGGGAGUCUCCUCCGCCGACUAGUGCAUAAACAUAUGCUUGUGAGGAAGAUGAAGUCACAUUGCUUCUGUUGCAAGGAGUGAUAGGAAUAUAGUUGCCAUCACUUAUUGGCUGCUCGCAGUUCAUCAAAACCGUGGUAUUGGUCGCUUCAUGCGGAUUCAAAAAAUAUGCUCUCUUAUCCGAACGGAAUAUUUCUCUUGUCAAGGAAUACAGAGGAGCGGAGAAACAGUUGCCCUUUUCCACCCCUGGAUCCACUACCCGAAUGGUGUAGUUAACGUAGUUGAUAUCGGCAACAUAGUAUUUCCCAUGCUCCAGGUUUACCACAGUACGAUUGUUUUCGCAGACCAAUUCAUAGUCAGGAUCACCACACCCAGACGGAUCACCUUUCAAUCGGAAAGGGUUGCUGAUUUUUUUAAUAUCUCCACAAGAAGAAGGCCUGCAUGUCUGGUUUCCAUUAGCAGCACAAAUUGCAAGCAAGAAAGUGUGGAAGACUGUUAAUGCCACAACUUUUGUUUCUCUGAGCAUCAUGACAUUUGAGAGAGAUACUGAGUUGGAAUUCUUCUGCUUUUAUGUUGAAUUUAAGAGAAAGGAGACUUAUUGACCGUCAUAAUCAAGUGCUUUGAUUUUUCUGUAUGUGGAUAACUGCACAUUGAAGUAACGGAUAGCCACCCCUUGUUCAUGAUAAGGUUCACUCUACUGCUUUGCAAGUUGCAUUUUGACACCUUCAAGCAUUGCCUGUUCAACAGGGAAAGACCUCUAAAUAUGUCCACAUAUUGAAAACCAAGAAUCACUAUAUUUGAUAUAGUAAUAUUUGAAGUUAAUUUCAAAAAAUAAAAAAUAAAAAGGAUCUUAUAGCUGAAUUAGCAACUUUCCUCGAAGCUUAAAUGGACCAUAAUGUAUACCAAAUUAACUUUAUAUAAAUAUAUGAAUAAUGAAUUAUGCAUUGUAUCAUGUUAAGUUACCACUUCUCUAAAAAUUUGAACCUUCUAUAAGUUUUAGAUACACAAUAUAUACCAAGUUAGAUAAAAUUUUCUUUAUAGAAAUGACUUCGCAUUUGAUAUUAAUCAUAAUUAUUAGAAUAAUCUUUUGUAGUUUUUUAUUAUUUGUAUUUUAAGUUGUAUUUCUCAUCAAAUUCCUACAUCAUAUCAAAAUUUGAUUUUUUUGAAAACAUACAAAAAGAAAUUAAGCAAGACAGUACAUUUAGAUUGAAAUUAUAAUAAAUGAAAUAUUAUUAAAUUUUAGAAUAGGUUCUAUGCUUAGGUAAAAAUGUUUUUAUAUUUUUUUGUUGGUCUUGACCAUUAUGACAUUUGAGAAAGAUACUAAUUUGGAAUUCUUCCAUUUUAAUUUAUGUUGAAUUUAAGAGAAAUGAGUUGCAAUUAUUCAGCCAACUGGCUAAACCACCUUUUGGUCCCCAUUUUGGUGCAAUUUGAAAUAAGGGUAAAGCAUACCAACCUUUGGUUCAUGAUCAGAUUCACUGAAUUCCUUUGCAAGUCAUGUCUGACAACUUCAGUCAUUAAAGACUUUUGGCUGAGAACAACGGGAGACCUCUAAAUAUGGCAACAUAAUGAAAAUUAAAUAUCAUGAUGUAUAACCAAAAUUAAUUAGAAGUUUUAAUCAAUGUCAUCCAACAAUCUUUAGUUAUUACAGGUUUGUUAUUUGAAAAUUCAAAAUCUUGACUCUAAAUGUGUGGAUACAAGUGAAGAUGGCAAGUAGGAAUGGAGUUUCCAAAUCUUCUAUCACUUGAAAAGUUCAAAUCUUGAUUCUAAAUGCAUGAAUAAAAAAGUCUAGGUGAUGGCAAAGUUAUUAUCUUCCUAGAUCCUCUAUCCAUUGAGAAGUAAAAAUCAAUUACAUAUCAUAUAGAAAAUUAUAUGUACAAAUUAAAUGGAAUACUUAAAUUUGAAAGAGAGAAGAUGAUUGACUGAAAAUGUAACACCACAGUAAUUCUCCUUCCUAGAAUUCUUCUCUAUAAAUUUUCAGGCUAAUCUCCUCUCAAUAUUUGUAUCCCCCUUUCCACUUUCUUUCCUAUCCCUGAGAUUUCUGUUCUUGGCAAAAGUCACAACUUCCUUCCAUAAAAAUGGAUCGAUCUCUCUCUUUAUUUUUGUUCUCGUUUCUGACCUUGUUUGUGGAGAUGAGAGGGGGCCGAGGUGAGUGCCCGACAUCAAAUCGUUGUGGCGACCAGGGUCCACUCAUCCAGUUCCCUUUCCGUCUAAAAAGCCAGCCACACCACUGUGGAUACCCGGGAUUUGUUUUAUCUUGCACUGAGAAUAAUCAGAUCAUGCUGGAGCUGCCAGAUUCGGUAAAGCUCUUGGUGAAGAAUAUAAUCUACAAAUCCAGGGAAAUCAUUGUCCAGAACCCGGAUAAUUGCCUUGAGAGACAGCUUCGAAACCUUAGUUUAGCUUCGUCCCCCUUCCAGUUCAAAUUUGAGGGGGACGUCACCUUCUUCAAUUGUUCCUUACUUAAAACGGCAGAAUCAUUUGCUGCUCACUUCAUCCCUUGCCUUUCUAUCCCUGGUAACCCAGUUUAUGCCGUUGACUCCUUCUAUCCUCUCCAAAAUAUGGACCUAUCGUCUUGCCGCAGGCUUUACAACGCUUCAGUUGGAUAUCAUGUCUUUACGGAUUAUACAUUCAAUGGAAGUGCGUUUUCUUUGAAGUGGCCGAAAUCAAUAUGUGGAAGCUGCCUACGAGGAGGACACAUAUGCAGACUGAAAAAGAGUAAUAGCAGGGAACCAGAAACUGAAUGUAUUAAAGGUACUUUAUGUAUCUCAAUUCCCUAUUCAUCUUCUUUUCAUCUUUCAUUCCCGCCUCAUAUCCUCUACAAUGAUCUAAUAAACAAAUACUCCAUUUUGGAAUUAAAAAGCCAUUGCAAAGGAUAUGAGCUGAUAAAUUCUACUGAUCGAGUUUCUAAGCUAUGGAAAGUAGAACUAAAAUCUUGGAUGGAAUUUACUUUUUAUUGGGAUUCUGAAAGUCUGAAAGAUAAAAAAUAAAAAAGAAAAAAAGAAAAAAAGAUCAAUUUGAUUACAACCAAUCAAAGUACUAUAUGUUUACUUACUAUUUACAUGAGGAUUUUUUUUAAGUUCUAAUCAUUUUGCCUCUUUCACCGAAAUAUUUUGUCUAUAUUAGGUCAUAAAUUGAAAUAAUAAUUAAUUAAUGAAAAUAAUUUUAUACAUUUUUAAACUAUUGUCUUUAUGCAAAAAUGGUAACAAGAGUAAAGAAAUUAUCAACCAUGAAUUUUUGGGCUAAAGUUUUAUAUUGUUUCUUUUCUUUCUUCAAAUUUUUAGAGCCCUGAAAAGUUAUAAGGAAAUAAUUGGACAAAGAGCUAAAUGUUUAUUUUGGAGUUAAUUUUUUGAAAAAUUAAAGAAAUAUAACAACAAUGUUAAAAGUUCUUUUGUAAUGGAUUCUUUUCUAACUACUUAUGACAAGUACUUUUUUUUUUUUUUUGUUUCUCCAUACUUUUCCAACAAUGUGAAUGUAAAAAUGCAAAGUAAUAUAAUUGAUAUUCAACUAUUCAUUUUGGAUUUUGGAGAUGUUUAAGGAACUAAAAGAAAAUUACUAAAGAUUGUUUAAAAUAGAUUAUUUUCUCAUUUAUUGUUUCAUAUCCAAGUAGAGAAUACUAACCUCCUUGGUAAUCCAUCUUUGUUGCAACUCCCAAUAAUGACAAUUGUGUAAAAAUUUUCAUAAAUAUCAUUUUCCUAAUUUUAAUGGGUAUCCACAUGCAUGGAUACCUUUGCCCUCUUAUCUAACAUGAGAAGUUAUAUGUUAAUGGUCAAUCAAAUUGCCAAGUGUCAUAGAAUUCACCAAUUGGAAUCUCACUAUAUAUAAUGUCAUAGGAUAAGAGUAGAGAUUUGUUUGAGAUAGAGUUUUAUUUUUAUUUUAGUUUUUUUUAUAAAAUAAGGUGAAUUAGUGUUGAGGGCUUCAUUACGACAGUAAGUUAUUAUGAAACAGAAUAGUUUAACUAAGAUACAUAAUAGAUAUUAGAAGGGUAAGUUUUAAUCUCCACUACAAGUUAGAAUGGAGUUACCAGUAGAAUUGGUACUCAACAUGUAGACUAUAAGAAAGAGACCCAAAAGAUAGGGUUGAAGCCUAGAAUAAAAUUAAAUUAAAAUCAUAUCAUAUGCAUGUAAUUUAGCAUGAUUUUGUUAAUUCCAAGAGCACAACAAGAUAAUUAUUAUUAUUUUUUAAAUAUUUUACAGGUGUAUCAAAGCAAGCAAUGGUAACAGGUAAUAUUUUAUUUAUGCAUUUUUAUUAUAGAAAUAAGGAUUCUUAACUUGGUUAUUCUAUCUAUUUAUUUAAAUAAAAAAAGUUUAAGUUUUCUUCUUUUUAUGUUUGUAGGCACAAUCUUUGGUUUCUUUCUACUUGUGUUAGUAAUUGCUAUGUUUUAUCGUCUCUAUAGCUCAGAUAAAUUAGAAAGAGAGAAUGGAAUAAAGGUUAAAAGGUUUCUGGAAGACUAUGAAGCUCUCAAGCCCUCAAGAUACUCCUAUGUUGAUAUUAAAAGGAUUACAAAUCAAUUCAAAGAUAAAUUAGGCCAAGGAGGUUAUGGAACAGUGUACAAGGGAAAGCUUUCACAUGAAGUUUUUGUUGCAGUAAAAAUCCUUAAUAAUUCUCAAGGAAAUGGAGAAGAGUUCAUUAAUGAAGUGGCAACGAUGGGUACAAUCCACCAUGUUAAUAUAGUUCGCUUAGUCGGAUUUUGUGCUGAUGGAUUUAAACGAGCUCUAAUUUAUGAGUACUUACCAAAUGAGUCAUUAGAGAAGUUCAUAUUUUCAAGAGAUGUUAAGAACUAUUCACUCAGUUGGAAGAAACUUCAAGAAAUUGCUAUAGGUAUAGCGAAAGGAAUUGAGUAUCUUCAUCAAGGUUGUGAUCAAAGAAUCAUCCAUUUUGAUAUCAAAUCUCAUAAUAUUUUACUUGAUCACAACUUUAAUCCAAAGAUUUCUGACUUUGGUUUAGCCAAAUUGUGCUCCAAGGAACAAAGUGCGGUCUCUAUGACCGUUGCAAGGGGAACAAUAGGCUACAUUGCUCCAGAAGUGUUGUCUAGGAAUUUUGGGAAUGUGUCUUAUAAGUCAGAUGUUUAUAGUUUUGGAAUGUUGUUACUUGAAAUGGUUGGAGGGAGGAAGAACAUUGAUGUUAGUGUGGAGAGUACUAGCCAAGUAUACUUCCCAGAAUGGAUUUAUAAUCAUUUGGAUAUAGGGGAAGAAUUGUAUAUUCGGAUUGAAGAAAAAGGAGAUGUUGAGAUUGCAAAGAAAUUAGCAAUUGUGGGACUCUCAUGUAUUCAAUGGUUUCCAAUGGAUCGUCCUUCCAUGAAAAUUGUGGUUCAAAUGUUGGAAGGAAGAGGCAAGUUAACCAUGCCUCCUAAUCCUUUUGCUUCAACAACUCCAACAAAGACAAACUUGGGCAAACCAGGAAGUGUUUUUCAACAAGAGUUAGCAAUCAUUUCAGAAAUAGAGUAAAAUAAUUGCAUCAAAUUAUUAUGAAUGUGUAAUUUUAUAAAAAUUCAUAUUGUAGUUGUUCAUCAUCGUAGCAUUUCUAUUUAUAUUUCUGUUAAUUGAACAAAUGAUUGUACACAAUGAUUAUACCAGUGGCUCAAUUGAUGUUAGAUUCUAGAAGUUCUUGUUCCCAUGUAAUGUAUUUAUCAUGUAUGAUAUUUUAAUGAAUAUGUCCAAGAAUAUUCUCACAAUCCAAAUUAUAGUUUAGCUACACACAACUCUAGAGAUCACCUUUCAAUCAAGAAUAACUAAUGUCCAUCACAUUCAAGAUAGAUAGUAUUGCACGAAAUAGCAAUAGAAUAGAUCUAGGAAACUUGAAAAUAAGUCUCAUCCACUAUGUCUAUAUGGAGUUUCUUUUGCUUUUUUUUUUUUUUUUCCUUUUUGCCUUUAUCACUUUUUUAUUGGAUUGAGAAGUAAGACGAAUAAGUUAUGUAAUGACUAAAUAAAGUUGCUCCUUGAGCUAGAUUAUAUUACCCAAUAACUUGAUAAAGUAUAUAAUCUUUUGCUUUGCACUAAGAAGCAAGAGUUUUCAAACAAAAAUUUGGCCUUUAAUUUAUGACUGCAAUUUAAAAAAAUUAAGCUUAAUUCUCUACCAUCAUUUCCGUACAAAGCAAGUGGCUUUACCUUUAGAAAGGUCUCAUAUGGAUGCAUUAUCAAAGACAAAGUUCAUUAAUAUUGAAAUUUGGGGAUGAUUGAUCAUCUCCUUACCUCUAUCACAGUUCUAAUGCUAAUGGAAUAUCCUCAAAAGGCAAAGGAUCAACCUCUUUUUAAUGCUAAGAAAAUUUAUUUAGUGGCUAUUUAAAAUGAGAUAUUUAACCAAUACAAAUUACCAAUGGAUCAUAUGUACGGUAGACCAUGAAAUUAACCAAUGAGAAAAAAGGAAAAAAAAAAAGGACUCAAUAGAUUAUGUAAUAAUAAUAAUAAUAAUAAUGGACUCAAACUCUCUCAAUAUAUGGUAUAUAUUGUUUAACCUAAACAAUAAAAAGUCCAGUGGCUUAGGACGUUGAUGCAAACAAGCUUGUCUUAGCCGAGGGGUUUGAGGGUUCCUCCAUGUGUUUAAGAUCAACUGCAUUUAGGGCAAAACAUCAAAUCAAUGGAACAAUCUACUCUAUCUGAUUGGGCCAAGCCCAAUGGAAGGUCCAUAGGCGGAGCUUGGAUCAUGUGCUACUCAGGCUGGGUUGGGCUUGAUACGGGGUUUGAUUCCAACUUUCUAUUAGUAUACAGGACAUAAUUUGACCAUGAAAGCCCAAUAAGAUAUUUAUUUUCCUUGUUUUGUGCUUUUAUAUUUUUUAUAAAUGUUUAUAGUAAUUAAUUAUACUAUAAUCAUAUCAACCAUUAUAACUAUUUUUGUUUUUAAAUUUUUUGUCCCACUAUUUCAGUAUUUCUAAUUUUAUUUGAUAAAUUAAUUCUUCUUUAUCAUCUAUAAAAUCUUUACUUAAACUUAUUUCAUUAUAAGUUUAUUUAUCUAUUUUUCUUCUUGUUUAUUUUUAAAACUUUCAUGUCCUUAUUUAUAUUUUUCAUAAAUAUAAUUGUAAUUUAAACAAAAAAAAAAAAAAAACUUAGAGAUAUACCAAACAAAACAUACACUUCUUCAAUGGAAAAGUGACACAAAAUUAAAAUAUAAAUUCUAAAGAAUUAGACUAAAUUAAAAUAAAUUUAGAAAAAUUUAAUUGAUACCAAUGACUAAUAGUUAAACCACUUAGAUAAUUUUUUGAUAAAUUUUAUUUUUAUAAUAUAAAAAUUAUUUAUAUAAUAAUGAAAAAAACUUUGGAACGUUUUCUUAGUUCUUUUAGAAAAUUUUUUAUUGAAAAUUAUUAAGGUAAUAAUGAAAACUAUAAAUUAUCAUUCUUUCUUUUUCUUCUUUACCCUACUGCAAGUUGCUACCUCCAUAUCCAGUUAGUCAAUUCUUUUGAAGGUUUUUCUUUGCAUUUGAUAGACUUUAAAUUCUUUUGCAACGAGCAAUGUGGAAUGGGCAAGAUGUAGGAAGAGGUCAUGACCUUCUCAACUAAGCUUCAUCUUUAUGGAAGAGUAGGUCAUUUCCAGAAAGGGAGAAGGAAAUUUUUUUGGUUUUGUCUUUCUUGACUGACCACAAAUGCCACCAAAUUGAAAAAUGAAGUACUAUCUUUGAUGAUGGGUCAUAUUGAGGCCUUUUUAAAAUGUAAAGCUUUGUAGGAAAAGGAUAGUGGGGAAUUAAGUUAAAUUUAUCAAAAAUUAUAUUCAAAGCUUAAAUCCUGAUCUUCCUAUGAUCAAAUAAUGUUUAAGGAAAACAAUUUUUUUAUAUUUGAUUUCAUUAUUAAAAAAAAUAUAAAGAAAAUCAAAUAUAAUUAAAAUUAAUUUAAAAAUUAUUAUAUAAUUUUAAGUUAUUUAAUCAUUAUAUAAAAAAAAUUGUGUAAAAUUAAUUUGACCACAUAAGGUUUAACCAUUUCAUGCUUUUUAUAUAAGGGGAUCCUUUAAGUUGUCUUAUUUCCAUGAAAAGACUAUCAAUUAAGCUAACUAAUCUAAGACUACCUACAAGUGCUCCAAGCUUGAGAAUUUUCAGCACAAAUACAAUUUAAUUAAACCUAGAGCUACGUACUUAUUAAUUGGACCUCCUUGUGAAAUACUUAAAACUCUCACUCCCCAUUUGCUUGCCAAAUUGUAGAAUUGAGGGCUUAAUAAUGGUUCUCUCAAGUCAAAAUAGUUUUAAUUAAAAAUGAAAAGGUCCAACUUACAAAAUGAUUAAAUCAUUAAUUACCCGAAAUGAGGGGAUCAUUUUUUGGGUAAAGAAGAGGUCCAAAGGGCCCCCCUUUCCUUAGCCUAAUCCACUACUCAAAAGGCAUGAAGAUUGAAUCACAAUUAAGAGCAUAAGAAAAUGAGUAUUAAAACCUAAGGUUCCAAUUCAAUAUCGCUUAAACCAAAGCUUAUAAACAAGUUUGUUCGGACACAAUCAAAGAAAAGGAUUUUAGGACAUUAAAAAACAAUUACAAAGUCCCAAAAAAGUAGGCAAAUGAAUGUGGCAACCCAAGCUCCAGCUGCAACAAGGUUUUCUUCCCUCAGGCUCUCCCAAAGGAGCAAUCCAUGAACAAUUGCAAAAUAGCUUUUUAUAGGUUCUCCAAUGAUGACCUAGGUAGUGUACCACAUGGAGACAUAAAAAUAAAAUGAGAGAUCCAAUGGGGUCUUGGGAAAAAUAUUGCAUGUUAGUGCCUCAAGACAAUAUUACAUUAUAUAUUGGACCUUGCAAGAGGAGUUACAGCCCAUGCAUAAAUCUAUGCCAAAUUACAAACAUAUGAUAUCAUAGGAGAGAAUGCAAGUAGGUAAAAUGCUACAUAUCCAUGGAAUUGUAUAAGGAAAUAUGAUGCUUCUAUUGGAUUGUUGAUAUGAUACUCAAUUGACAUUUCUUCAGGGUAUAGAGUAGGCUUAGGAGGCAUUUCUAACAACUCAACCUUUCCUUCCAACAUCUCCAAGGCUUUGCUCAUUGAAGGGCGGUCUAUCGACUUCAUCUGUAUACACCAUAGUGCAACUAUAACCAUUUUCUUUACAAACUUUUUUUCAUCUUCAGAAGCAUCUUCCAAGUCUAUAUUCUCUCCUUGAUCAUAUCGGUCGUAAAUCCAUGAUGGAAAAUAUAUUUGACUUGAGUGCUCUGCAUUUUCAUUCACAUUCUUUCUUCUCCCUACCAUUUCCAAAAAUAACAUUCUAAAACUAUAAAUAUCAGCUUUGUAUGAGACACCUCCAAUGUUUUUAUAGAACAAUUCUAGAGCAAUAUAUCCCAAUGUUCCUCGUAUAACAGUGAGAGAUACUAUACUUUCAUUUGUCGAAUAUAAUUUGACAAGGCCAAAAUUUGAAACUUUUAGUGUAAAGUCUUCAUCAAAAAGGAUAUUGUGUGGCUUGAUAUCAAAAUGUAGAAUUUGCAUGUCACAAUCUUGAUGUAAGUAUUUAAUCCCACGCCCCACUCCAAGUGCAACCUUUCCAAGUUAAAAAAGGUGUUGUUUUCCCCUUUAAGAAAAAUAAACUUAUCAAGAGAGCCAUUGGACAUGUAAUCAUAUAUAAGUGCCCAUUUUGAUCCUUGUACGCAAAAUCCAAUAAGUCUCACUACAUUAACAUGAUGAAUCCUUCCUAUUGUAGCAACUUCAUUGAUGAAAUCAUGUCCAUUAGCUUUUGACAUAAUCAAAAGCCUUUAUAGCUACAAUGUGACCGCUUCGAAGUUUUCCUUUAUAUAUAGAGCCAAAGCCUCCUUGGUCUAAUUUAUUCACAAAGUUAUGAGUCAUCUUCUUUAUAUCUGAAUAUGAGUAUUUGAUAGGUUGGAGAUUUUUGUGACUUCGUAGGAAAUCUUCAAUACUAUCAUCUAAUGAUAGAUGUCUCCUAUGGAACUUGUAAACCAAAUAGGCAAAUAGACACAAUAUCCCGAGUAGAGUUCUUCCUAUAACUAAACACAAAUCAAUUGUCAAAGCAAUAUAUAUUUUCAAAAAAGAAACAAGAUAUCACAAAUAAAGUUAAAUCCAUCAAAUACAAAUGGCAGGAAAAACCAUUCUACCUUCGUACCAAGUAAAACAUGUGGUAGUGUUGUUAGAGGGGCAAGUGAAGUAGCUACUUUAACAAUCACUUAAUGCACCUAAAACGGAUUUUUCACCAAGCUUUUACAGCGUAUUGUUGCUUGGGGAGCAAUUUGAUGGAAUUACUAAUGGGUUGAGUGGCAGAAAAAAAUAAUAUAUUGUUGAAUGCAUAGGACUGAGGCCUUGGAUAAGAAGAUCCCAAUUUCAAUUCAAUUAUUUUGACUUCUUUAGAUGUUAGUGGAGUUUAAUUACACUUAAAUUAAGUUCACCCUAGUCAAUAUAUAAAAACAAUUUGGGAGCAGAAUUAAUUGAAUUUACAAAUUUUAAAAUUGAAUUCACACUCAAUUUAAUUUGUACGGUUAAACAAAACAAAUGCAAUUUAGAGAUCACUGAACAUCCUUUGAAUGCAAGAAUUCCAAGAAUUUUCAUAUCAACUCUUUUUAAUAUUACUUCAUAGAAAAUAAGGAAGAAAUGCAGCAAAUUAAAAAGUGGGCCAGUAUAAGUGAGGGACACAAAUAACAGUAAAGUAGGAGACACUUGAGUGAAGAAAGACUUACCAACCUUCAAGCAUUUGCAGCAAUAGUAGCAUUCCGGACAAUUAUAAUAUUCUUUUUGAAGUCCUAUAUGAAACCAUCCAAGCCAUGUUAGUCACAAGGAAGAAUGCCCUUGACAGACCAAAUAAUAUUUUUAUGAGAAGCAAGAAUGGGAGGGAUUAAUUAAGAUGAAAGAACUCUAAAUAAAUCAUUUAUCUUGUUCUUUUCAGAAAUUGAUGAUUGCAAGUAGCAACCUUACCUCGUAAUGUUAAUGUGUAGGGAGAAAGUAACCCUUCUGUUAACAAUGGAAGUCCAAUUUGUAAAAGUUAGGAAAUAAUAAAAUAAAGAUUUAACUUUUUAAAAAAAAAAAUUGUAGUUUGAAGCCUUACUCUUAAAGGGCAGCAAUAGAUUAAUUGUUAUAAACUUCCAAAGCGCUGAAAGAUUAAACCAAACCAGUGAAAUUAGGGAUAGAAAUAUUGAAGACUCAUUCAAGGAAGAUAAAAGCAGGUCAUCAUGUAUCCUACUCACAUUUUUUGUACAUGUUGCUUGAGUUGUAGCAUUGAAAGGUAUUCUCAUCCAUAGCUGUAUAGUUGCAAAUUUGCCCCUUUCAUUUUGCAUUGGCUGCUGCAGAAGUGAGGCAAAAAUGAAAGCUGAAGCCCCAGAAGCAGAUAAUCUUGCAAAUCUGACAUGGAAAGAUUGAUGGACUCUGGAAGUGCCUUCAACGGCUGAAUAACCAUGUAUGUGCUGAUGGUGCAGGAAUACGGCAUAUCUACCACGGACACGUAUUCUCCGACUAUUGCAUAAGAGUAUGUUGGUGAUGAGGAAGAGGAAUAGCCUGUCGUGUUGCAUGGAAUAAUGGGAAUGUAGUUGUGGUCGCUGAUUGACUGCUCACAGUUCAUCGAAAGUAUUGUAUAGAAUAUCGGUCCAGAACCCGAACCCUGAUAAAAAGUUUUCCAUGCAUAAGGCAAAUGAGAUCGAAAUCCAUUCAUCCUGUAAUAUGCACCAAUGGAAUGAAGAGGACUGGAGAUCCACUACCCGAAUGCUAUAAUUCUGGUAAUUGAUAUCUGCAACAUAGUAUUUCCCACCGUACGAUUGUUUUCACAAAUAAAUUCAUACUCAGGUUAACCGCAACUGGGGGCAUCGCCUUGUAAUCCAAAAGGGUAGGAAAUGUUCCAAAUAUCCCCGCAGGAAGAGGGGAUGCAUAUCUGGUACUUGUGAUCCUUAGCAACACAAACUAAAAGGAAGCAGGCAUAGAGAACUAGAGUAAUAAGGCCUACUCCCACAAGUUUUGCCUCCUUCAACAUCAUCAACUUUCAGACACAGAGAGAGAGAUGCUCCGUUCUUGGGUUAGUUCAGAUCAAAUUAGUCACUCACAUGGCUUGGUAGGAUAUCGAUCUCACAGACCAUAAUUCUACCAAUUUAAAUAAUAUAUAAGUAAUUUUUUCUAAAAAAAUUCAAGUAAAUUUUCAUUUAUAGUUUUUUUUAAUUUAAUUUUUUUAUUUUAAAAUUCCCUAGAAGCACCUACUUCGUAACUUCCUUCUUUAAAGUUCAUAUUUGAAAAGUCAUAUUCAAUCAAUAAAGUAUCACAAUUGACCAUAUGUAUAAUGGACCGUAGAAAUUAUUGAAAGAGUACAAUACUUGGAGACCAUUUUAAAAUUUUAAAUAUUCAUCUGCUCCUACAAUUUUAUACUUAUAAUGAAUUAUGAUAGUAGACAUAUACCAAAGGAAGGUUUGAACUCUUAAAUUGUUCUUUGUUGAUUUUCUCUUUAUCAAAAUACAACUUUUAAUUUGCAAGCAUGAUUUAAACUGAGAAGAGUAAGAUCAGAGUCUUCGACAAGGAGUAGAAAUCUAAGAAUAGAGAAACCAGAGCAUCCAUUAAUCUAAAUAAAUGUACAUGGAAUGACGCAAUUCAAUGUCGAAGAAUGUUAUUGUAACCUUUGUAGAGGCCCAAAGAUACUUCUCUAAUAGAAACUAUUUGGAAUUAGUUAUAAUAGAAAUGUUGUAAUUGACAUUAUUGAUCUUUGAAAGCCUAGAUUAUUGUAGAUAACAAAUGCAUAACAAAAUAGGGAAAUCUAUUUGAUAAUUUUAAGAGCUUCAAAGAAGACAACUCAAACAUUCGAAAUGAUAUUUUAUUACCUAUACACAUACUCACUCAUAAGGAGCCAAGCUAUGGUUCAAGGAUGAAACUUUGUCUUAUUACAUAGACCAAUCUUAUAAAAACCUUAUACCUAAGACUAUCACACAUUAUUAUUGGAUUACAUAAUAUGCAACUAGAUGGUGUAGCAGUACCUUCCAUUUAAGGUGAUUGUACCCAUGGAAUUGGAUGAUGAAAUUGGUACCACUACCAUGGAUUGCUCGUGAUUCUCAAUAGACCAUAGAAAUGGCUUAGGAGGCAUUUUCAAGAUUUCAACCUCUCCUUCAAGCAUCUCCAAUGCUUUGCUCAUUGAAGGAUGAUCUACAGGCUUCAUUUGUAUACACCAUAGUGCAACUAUCACCAUUUUCCUCACAUACUUUUUUUCAUCCUUAAUGGCCUAUCCUAUUUCCAUGUCCUCUCCUUGAUCAUAUCGAUCAUAAAUCCAUGAUGGAAAGUAUAUUUGACUUGAGUGCUCUGCAAAUGCAUUCACAUUCUUCCUUCUCCCCACAAUUUCUAACAAUAGCAUUCCAAAACUAUAAAUAUCAGCUUUAUAUGAAACUCCUCCAAUAUUUUUUAUAGAACAACUCUGGAGCUAUAUAUCCCAAUGUUCCUCUAACAGCAGUGAAAGACACAAUACUUUCAUCUGUUGAAUGUAAUUUUGCAAGGCCAAAAUCUGAAACUUUUGGUGUAAAAUCUUCAUUAAGAAGAAUGUUGUGUGGCUUGAUAUCAAAAUGGAGAAUUUGCAUAUCACAUCCUUGAUGUAAGUAUUCAAUCCCACUUGCCACUCCAAGUGCAAUUUUGUAUAAUCUUUCCCAAUUCAAAGGAAUGACACGUGGAAAUUGGAAACCUAAAUGGAUCGCUCAAGUGAUCCUCAACUGGCAUUUCCAUAGAGUAUAGAGUAGGCUUAGGAGGCAUUUUCAAGAGUUCAACAUCCCUUUCCAACAUUUCCAAUGCUUUGCUCAUCGAAGGACAAUUGAUAGGCUUCAUCUAUAUACACCAUAGUGCAACUAUCACCAUUUUCCUCACAUACUUUUUUUCAUCCUUAGUGGCCUAUCCUAUUUCCAUGUCCUCUCCUUGAUCAUAUCGAUCAUAAAUCCAUGAUGGAAAAGUAUAUUUGACUUGAGUGCUNNNNNNNNNNNNNNNNNNNNNNNNNNNNNNNNNNNNNNNNNNNNNNNNNNNNNNNNNNNNNNNNNNNNNNNNNNNNNNNNNNNNNNNNNNNNNNNNNNNNACACAUUAUUAUUGGAUUACAUAAUAUGCAACUAGAUGGUGUAGCAGUACCUUCCAUUUAAGGUGAUUGUACCCAUGGAAUUGGAUGAUGAAAUUGGUACCACUACCAUGGAUUGCUCGUGAUUCUCAAUAGACCAUAGAAAUGGCUUAGGAGGCAUUUUCAAGAUUUCAACCUCUCCUUCAAGCAUCUCCAAUGCUUUGCUCAUUGAAGGAUGAUCUACAGGCUUCAUUUGUAUACACCAUAGUGCAACUAUCACCAUUUUCCUCACAUACUUUUUUUCAUCCUUAGUGGCCUGUCCUAUUUCCAUGUCCUCUCCUUGAUCAUAUCGAUCAUAAAUCCAUGAUGGAAAGUGUGGACCCGCAUUUUUCACGUGCGUCCCCACUCGAUCGGCGAGACUCACUUUUUUUAUUUAUUAGUGAAAAAUUGAUUUUUGAAAAAAAAUUGGAGUCGUCACUUAUUUUAUUUUUAUUUUUGAAGGGAAAAUAAAACAAGAAAUAAAACCCUAAAAAAAUGACUCCAUAAUUUUUGGAAAAGCGUGUCUUUGAAAACCCAAGUCUUGGUCCAGGGAUCAGGUUACUUAUUGGGAAGGUACCUCUAGGAGGUAGCACCCCUCUAAGCCCUAAAGAGGUCUCUAUUGACUAAGUUAAGGGAAGCGUGGCAAUUAAAUGGUUGAUCUCGGAUACCUAAGUAGGCUAGGUGAUUCCAAAAAAAACAUAACAUAUCAAACAAAAUCAAAUCAUAAUUAAGGAGAGUUAAAAAUGCAUACCUGGACUACCUCUCAAGCGCUAUCAUAAAACAUCAGAGUUAGUAUAGAAGUAUAACACACAACAUAUAUUUAAUCAUAGUGAAUCAAACAUACAUCUAAGCACCUAAGGAUUAUCAAACAUAUGCAUACUUCACAGUGACACGAUUGUUUACAAAAUUUAGAAAGUAGGCGAUAGGGGGGGCGUACCUGGAUAGCAUAAAUAACUUACAAUGCGCUCCCAUAAGACAUGAGGGAUUAGAUAAUAAUAAAAUAAAGAAACCCUAGCAUGCUUGUUAUCUAAUUAGCAUAACAAAAAUUAUCAAAGUAUAUGAAAACAUUAAUUAUCACACACAUCUUAUAUACAAUUCCUAAAAAAGAUAGACAUAAUUUCAACAAGUGACAAAAAUGGCAACAAAAAUAAUUUUUGAAAAGAUUUUCUUAUGUAGGGGUUUCACCAAUUCCCCAAUUGAUAUACACGAGUUUAGCCCAGAAUCAUCCCAUUAUUUGGGACCACAAGUUUUGAUUCGUGUUUUUGUUCAAAACCAAAAUUUUUGUUGAAAACCGAGAAGGAUGCAAACCGAACAAGAUAUGGUUGCAUAUUAUUUUUAAAUAAUAAAAAAAAAGAGAUUUUGAUCCUGAGGACUCUAAAUGAGUUUUUUUGAAAUAGAUUUUUAAAAUGAUUUUUUUGAGAAAAGUAUUUUAUUUUNNNNNNNNNNNNNNNNNNNNNNNNNNNNNNNNNNNNNNNNNNNNNNNNNNNNNNNNNNNNNNNNNNNNNNNNNNNNNNNNNNNNNNNNNNNNNNNNNNNNAUAGGGAAAUCUAUUUGAUAAUUUUAAGAGCUUCAAAGAAGACAACUCAAACAUUCGAAAUGAUAUUUUAUUACCUAUACACAUACUCACUCAUAAGGAGCCAAGCUAUGGUUCAAGGAUGAAACUUUGUCUUAUUACAUAGACCAAUCUUAUAAAAACCUUAUACCUAAGACUAUCACACAUUAUUAUUGGAUUACAUAAUAUGCAACUAGAUGGUGUAGCAGUACCUUCCAUUUAAGGUGAUUGUACCCAUGGAAUUGGAUGAUGAAAUUGGUACCACUACCAUGGAUUGCUCGUGAUUCUCAAUAGACCAUAGAAAUGGCUUAGGAGGCAUUUUCAAGAUUUCAACCUCUCCUUCAAGCAUCUCCAAUGCUUUGCUCAUUGAAGGAUGAUCUACAGGCUUCAUUUGUAUACACCAUAGUGCAACUAUCACCAUUUUCCUCACAUACUUUUUUUCAUCCUUAGUGGCCUGUCCUAUUUCCAUGUCCUCUCCUUGAUCAUAUCGAUCAUAAAUCCAUGAUGGAAAGUAUAUUUGACUUGAGUGCUUUGCAAAUGCAUUCACAUUCUUCCUUCUCCCCACAAUUUCUAACAAUAGCAUUCCAAAACUAUAAAUAUCAGCUUUAUAUGAAACUCCUCCAAUAUUUUUAUAAAACAACUCUGGAGCUAUAUAUCCCAAUGUUCCUCUAACAGCAGUGAAAGACACAAUACUUUCAUCUGUUGAAUGUAAUUUUGCAAGGCCAAAAUCUGAAACUUUUGGUGUAAAAUCUUCAUUAAGAAGAAUGUUGUGUGGCUUGAUAUCAAAAUGGAGAAUUUGCAUAUCACAUCCUUGAUGUAAGUAUUCAAUCCCACUUGUCACUCCAAGUGCAAUUUUGUAUAAUCUUUCCCAAUUCAAAGGAAUGACACGUGGAAAUUGGCAACCUAAAUGGAUCGCUCAAGUGAUCCUCAACUGGCAUUUCCAUAGAGUAUAGAGUAGGCUUAGGAGGCAUUUGCAAGAGUUCAACAUCCCCUUCCAACAUUUCCAAUGUUUUGCUUCGAAGGACGAUUGAUAGGCUUCAUCUAUAUACACCAUAGUACAACUAUCACCAUUUUUCUUACAAAUUCCUUUUCAUCCUCGGUGGCAUCUCCCAUUUCCAUGUCCCCUCCUUGAUCAUAUCGAUCAUAAAUCCAUGAUGGAAAGUAUAUUUGACUUGAGUGCUCUGCAAAUGCAUUCACAUUCUUCCUUCUCCCCACAAUUUCUAACAAUAGCAUUCUAAACUAUAAAUAUCAACUUUAUAUGAAACUCCUCCAAUAUUUUUAUAGAACAACUCCGGAGCUAUAUAUCCCAAUGUUCCUCUAACAGCAGUGAGAGACACAAUACUUUCAUCUGUUGAAUGUAAUUUUGCAAGGCCAAAAUCUGAAACUUUUGGUGUAAAAUCUUCAUUAAGAAGAAUGUUGUGUGGCUUGAUAUCAAAAUGGAGAAUUUUCAUAUCACAUCCUUGAUGUAAGUAUUCAAUCCCACUUGCCAUUCCAAGUGCAAUUUUGUAUAAUCUUUCCCAAUUCAAAGGAAUGUUAUUUCCUUGGUCAAGAAAAACAAACUUAUCAAGAGACCCAUUCGGCAUGAAGUCAUAUACGAGAGCCCAUUUUGAUCCUUGUAUACAAAAUCCUUCAAGUCUCACCACAUUAACAUGAUGAAUUCUUCCAAUUGUAGUAAUUUCAUUGAUGAAAUCUUGUCCAUUAGCUUCUGACAUAACUAACAUUUUUACAGCUACAAUGCGACCACUUCAGAGUUUUCCUUUGUACACGGAGCCGAAACCUUCUUCACCCAAUUUAUUCUUAAAAUUAUGAGUCAUCUUUUUUAUUUUUGAAUAUGAGUAUUUGAUUGGUUGAAGAUUUUUAUGGCUAUGUAAGAAUUCUUCAAUACCAUCAUCCAAUGAUAAGUGUCUUCGUCGAAACUUGUAAAUUAAAUAGACAAGCAGACACAACACACCAGGUACGGCCCUCGCAAUGAUGAUCAUGCCUAUAAAUCAUGUUAAAAAUAUGAAAAACAUCAUAGGAAGAUUUAUAAUCAUCUAUCUACAUUCAAUCAUCAAAUCCAACAAAUAGAAUUAGUUUUAAAAAGGCCAUUUCACUUAUCUAAUCACUUGUGUUUUGGAUUUCCACUCAAACAUGGUCAUGUGACUCUUUUUCUUUUGGGUGACAGCAUGGUAUAUAUAAAGGAUGGAAUGAUCAAUGGAGAAAAUUUGUUUGGUUGCACAAAAUUAAGGAAUGGAAUGAGAUGCCUAAUUCCAACUCUAUUUUUCAAUUUCCUUGUAACAAAUUUGGGAAUAAUUUGAAAUUAAAUGCAUCACAAAUUUAAAAAAAAAAACAAUUUUACUUGAAAGAAAAUUUUGAAUUUCACAAAUUUGGAAUUUCAAUUUAUUAUUCAUUUUGUACAACCAAAUGUUUACAAAACUUGAUUGUAGUGUCUAAUCUUGAAUGAAAGGAUUCCAAAAGUGCAAGGCGAAAAGAGCUAUAAGAUGUGUGCAAUGAUCUACUUAUUGAGAUUUGGAAGCCUUACCCAUGAGUUGUAAUAUCAAGAUUGACCCAACUGCAAAUAUGAGAGGAACAAAAAUUAUUAAGUUAAAGAAAAGAAAGAUUCACACAUAUGAUAGAUUUAAAAUGAGCAAAAAACAAAUAUAAGAGAUAUUAUUACUACUAUUCUUUUGAUUAAAAAUUAGGGAAAAAAUGGAUAGAAGCGAAAAGGUAAUAAUAAUAAUCAUCAUCAUCAUUAUUAUUGUUAUCAUCAUCAUUAUAGUUAUUAUUAAUUAAGUGGAUGAAAAAUCCAAUCAUUUAUUAUACUAUUGAUUAAUUUAAAUAUAUUUUCUUUAUUUAAUUAUGACCUCAAUCUCAAAUGCCUUAUAAUAUUUUUUAAAGUUUUAGAUAUUUAUUAUAUAUGUUUAAAUUAAAAAUAAAAUUAAGCAAAUAUAACAUAUUGACUAUUACGGGAUUGAAUGUGUAAUUUAAAAUAUUAGUUCUUUAUUUUAUUUAUUUAUAGUGAACUUCAAAAAUAAAUUAUCAUUUCAUUUUAUCAUCAAAUUAAUAAUUUUAAGGGACAUGGAGUCUAAGGGUCUCCAAAAAGCCCGCGGCCCGACCCGAGCCCAUUUCUGGAUGGGCCGAGCCAUGGGCCCCAAUUUAGGCCCUGCCUGGCUCGGCGGGCUGGCCCGCCCAUGGGCCCGCCACUUCAAAAAAUAUAUAUAUAAAAAAAUAUAUAUAUUCAAGAAAUAGAAAAUGCUACAUUAAUAAAAAUAUUCAUUGCUAACUAUUUUAUUCAUUGAAUAUAUACAUUACAUUUGAAAAUGUGGGAAAAGUUUACAUCACUACAAAAUAAAUACAUCCCAACUAGGUUGGCACUUACUUAUUUAUCAAUCAUUUGUACUUUUCAACCACAAAAAAAAAAAAAAAAAUAUGACAUACAUUUAGUAAAAUAUUUUAAUCAUUAUCUCUUGGCGGUGAUGGCGAACUAUCACAAAUCCAUGAAGAUCUUGAUGAUUUUAGUUUUUCCAUAUCGACAAGCAUAUUUUCUUCUUGAAUAGAAUCAAAUAUCCUUUUAUCUGCUAUUGCCCAGUCUUUCACACAUAUAUUUGCUUCAAUAGAAGUCGGCCCUAAGCUGCAUCGUUUAUCACUAACUACUCUUCCACCUGCACUAAAAGCAUCUUCUGAGGAUUAACAGCUCGUUGCAUUGUUCCCGUAAAAUCAUGAGUUUCCAUGAAAUUGAAAGGUUGUUCUGCUCUUAUUAUAUAACCAAUCAUUUCUUCACGACAAUAAGAUUCAUCAUAAGAAAAUGUUUUUAAAUUUCCACUUUCAUCUUUACCUAAUUGCAUAUAAUUUCUAAUAUCUAUAUUAUUUUUAAUUUUACAAUUUUCAUGAUGUCUUUUUAAAUGACUUGUACCUGCAUUUGAGCCACCACUACUGUUUGUUACAAAUUUUAUAUUUUGCUUUUAUUUCUUUUUUAUUAUUUUCUAAAUUUAUUUCUAUUAUAUCAAAAAAAUUCCAUAUAUUUGAAGUAAAUUUUUUCUAUCACAUGUAUUAGAUGAAGAACAAGAACCAUUUGCCAUAAUUAUAAUUAUUGAUAAAAUAUUAUGCUAAAAAUAAUAAAUGUAAAAUUAAAAUAUAACAAAUAAAUAAAAGUAAAGGUGAAGUAUGUUACUAAAUUGGAGAACCGAAGCAGAAAUUCCUUCAAAUUUGAACUCUUUGAACCACCAAUGCUUGUUUUUCACCACCAAUAAUAUUGAAUAAUUUGAGACAAAAUGCAAUAGUCGGAAAUAUUGUGGAAUGGGAGAGAGCUUAAGAGUUGAGAGAAUAGAAAAAAAUUGAGGGUAUUUAAUAUUUAUAGGGAUUUAAACAUUAGGAUUUUAUUUUAUUUUAUUUUUUAAAUUUCAAGACCGUUCAACGGUCAUAUAUUUGAAAUUGAAUUAUGAGUGGCAUGUUCAACGGUCAUGUGACCGUUGAACAGCCAACUCACUUUUAUUUUUUUUCAAAAAUUAUUGCAACAUUUCUAAUAUAUAUAUAACUAAUGUAAAAUAGUUACACAAAAGAUGGUCAGUUCAGUUGGUGGCUAGCUCCCUUAUGGUUCCAUAAGGGAAGGGGUUCGAAUCCCCUUCCCUUCAAAACUAAAAAUUAUUUUAAUUUUUACCCCGGCCCGGCCCGGCCCGGCCCGUUGGAGACCCUUAAAUUGGAGUCUCCAUCUAUUAUUAUUAUUAUUAUUAUUAUAAAGAACUUCUCAAAGCCUUAGCGAGUAAAGUUGUUUUGCCUCCUCCAUAUAGAAGAAAUCCGAAGUCUGCAUGUUUAAAUUUAGUAAAUAUGGUCAAUGGUCAAUGGUAAAAGUAGAAGAAGCUUUUGCAUUUUGCUCUAUGUCAUUGCUAACUAGACAACGAUAUUAAGCAGCCCACAGGUAUCAUCUCGAAAUUAAUGGAAUGAAAAUAAAAAAUAAAUGAUUGUGACAUUUUGCUCUAUGUGACUGCCAACUAAACAAUUAUUUUCCUUUACAUUUUCUUUUCCUUUCAUUUUCCCACAACCAAAUAUACCCUUAAGUUAUGUUUGGUUCCGAAAAGUUUAAAGAAAAAUACAAUAGAAUGAAAAAAAAAAAGAGAAAAAGUAGAAAAAAAGAAAAAGUAAAGGAAAAUAAAAAUAAUAAUAUAAAAAUAAUAAAUUAUUUUUAUAUACUAUUUUAAAUUUAUUUCACCUAUUUUUCUUUUUCUAUAUAAAGAUUAAAUAACUUAAAAAAUAUAUAUAUAUUUUUAAUUAAUUUUAAUUAUAUUUAAUUUUCUUUCUUAUUUUUUAUAAUGAAAGUAAAUAUAAGAAAAUUAUUUUCUUUACCAUUUUUUUUUUCUUUUUUUAGUAAUUUCUGGAACCAAACAUGGCCUUAAUGUUUGGAACAUUAAUUGCGCAUUCCAUCAAUGGCCUUCCAUUAUUUCUUUGGGUCAUUUUUCUCCUUACCAAGUCUCACUGUGGGUGGACCUUGUAAUGAGAUUUAAUAAACCCAAAACCCAGGCCCAAGGUCGGCCCAAACAACUCCGGCCUUUAAUAAAAAAAAUAUAAAGCCCAGUGGCUGCCAUUUGGACCACCCUCAUCCUAUAUAGCCCAUCACAAUCGUCUUCAUUGUUUUUCCGUCUAUAUUAGAGUUCUGAUACAAAUUAUGGAAAUUGAUAGCAUGAAUUUUGACAAGAAAAAGCUCCAUGUUCACUGCUCAGGAUUACAAUGCCGAUCGGGUUCCCUACUAGACAACUAGACAAAAUGGCAAUAAUUUCAGAAUUAGAGUAAAAAUAAUUGUCUACAUGUUCAAAUUAUUAUGAAUGUAUAAUUUUAUAAAAAUUCAUCAUCAUAGCAUUUCUAUUUAUAUUUAUGUUAAUUGAACAAAUGAUUGUGCAAAAUGAUUAUACCAUAAUCGAUGUUAGAUUCCAAAAGUUCUUGUUCUCAUGUAUGAUAUUUUAAUAUGUCCAAGAAUAUUCUCACAACCCAAGUUAUAGUUCAACUACACACGACUCUAUAGAUCCACCUUUCAAUCAAGUAAGAGUAACUAAUGUCCAUCACAAUUAUGAUAGAGGGAAUUGCAUGAAAUAGUAAUAGAAUCAAAUCCAUGAAGCUUGAAAAUAAGAGUCUCAUCCAUUAUAAACAUAUAGAGUUUCUUUUGUUUCUUUUCUUUUCUUUUUUCUUUACCACUUUUUAUUGGAAUGAGAAGUAAGAUUAAUUAGUUAUGUAAUAACUAAAUUAAGUUGAUCCUUGAGUUAGACCAUAGUGGUGAGGGAUUGCAACUUGGACUUAUGAGAGAUCAUUUUUUGUUUGUAAUUGUAUAUCUUUCUCUAUAUACCCACCUUUGGAGUAACUAAAAUAAUUCAUAUCAAGUGACUUUUAAACAAGUUUCUUUUUCUACGAGUUUCAAUUGGGAUUCUAUCCUUGUGGAAUUAGCUUUUACAUUUAUGGUGAAACCUAAAAUGGUAUCUCUUGCAUUUUCCAAUUUAGAAAAAAAAAAUGUCUUUAAUUAACUAAUGUAAAGUUGUCUAAAAUCUUAUUUUGAUUUUUAUUAAUUUUUUCAUGAAUCAUAUGAUAAGUUUUUCUUAUGAAUUUACUCUUAAUAAUAAGGAAACAAUGAGCUCUCUAGAGCAUUUCAUUACUUAAUAGGAAAAUUAAUGGUAAAAAAGGAAAACUGUUGUAAGCCUCAAUUUCUCAAAUGAGAUUUGUUUAAUUUAUCUUAAAACUAAAUAAACUGUAGUUUAAAUAGAACUUAAUUUUAUUAAAUAUUUUAUAAGACUAAAGUUAAAAGAUAAUUAACACAACUUUAAUUCAAAAUUGAGCCUAAAAGUAGUCUAUUGUAAAAAUAUCUCAUUGAUCAUGAACCAUUAAUUACAACAUUUGCUAACCAUACAUUCAUAAAUAAUAAUAAAUAAUAAUAUUUUGGUUUUUUUUAUUUAGCAAAAAGUUUAUAAUAAGUCAUAAAAAAUAAAAAAAAAACAAAUAAUCUAAAGUCUGAAAGCAAAUUGCUUUUAGCAAAAUACAAAAAAAACACAAACGUUCACUAAGAAUGAAUAAUAAUAUGAAUUUUGACUUGAUAGCAUGAUUUAUUCUAAUAUAAAGUGAAAAAUUAAGAUUUAAAUCUAAAGACCAUGAAAUGAUGCAAUCAAACCAUCUAUGGAUGUUAUCGUAGCCACCAAAGAAUAUCAAGUUACACAAUAUACUUCUCUAAGAGAAAGAAUCUAGAAUUAGUUACAAAAGAAAUGUUGGAAUUGACACUGUUAAUCUUUGGUAGUCAGGGAUUGCUACCAACAGAUGCAUAACCUACAACAUGGCUACUGCAACAGAAUAUUCAAACCUACAGAAUACACAAGAAGUGAUUUCUGCCCAACCUCCCAUCUCAGGUUAGUCCCUACACAUGUUAAGCCAUUACAAUAAGAAGAUGAAGUAUCUCUCCACUCUGUCCACAGCAUUCUGCUCGCACAUGAGCAGCGCCUCCAAUUUCAAAACUCCAUCACAGAAGAAGAAACUCUAUCCGCUCAUAUUGCCUCUCACAGUCGGACUACUCAAUCAAGAACAUCCCAGAAUAACAGAACUAAUUUUUCUCUUCAUCAACAAAAUGGUUUUUCUCAUCCUUCAAGAAGAGGAUGCCCAAGAGGUCAUGGACAAGAACACCGCAACAAUCACAGUAAUAACAGACCUCAAUGCCAAUUAUGUGGCAAACUUGGUCAUACUGUGAUCACAUGCUAUCACAGAUUUGCCAUUAAUUCCCAAAAAUCAGAUGUAUUGGCAUCAAGCUCAGCAAAAUCUGCCUCUCAUACAUCUACUAGCAGUGAUGUCCAUGCAAUGAUGGUAUCACCCUCGUCAACCAUCAAUGAUUCUUGGUUUCUUGGUUUCUUGAUACAAGAGCAACUCACCAGCUAACCUAGAAUAGAGAUCAUCUUGUCAAUCCUCAUCCAUAUCAAGGCCAUGACAAAGUCACCAUUGGAGACGGUAAGCAACUCUCCAUUUUUCAUGUUGGUUCUACAUGUCUUCAUACCCCUCAUAAAACAUUCAGAUUACAACAAGCACUUCAUGUUCCUCACUUAGCCACAAAUUUGAUCAGUGUUUCAAAAUUCUGCCAAGACAACAAUUCAUUCUUUGAGUUUCAUCCUACUUUCCUUUUUAUUAAGGACAAGAACACACAGAAGAUUCUCCUUCAAGGAACCAUUGAGUGUGGCUUGUAUAAAUUCCCCAGUCUCGGUUUCAAGUCCUCCUCUGCGUCUGUCUCCAGCUCAUUAGCUCUCACUGCUCGGUCCCAAGUUGAUUUCAACACAUGGCACAAAAGACUCGGUCAUCCAGUCGCACCUAUAGUGAAACAAAUUCUUUCAUCAUGUAACAUUCCUUGUUCAUUCAACAAGGGUCAAGUUUGUAAUACUUGUCGAUGUUCUAAAAGUCAUAGAUUACCAUUUCCACUCUCUACAUCAAAAGCUUCACAACCUCUUGAACUAAUCCACACUGAUCUCUAGGGUCCCUCUCCAACCCUCUCAACAACAUGUGCCUAAUAUUUUUUACUCCCUAUUGAUGAUUUUUCUCGCUUCUCAUGGAUAUAUGCUCUAAACUCAAAAGACCAAGUAUGUUCUACAUUCUGUAAAUUCAAAACUUCGGCAGAAAAUCAGUUUAAUCUCAAAAUUAAAAGCCUCCAAUCUGACAAUGGAGGAGAAUUCCAAGCACUAAACUCUUUUUUUCGCUAAACAUUGCAUUGAACACCGGUAAAGUAGAAAGAGAUAAUAAAGUAAAGGUUAAAAAGUUUCUAGAAGACUAUGAAGCUCUCAAGCCCUCAAGAUACUCCUAUGCUGAUAUUAAAAGGAGGGUAUGGAACCAUAUACAAAGGAAAGCUUUCGGAUGAAGUUUUUGUUGCAGUAAAAAUCGUCAAAAAUUCUUAGGAAAAUGUGGAAGAGUUCAUUAAUGAAGUGGCAACAAUGUGUACAAUCCACCAUGUUAAUAUAGUUCACUUAGUUGGAUUUUGUGUUGAUAGAUUUAAACGAGUUAUAAUUUAUGAGUACUUACCAAAUGAGUCAUUAGAGAAGUUCAUAUUUUUGAGAGCUAUUAAGAACUAUUCACUUGGUUGGAAGAAACUUCAAGAAAUUGCUAUAGGUAUAGCAAAAGGAAUUGAGUAUCUUCAUCAAGGUUGUGAUCAAAGAAUCCUCAUCAAGGUUGUGAUCAAAGAAUCCUCCAUGUUGAUAUCAAACCUCAUAAUAUUUUACUUGAUCACAACUUUAAUCCAAAGAUUUCUGACUUUGGUUUGGCCAAAUUGUGCUCCAAGGAACAAAGGGCAGUCUCUAUGACAGUUUAAGGGGAACAAUGGGGGCUAUAUCGCUCCCGAAGUGUUAUCUAGAAAUUUUGGGAAUGUGUCUUAUAAGUUAGAUAUUUAUAGUUUUGAAAUGUUGUUACUUGAAAUGGUUGGAGGAAUGAAGAACAUUGAUGUUAGUGUGGAGAGUACUAGCCAAGUAUACUUCCUAGAAUGGAUUUAUAAUCAUUUAGAUAUAAGGAAAGAAUUGCAUAUUCAAAUUGAAGAAAAAUGAGAUGUUGAGGUUGCAAAGAAAUUAACAAUUAUGGGACUUUCAUGUAUUCAAUGGUGUCCAGUGGAUCGUCCUUCCAUGAAAAUUGUGAUUCAGAUAUUGGAAGGAGAAUGAGACGAGAUAACCAUGCCUCCUAACCCUUUUACUUCAACAAUUCCAACAAAGACAAACUUGAGCAAGCUAAGAAAAGUUUUUCAACAAGAGUUGGCAAUAAUUUCAGAACUAGAGUAAAAAUAAUUGUCUACAUGUUCAAAUUAUUAUGAAUUUAUAAUUUAAUAAAAAUUCAUACUGUAGUUGUUCAUCAUCAUAGCAUUUCUAUUUAUAUUUCUGUUAAUUGAACAAAUGAUUAUACCAGUGGUUCAAUCAAUGUUAGAUUCUAAUUGAUGUUAGAUUCUAGAAGUUCUUGUUCCCUUGUAAUGUAUUUCUCAUGUAUGAUAUUUUAAUAAAUAUGUCCAAGAAUAUUCUCGCAACCCAAUUUAUAGUUCAACUACACAUGACUCUAUGGAUAACCUUUCAAUCAAGUAAGAGUAACUAAUGUCCAUCACAUUUAUGAUAGAGAAUAUUGUAUGAAAUAGUAAUAGAAACAAAUCUAUGAAACUUGAAAAUAAGAGCCUCAUCCAUUAAACCUAUAUAGAGUUUCUUUUGUUUCUUUUGUUUUUUUUUUUCUUUACCACUUUUUAUUUUAUUUUAUUGAAUUGAGAAGUAAGACUAAUUAAUUAUGUAAUGACUAAAUUAAGUUGAUCCUAGAGUUAGACCAUAUCGCCUAAUAACUUGAUAAAAUAUAUAAUCUUUUACUUUACACUAAGAAACAAGAGUUUCCAAACAAAUAUUUGGCCUUUAAUCUGUGACUGAAAUUUUAGAAAAUUAAGCUUAAUUCUCUACCAUCCUUUUCCUAAAUAUUGCAUUAAAACUUGAAUUUCCUAACUAAAAUAACAACUUUUGAAUUUGAAUUCCCUUAUAUACCUUUUUAGCCAAGAAAACAAACUUCCUUUUACAGAUAAUAAUUGUUGCAAAUUGGUUAAAUUGGUUAUAUUUUGUUGUUAGUCACUAGAUUGAACCAAUGGGGAUGGGGGUGGAAUUUCACUUCAAGCCACUAUAGGAGUCUUUUUGAAGGAACCUGACUCAACUAACUUUGAUCUCAAAAGUAAACCUAGAGAUGAAUUAAUAUCUAAGUUUGAAAUUUCAAAAGGAGUGAAAAAAAAUGAAAAAGAAAAACACUUAUAUUUGGUAUAAAUAUAUAAUAUAACUUAUUUUUAUGAAAAUCUAAUCUCUAAGAUAGUUUAACAAAGUUUAUCUUAUCUAUACAAGUUUUUCCAUGGAAUAUUAGGUAUCAAUCAAUAAAUUUCUUACUUAUUGUAGUAUGAAUCUUAUCAUUUUUUUUUUCGAUAUUGAUUAUGACAAUGAAUGGCGAUUAGCAUUCAAUCUCUCAAACUUGACUGGUUUAGCCUGUUGGUUCCUGAAAUGAGAAAGAUUAACUCAUGUAUGUGUCACUUUUUAGGUGAGGGAUUGCAACUUGGACUUAUGAGAGAUCAUGUUUUGUUUGUAAUUGUAUAUCUUUCUCCACAUACCCACCUUUGGAGUAACUAAAAUAAUUCAUAUCAAGUGACUUUUAAACAAUUUUCUUUUUCUAAGAGUUUCAAUUGGGAUUCUAUCCUUGUGGAAUUUGCUUUUACAUUUCUAGUGAAACCUAAAAUGGUAUCUCUUGCAUUUUCCAAUUUAGAAAAAAAAUGUCUUUAAUUAACUAAUGUAAAGUUGUCCAAAAUCUUAUUUUGAUUUUUAUUAAUUUUUUCAUGAAUCAUAUGAUAAGUUUUUCUUAUGAAUUUACACUUAAUAAUAAGGAAACAAUGGACUCUCUAGAGCAUUUCAUUACUUAAUAGGAAAACUAAUGGUAAGAAAGGAAAACUGAAGUUGUAAGCCUCAAUUUCUCAAAUGAGAUUUGUUUAAUUUAUCUUAAAACUAAAUAAACGUUGUAGUUUGACUGAAGUUUAAAUAGAACUUAAUUUUAUUAAAUAUUUUAUAAGACUUAAGUUAAAAGAUAAUUAACACGAAUUUAAUUCAAAAUUGAGCCUAAAAGUAGUCUAUUGUAAAAAUAUCUCAUUGAUCAUGAACCAUUAAUUACAACAUUUGCUAACCAUACAUUCAUAAAUAAUAAUAAAAAAGAAUUUUAUUUUUUCACUCUAAUUAUAAGAUGAUUGUAAAAUUAACUUGUAAAUAGGUGAAUGUUAGCCUAACUUAUUUUUGACGGUUGAAACAUUAAUGAUUAUUGUGCAUAGGUUAUUAGUUUUAAGAUUUCAUUGAAAUUAUUUGCUUACAAGGGGGUGACACCAUGACUAAACAAAACAAAGGAAAGGAGGGUAAACUUUUUGGAGAGAAAAUCGAUAUAGAAAAAUAGUGGAUUAAGAGGUUUGGGUUUAAAUUUUGCUUUAACUAUUGUCUUAAUUGGUUAGAGGUUUCAAUGAAGGAUCAUACACUCGUUAAUUACAUACUAUAAUUUCAUCUAGGUUGAGUUGAAGUAGGAUAUAGGAUAACCACAAAAUUAUGACAAAAUUUAUUUUACCAAAAAAUAUUUUUAGUAAUUUCAAUCCUCACCUUAAUCAACUUCCAUGACCUAUACUUUUUAUGGAAUAACAGGUUUCUAGGCAAGAUGUGGAAAUGUGUACUUCAUGUUUCAAUUGAAUCAUAACUUAUUCAUAACUUCAUAGAAUAAGGCUUUUGAUAGAACCUUGACACUAGUUUAAUGUAUUUUCCCUUUUAUAGACUUUUUUUUUAAUAGAUUUUUCUUCUUUUUGUGUUUAUUUGUUUUCCUUUUUUUUUUUUUUUUUUUUUGAAUAACAAGUAUGAAUGUGGCAUGUCUACUUUUAGUAGCAUUUUUCAAAAAUGAAUUUUGAGAAUAGUCAUAAUAAUAGUUCUUUAUUAUUUUUAAGAAAAAAAAAAUUAUUUGCAAACUUAAUUUGACCUAUACUUUGUGUGUUUUCUUUCUAUAUCUUGCAUUUUCUAAUCCAAGACCACGCUUUUGUAUGUUAACCUUUCAUCCAACUUACAAGGCUUUGGAAAUACUCAUGGGCACCAUAUUUUUCAAAAUAAUUGAUUCAAACUUUAGUUUUACAAGCAAAUCGUGAUAGCCUUCUUAUUUUUUGUUUACUUUAUCUAAGGGUGCAUCCUAUGCUCUUAAGGUCAUAUUAGCUUUAUCAAUUCUCUUUAUCAUAUCGGAAUUUAACAAUCUCAUGAAAAAAAUGGAAUCUACAUAUAUUAUAAAUUAUUUCUUAUAUUUAUUAGAUCUCUUAGAUAUUUCUUUCAAAAAAAUUUCAUGUUAAUCACUUUGAAUAACCAAAAUAAAAAGUAAAAAAUAAAAGCAUAUAUAUAUAUAUAUAUAUAUUAAUUAUCAUAUUUCAUUAAUAUUUUGUCCUAGUCUAGACCGUAAAUUAAAUAUGACCUUAAUUUACAUAAUUUCAUCAUUUACAUUUACAUGUGUUUAACAUUCAUAAGAAGAUUAUAGAUAACAUUUUGUGUUUUUUGACAAUGAUAGUGCAAACCAAGCAAAUUUAAAUAUUGAAUUUUCCUAGCUACUUAAAGAAGCUGCCAAGGAACCUCUCCAAUCAAGAUUAAUUAAUGUCUUCUUUGGUUAGUCAAGCAAGACAAAACCAAAAAAAUUAUUCAUCACCUUCUUGAAAUAUACUACCCACUUUUCCACUAAAAUCCAUAUUUGAAAAGUUCAUAGAUCCUUCCCUCGGUCAUAUUUCUUAAUGCAAAUGAGUCAAAGUCUUCCAAGUCAAGGUUCAUAUAUCCAUUUAUUGCUAAGAAAAUUCAUUGGUAGACAUUUUUUUAUUUAUAAAUUGAGACAUGUAUAAUGGACCAUAUGACUUAUGACAAUAUAGUGGUCAUUGUUAACAAAACCAGUCUUAUUGGCGUAGUUGAAGGAAUAUGCUGCUAUCCAUUUAUUGCGAAGAAAAUUCAUUGGUAGGCCAUUGUUUGAAAUUGAUACGUGCAUAUUGGAUUGCAUGAUUUAUGACUGUGGUGGUCAAUAUCAACAAAGUCGACCUUAUUAGAAUUAUUGAAUAUCAACAAAGCCGACCUUAUUAGAAUUAUUGAAUAUCAACAAGGCCGACCUUAUUAGAAUUAUUGAAGGAAUAUGAUGCUUGAAAUGGACUAGCUAAGAAUUUUGAACCAUGUACAAGGGUUGUUGACGUAGUAAUGGGCACUUAUAUUCUUCAAAAUAAUUGAUUUACAUUUUAGUUUUAUUUGCAAAUCAUAAUAACCUUUUUAUUUUUUAUUUUUUUGUUUACUUUAUCUAAGAUACAUGUUAUGUUCUUAAGAUCAUAUCAACUGCAUUUUAUGUUUGGUUGAAAAAUAGAUAAGAAAAAUAAUUAUUCAUUUUAUUUAUCAUAUCCCUUUAUAUGAGAUUUAAUAAUCUCACGAAAAAAAAUGCAAUAUAGAUGUCUUUUAUAAAAAGAAGAAAAAUCUCAAAUGAAAAGAAGAAAUUUUUAUUACAAAAAGAAGAAAAAUAAAGCAUCUUUAUAUUUUAAUACAAAUUUAAAUUAUAUAUAUAUGAAAUACAAAUUAAUAUUUUAUCCUAGUCUAAACCCUCAAUUAAAUAUGAUCUUAAUUUAUAUAAUUUUAUAACUUUGUAUUUGUUUAACAUUCAUAAGAUGAUACAUGAUAUUUGGCUUUUUCUGACUACUUGAGGAAGUUGCCAAGACAUCUUCAUAGUAAAGAUCAAUCAAUAUCUUAUUUGGUUAGUGAAGCAAAACAAAACCCAAAAAAUUAUUUGUUGACUUUUUGAAAUAUUUCACCCACUUUUCCACAAAAAUCCAUAAUUGAAAAUUUCAUAGAUUCUUCCUCUGUCACAUGUCUUACUGCAAAGAGUCAAAGUCUUCCAAGGCAAGGGCUAAUAUCCAUUUACUGUUGAGAAAUUCACUCGGUAGGCCAUUGUUUGAAAACGGCACAUGUAUAAUGGACCACAUGAUAUAUGAUUUAUGACAAUAUAGUAGUCAAAGUCUUAUUGGAGGGCUAUGAUUUAUGAUAAUAUUGAAUUUAACAAUCUCAUGAAGAAAAAUGGAAUAUACUUAUAUUUUGGAUAGUAAACUUAUUUCUCAUAUUCAUUAGAUCUCUAAAAUAUUUAUUUUCAAAAUAUUUCAUGUUAAUCACUUUGAAUAAAAAAAUAAAUUAAAAAAUCUAAUUUUAAAAAGAUAAAAUUUUGGUUUCAAAAAGAAAAAAAAGAAGUAUAUUUAUAUCAUAAUAUAAAUUAAAAUAUCACACACACACAUAUAGAUUUCAUUAAUAUUUUAUCCUAGUCUAGACCAUCAAUUAAAUAUGAUCUUAUUUUACGUAAUUUCAUAAUUUACGUUUAUUUAAUAUUUAUAAGAAUAUGAUAAAUAACAUUUACCUUUUUCUUGCAAUGAUAGUACAAACUAAGUAAUUUUAAAGACCAAACUUUCCUGGCUACUUGAAGGAGCUAUCAAGGCACCUUCAUAAUAAAGAUCAAUCAAUAUUUUAUUUGGUUAGUCAAACGAGACAAAACAAAAAAGAUUAUUUGGCGCCUUCUUGAAGGAUAUUACCCACUUUUCCACAAAAGUCUCUAGUUGAAAAGUUCAUAGAUUCUUCUGCUAUCACAUGUCUUACCACAAAGGUGUUAAAGUCUUCCAAGGUGAGGACAAAUAUCCAUUUAUUGGUAAGAAAAUUCAUUGGUAGGCUAUUGUUUGAAAUUGGAACAUAUAUAAUGGACUAUAUAAUUGAUGUCAAUGUCAAUAGUCUCAUUGGAAUUAUUGAAGGACUAUGAUGCUUGAAGGGAUCAACUAAGAAUUUUGAUGGAAUUUCUAUUUACUCAUUCAAUUCUAUGCUAAAAAUGAAUAAUAAUGAUAGACAUAUACUAUAAGGUGGCUUGAACUCUUAAACUAUCACUUGAAAGGCAUUCACUAGAUCAACAUGUUUUUUGUUUAGGUGCUAGCCUAUGCAAUCUGCUGAGGGUUGGAGAUAAAAAGACAAUAAUCAAGUAAAAUUAGUAGAGUAGGUCAUCUCUUCAUAAAAGUAAUUUAUUUAAUUAUUUGUAUGAUUUGAGUUGUGAAGAUGGAAAAUUUAAUAAUGUGAUGUUGUUUUAAACAUUACUCCAUUUCAGCCAGAACAUUAACAUAAAAGGCUUAUAAACAAGUUUAUGAACUCUUGGCUAAUUUCAUUUUGUUCCAAAAUGCCUUCCAGAGGAGCAAGCCUAACAAUAGGCUCUUGGGGUAGUCCUAGUGAUCAGCCCAUACACAACUAGGCUAUUUCAUUCGAUUCCAAAAUGCCUCUCAAAGGAUCAACCCCAACAAUAGGCUCAUGGGUCAACCCUAGUGGUAAGCCACAACUUAGGCUGGUCCAUAUCCAUACACAGACUUAGGCCGAGUUAGGAUCAUGGACUAGUUUUUGGGCUUGUCCCCAUAGAAGGUAUUUUGGAACCCAAUGAAAUAGCCUGGAAUAUUGUUUAUGAACUCAUUUAUAAGCCACUAAAAGUUAAGUGUACUAACUUUAAAUGGAGAUAAUGUUUAAAUUAUGGAAAUAAUAGUACCAUAUUAUUGCAUUUCGCGAGAUAGACUACUUUAGCAUCUAAUGGUAACAUAAAUUAUAAUUGAAACUCACUUUAUUUGAUGACUAUUUUCUAACUAUUUCUAAUCCUUGGCAUAUUCCACAGGCUAUAUAGCAUCUAACAAUUACCAACUUAAUAUUGUAAUAUUGAAUGCAUAGCCAGCAAAAAAUAUUUUAAUAUUGUAGUGAUUUUUAUAUACUAUUUGGUCGUGCAUGUGAUUCUUCUUAAAGCACAUGAAAUAAUGUUUUUCUUAAAAAUUUGUCGUAUAUACUAUGUGGUCAUCAUAGAAAAUAAACCAUGACUUGUAACUGAAGCAUAAGAAUUCCAACAGUAGAAAUUUCGCCUAACCAACCCCCCAAUAAUAAGAAAAGAAACAAUAACAAUUGUUCAAUUGCUUCUUGUUUUCUUACUUUUAGGUUCUGCCUUUCCUGAAAGGACUCCAUUUGCAGACCAGAUUUUCAGUUUUUAAAGAUGGGGUCUUUAGAAUUAAUAUGCAGUAUUUGGUCCUUAAAGGCCCAGCAGACCCAUGGGCUAGCUGGCAAGGCAGGGCUAGCUAGCUUGGAUUUGGGCUAGCCCAGCACGUUUGAGGCCUAACAUCAUCAGUGCCCAAUUUGGCCGAGGAGGCAACAACUUUAGGGUUAACACAAACCUAUCUGGGCUACCCCUAAACUAAGAUUAAAUGGCUAGGACCCAAAGGGAGAGCUCAAAUAGAUCUAUAUUUGCCAUAAGACGAAGAAUAUAUCAGCCAUUGCUAGAUUCUAGGAUGCUAUAUUCUAGCAUGCUAUAUUUUAAAGAUUAUCUCCAAGUCUUUUUAUCUUUUUUGCUUUUUUCUUUGUUCUCACAUCUCCCUAACGUGAAGUGUUUGAGAUAUGCUUUUUCAUCUUAGCUCAUGUGUAAAGUGGUGAAGUGGGGUUGUUGCUUUAGUUAAUCUUAGGAUACGUUGAACUUUGAUGAUAAACUUUAAAUUAAAUAAAAUUUAAUGUGUUGGAAUCAUGGAUAAAUCUAAUAUUUUUUAAAAAUAAUUUAAAACUCAAAUAAUAAAUUCAUUAAUACUAAAAAUUUAUGGAUUAAAAUUGUUUCACAGUUACUUUAUUAAUUCUUUUCUACAUAUAAUUAUAUUUUUAUAAAUUUUUCUAAUUUUCUAUUAGAAAAAUGAACUUCAGAAGUGAUAUAUUAUGAGUUAUGACUUUAUUAUUUCUCCUAUACAAACUACUAUAGUUUUUUUAUUUUUCUCACUAAGUAAUAGAUUAUAAAUUAAGUAAGAUAUAAUUAAUAAUUUAAAUAUUUUAAUGAAUCUUUUGAUUUUUAAGAAUAACUUGAAAUUUAAAAACCAAACCAAUUAAUUGCAAAUUCAAUCAAAACCUUAUAGAAUAUUAUAUUCAUAAUUGAGUAUUAAAUGUGUACAUAUAAUAAAAAAAACUUGGUUUAUUUACAUGUUUAAAAAAAGUUAAACUUUAUUUUUUAUUCAUUUUAAAUGAAAUAUUAUUAGUAAUAAUUAUUUUUAAAUUACGUUUUAAUUGCAAAUUCAAUCAAAACCUUAUAGAAUAUUAUAUUCAUAAUUGAGUAUUAAAUGUGUACAUAUAAUAAAAAAAACUUGGUUUAUUUACAUGUUUAAAAAAAGUUAAACUUUAUUUUUUAUUCAUUUUAAAUGAAAUAUUAUUAGUAAUAAUUAUUUUUAAAUUACGUUUAUUUUUUUUAAUAAUAAAAAAAUUUACAAAGAUGUUAAUAUCCUUAUGUUUCUAACAUAAAUAAAAAUAGUGUAUUUCUUAAUAAAAAAAUAUAACUUAUGAUUUUAUGAUAAUUUUACUAUUUAUGUUAUACUAAAAGCUAUUCAUUUUUAAUUUACAAUGUUUUUAUAAAAUCAAAACAAAAAAAUUAUUUUGAAAAACAACCUAUCCAAACAAGUAUUUUGUUUUUUAAAAUUUAUGAACAUAUUAAUUCGGUUAUGCUUCUAACAUAUAUUGAAAUAAUGUAUUUUUUUCAUAAAAAUAUAUAACCUAUGAUUUUAUUAUAAUAUUACUAUUUAUGUUCUACCAAAAACUAUUCAUUUUUUUAUUUAUUUGUAAUUACAAAACUAUUUUCAUUUUUAAUAAGAUUUGAAUUAAAUUUUAUUAUUAUUAUAUAAAUUGAAUUUAUAUAUAUAAAAUUAAAACAAAAAAAUUAUUUUUAAAAACAACUUAUUUGAAACAAGUUUUUUGGUGUCUCCACAACAACUAGUUUGAAAACAAGCUCUUAAGUUCACCUUAUCAAUCAAAGCUUUCGUUAACACAAUACAAUCUUCUCUUCCUAUUUCAUGUUCAUUUAAAACAUUCAAAGGAAUGAAGCAAGCAUAAAGAGAAUAGGGCUUUUACUAGAAAAUUCAAAACUACUCUUAUAAUGAGAGACACCUAACCACAAAGAUGAUACAAACAAUGCCAACAAUAUUAAAUUAUGAUAAAUGUAUAAUUUUUUAAUAUUUAAUUAAUAUAUUAAAAACACUAUAAAGAAUAUUAUAAUGAUCACUUUUAUAUUUUUUCUAAUUAAUUACAUAAUUUUUUUUUUUAAUAUUUGAUGCAUGUUAUUUAACAAAUUAAGAGUAAAUUUGCUCUAGUGGUGCUUGUGAUAUUAGCGAGCGAUCAUGAUAUUUUAAUAACUUAUUAAAAUUAAGAAUAAAAAUAUCGAUAAUUAUAUAUAUCUAUUAAUAUUUCGAUUUUAUUUAAUUUUUAAGUCCACCAGGUCAUUUGCACAAGGAAGAUGAUUACAUAUAGUGUACUUAGGACCAUGGAAGAAAAUAUCGGUAAUCACGGAUAUAUCGGUAUUUCGAUUUUACGGAUAUAUCGGAUAUAUCGGAGAUAUAUCGGUGGAUAUUUUGGAAAAAAAUAUCGGUAAGCUUAAAAUUGUUAAAAACUCAUGAAAAUGUAAGGAAAAUAUCAUAAUAAUAUAAUUAGAAAUAUAAUAGACAUUUUAAAGUUAUUUUAUUAAAAUUUUUGAUAUAUGUAUAACAUGAUUUAUCAUAUUUGAUAAUAAUGUCGUAUGCAUCGAUAAAAAUAUGAAUUUUAUAAGUAUACAUUUAUUAUUAAAUUACACCUAAUAUUAUGAUAUUUGAUUAUAAUAUGUCUAAUUUUAAAAUAUAUAUUAGUAUUAAAAUAUGAUCCAUUUAAUUCAAUUGUAUUAAAUAAUAUAAAAUAAAUAAUGAUAUAUAUAUAUAAUUUUUUAAUAUUUAAUUAAUUAUUAAUGAUAUUAAAAACAUUAUGAAGAAAAUUAUAUAAAUUUUAUAUUUUUGGUAAUUAAUUAAAAGACUUUGCAUUUAAUUAUAAAAUAAUUAUAAUUAAUUUGCUCUUAAAAAUAUUCUUAUAUUUUCUUUAUAUAAUGAAAUUAAGUAUAUAUAUAGUUGUUGCAUUUUAUAUAUCAAAGGGCAACUUAGCCCAAGUGGUAAGCGGGUGAACCCCAAACCUUUUGGUUUGGGGUUCAAAUCCUCUCAGCAACAAAUAAAGGUGAGGCACUGUAGCAUCACUGUAGCGCGUUGGCGCGUUGACGGCACUGUAGCGGGGUCUGACUUUCGUUGACCCGCGUUGACCACGCGAUAUAUCGCCGAAAAAUCGGCGAUUUAUCGCGAGAAAUCGCCAAUUUCUCGCGAGAAUUCCCGAAAUAUCGCCGGACCGAUAUUUCUCCAUGAAAUAUCGCCGGACCGAUAUUUCUCCAUGAAAUAUCGUGUCGAAACCCAUCGAUACACGAUAUUUUCUUCCAUGCUUAGGACGUGUGUACUAUUCCCAUCCCGGGGUGAAUGAUCAUAAUUGUACCUCACUAGCUUGAGAAGGCAGAGGGGUCGACAAAGCCAGCUCAUGUAGACAAAACGGUCAGCCAUUGUGGGCCAUCCGACCUAACGACAAACUUGAUGAUGAAACGAACCUGAACUCACUCAUGCCACGUUUCCACAUUUCAUUGGGUUGACUUGUAAAGACUCAAAAAGUUUGGUCUAUUUAAAGGGGGUCACCUCAGCCUAGCCAAUUAAUACUCAAUUCUGAGCUCGGACCCCAUCACUCGCAGCUAUGGCAGAGAUCUCUGUGCCCCUAAUCUCUUUACUCCCUUCACACCCAUUUGAUUUUUUCAUCUGAAUUUCACAUUUUCUCGCUGGUUUAUAUAUAUAUCAGCCAUAUAUAUCAUUCUGGAGCUUCAUCAAUAUAAUCUGUAAAGUUUAGAUUUCCACAAAGUCCUCUCUUUUUAAGCGUGCUUAGUGUCACAGGAUGCUUCAAAUGACCCUCCCCAUGGGCUUAUAUAGGAGGGAUUAAGUCCGUGACAUUAAGCUGUUCUGGAGCUUGAGUGCAACACUUCAGGUGCCUUUUUAGUUGAUCAUAACACUUGAGUGCGUGAUCUUAAAAUCCUGUCUCAUAAUUAAAUCAAACACCUAGUUUUCAAUACCCUAAAGUCCUUUUUUUUUUUUUUUGUCAUUUUUAAAAGCCAUUACCCUUUUUUUAAAACUUGUUAUACAUACCUAUAUUCCCAAGGCUGAUUCCGCAACAAUCUUGAGUCUUCCAAAUGGUGUAAGUCACGAGAAAAUAUAUAGAGUUCUAAACCAAGAUGAACAAAAUAAAAAUGCCAACUUAAUCUAUCUAGGUCAAUGCAUUAACACUUUCCAUGGACGAUUUUGAAGGUGUAAAUUUUUAUUUUUUAUCCUUUCCUCUAUAACGAUGCCACUCUUUUGAUUCCAAGACAAAAGUCAGUUGAUGUAAUUUAGGGUUUGGGGUUUGUUCUCCAAUACUGAGAUCUCUAGUCAAUCAAGUAUAUUGAAAUCUCUAAUCAAUCAAGUAAAAGCAGGAUGAUUAAGCCGUUGCAAUGCCUCCCACUUUUCCACCAUGGUAGUGUUCUUUUCCUAAGGCAAAGACAUGAUAUUUUAUUUUCUUAAAUAUGGAUAUAAUUUUAUUUUCUAGCAUGCUUCUUUCUCAUGAAUUUAUUUAUUUAUUUAUUUAUUUUUAAGUUGAUGCCACUAGGACUGACAUUAUAAUUAAAUAUAAGAAAUAUGUCCAGCAUGAGUAUAGUGAUUAUUUUAUGUAAUCAACAACCUUGAAUAUAGCAAAUGUUUUGUUUUUCUACAUUGAUACAUAAAUAUUAGUCUAACAAAAUAAAUAAUUUAUUUUUUUAUUCUAAAAUAUUGACAAAUGAAUAAACAUGUCACAUGGUGUCGUCAUUGUUUUCUCUUGGGGUACAUAGCUAACAUGAUAUUUUGUUAAUUGUGACUUGCGAUCACCAGAGCAAGUAAUAUAAUAUUUUAUCUCCUACAGUAUGAAUACAAUUUUGUAAGAUGGCCUAUUUUCCUAUGCAAUUAUUUUCUUGCUAGAAACAAACUACUUUUCGUAGUUUUCCCUUUGGAAUUCACUUCAGAAAAUAAAUAAAAAAAUAAGAAUUUACUUCACAAAUCAGAAGAUGUACGAUGCCUUAUUAGCUUUCAGCAAACUCCUCCCUACAUUUUGUUCCAAUGCAUCUUGCUUUCUUACUUUUAGGUUCUCCCUUUCGACUCAUUUGCCCUACUCCUCCCUGUUGAACAGACUCAAUUUUCAGUUUCUUAAGAUGACGUCUCUAGAAUUGGAAUGCAGUAUCAUGUCGACCCAUAGGCUAGCUUAGAUUUAGCCUAACCCAGCAUGUUUGAGACCCAACAUCAAAGCCCAAUUGGGUUGAGGAAGCAAUUCUAGGCCCAACGCAAAGCUAUUUGGGUUAUAGCAUGAGGAAUUAUGCCAUGGCUAGUGGUGAAUAUCACUUUUAAAGAGAGACAAAAAUGUGUCUCACCUUAAUAUAAACUAAGUGUACAUGGUUACCAUAAUAAGCCUAACUAAUUCCUGAGUACACUAAUCCGUGUUUUUCCCCUCUUACUUUCUCUAGAUUGCUCAAACAUCAUUGGAUCAUCAAACAUCAUUUUGCCAUAUUUGGACCCGAUUUGUGAAGAACUGGUUGAAGUUGUAGCUCGACCAGUCCACCUUUUGCUUCUCCUUGCACUUGGAUGAUGGUUAAACAUGGGAAAAUACAAGUUUGAAUCACAAGUUCAAAAUCAAUUAAGCUAAAUGUUCUAUUAGCUAGGUUGUGUUCAAGGCAUUGGGGCUCAUUAGUGGAAGUUAAGAUUCAAAACACCACUCUAUAGUUCUUAAUUGGUUGUUAAAUGCUUUGAUCAAAUUUCUCCUAGUGUUUGAUUUUUCUAUAGCAUUGAAUAUCAUAGUUAGUAUUAAAUUAUGAGGGUGAAUGGGUACAUCAACUCAACUUGCCCACAAUGUUUGAUUUUUCUAUAGCAUUAAUUAUCAUGGUUAGCAUUGAAGUAUGAGGGUGACUAGGUGCAUCAACUUGUCCACAAUGUUUGAUUUUUCUAUAGAUAAUGUUCUAUAGCUAGUCAAGCACGAGGAGCUAUCUAAUUACUAGACAUACCCACAUGCUUAUGAAAGGAGGAGGCCUUGCAAGUUGUUAUCCUAUUUAAUAGGUGAAGGAUUAGAAUUACGGAAAAUAAUUGUCUUAAGUAUGUGUGUAUGUAUUUUUUUAUCAUAUUAAAUACAUGUUUUAGAUAUUUUUACUAAAUAUUGGAUUAAAACAGGAAUUUCCUAAGUAAUUAAAAUGACUUCUCUUGAACUUGAAUUCCCUUCUUUCCCAUUUUAGCAAAAAAAAAAAAAAAAGACUCCCUCUUAUAGAUGAUAAUUACUGCAACUUGUUAAAUUGUUGGAAGAUGCAUGUUUUAGGGUUUUGCUUUGAUAUUUUGUUGCUACUAAAUAGAUUGAACCAAUUUAAUAGUCUUUUACGCUCUCCACCUAAGACAAUUAUAUGUUAUUUAAUAGGGAUUUAGGGUGGAAAUUUCGUUUCAAAGCAUGAUGGAAGGUUUUUGUAUUUUUUUUUUCAAAGAACUGACAUAACUAAAGUUGAUCUCAAAAGCAAAUCCAAAAAUUUAUUAAAAUCAAAUCUGAGAUUUAAAGGAGGAAAAAAAAAAACAAAGAAAAAAAAANNNNNNNNNNNNNNNNNNNNNNNNNNNNNNNNNNNNNNNNNNNNNNNNNNNNNNNNNNNNNNNNNNNNNNNNNNNNNNNNNNNNNNNNNNNNNNNNNNNNNNNNNNNNNNNNNNNNNNNNNNNNNNNNNNNNNNNNNNNNNNNNNNNNNNNNNNNNNNNNNNNNNNNNNNNNNNNNNNNNNNNNNNNNNNNNNNNNNNNNNNNNNNNNNNNNNNNNNNNNNNNNNNNNNNNNNNNNNNNNNNNNNNNNNNNNNNNNNNNNNNNNNNNNNNNNNNNNNNNNNNNNNNNNNNNNNNNNNNNNNNNNNNNNNNNNNNNNNNNNNNNNNNNNNNNNNNNNNNNNNNNNNNNNNNNNNNNNNNNNNNNNNNNNNNNNNNNNNNNNNNNNNNNNNNNNNNNNNNNNNNNNNNNNNNNNNNNNNNNNNNNNNNNNNNNNNNNNNNNNNNNNNNNNNNNNNNNNNNNNNNNNNNNNNNNNNNNNNNNNNNNNNNNNNNNNNNNNNNNNNNNNNNNNNNNNNNNNNNNNNNNNNNNNNNNNNNNNNNNNNNNNNNNNNNNNNNNNNNNNNNNNNNNNNNNNNNNNNNNNNNNNNNNNNNNNNNNNNNNNNNNNNNNNNNNNNNNNNNNNNNNNNNNNNNNNNNNNNNNNNNNNNNNNNNNNNNNNNNNNNNNNNNNNNNNNNNNNNNNNNNNNNNNNNNNNNNNNNNNNNNNNNNNNNNNNNNNNNNNNNNNNNNNNNNNNNNNNNNNNNNNNNNNNNNNNNNNNNNNNNNNNNNNNNNNNNNNNNNNNNNNNNNNNNNNNNNNNNNNNNNNNNNNNNNNNNNNNNNNNNNNNNNNNNNNNNNNNNNNNNNNNNNNNNNNNNNNNNNNNNNNNNNNNNNNNNNNNNNNNNNNNNNNNNNNNNNNNNNNNNNNNNNNNNNNNNNNNNNNNNNNNNNNNNNNNNNNNNNNNNNNNNNNNNNNNNNNNNNNNNNNNNNNNNNNNNNNNNNNNNNNNNNNNNNNNNNNGGGACUGACAUUAUAAUUAAAUAUGGAUAUAAUUUUAUUUUCCAACAUGCUUCUUUCUCAUGAAUUUAUUUAUUUAUUUUUUUACUUUGAUACCAUAGGACUGACAUUAUAAUUAAAUAUAAGAAAUAUGUCCAACAUGAAUAUUGUGAUUAUUUUAUGUAAUCAACAACCUUGAAUAUAGUAAAUGUUUUGUUUUUCUACAUCAAUACGUAAAUAUUAGUCUAACAAAAUUAAUAAUUUAUUUUUUAUUUUAAAAAAUUGACAAAUAAAUAAACAUGUCACAUGGUGUUGUCAUUGUUUUCUCUUGGGGUACGUAGCUAACAUGAUAUUUUGUUAAUUGUGACUUGCGAUUAGUAGAGUAGGUAACAUAAUAUUUUAUCUCCUAAAGUAUGAAUACAAUUUUGUAAGAUGGCGUAUUUUUCUAUGCAAUUAUUUUCUUGCUAGAAACAAACUACUUUUCAUAGUUUUCCCUUUGGAAUUCACUUCAGGAAAUAAAUAAAAAAUAAUAAGAAUUUACUUCACAAAUCAGAAGAUGUAUGAUGCCUCAUUAGCAUUCACUACAAGAAAAUGUACUUUUCGUGACAAAAAUUUAAGGGCGAAUUCUAAUUUUGUAGCUAAAAGUAACUUUUACCGAUGAAAUUUUAUAUGUUGUCAAUAAUGCCAAUUUUCUACAAACUUUUCCUAACGAAUUUGAAAUUUUUGUCGCUAAAAGAUGUGGCGGGAAAAUUUGGCGCUUUUUUUUUUGUGCAAACACUUUUGUGACAAAAAUAAACUAUUUCCCUACGAAAAUAUUUAUCACUAAUUAUAAUUUUUGGUGAUGAAAAUAAUUUCCUCACUAAAAGUUACAACCUUUUAUCUAUUUUUGCUUACAAAAUGGUUUCGUCGGUAAUUAUAUUAUUUCCUGACAAAUUAAGUAAUUUUGUCACCAAAUAAUGUUAUUAAAUUGUGAUAUUAAUAAAGAAUAUUAAUAAAUAAGUAGAUUAUUUAUACUAUGAAAUAAUACAAUAUAUAUUUGUUGACACUUAAUAUUUAUACUAUAAUAUUUUAUUUAUAUAAAUAAUAAUAAAAAUUAAGGAUCCACAAAAUUAAAUACUAGAAUGUAGAUUUAUUUAAAUUUAAAUGUUCUAUUAUGUAAUAAUAGUAUUAUUAUGAAAUAACAAAAAUGUAAAUUAUUUAAGCAAUUAAUAUUUAUAGUGUAAUAUGUUAUUUAUAUUUAUAUAUAUAUAUAUAUAUAUAUAUAUAUAUAAAUAAUAACAAUAGAUAAUCCAAGAUAUGUAAGAUUACAUCCUAUGAUAUAAAUUUAUUUAAAUUUCAAUAUUAUUAUAUGGUGCUACACAUACAUAAAUACUACUAAAUGAUUUUUAUUAUAUUAGGUAAAAGUUAUCCAUACAAGUCCAAUGUAGUAAAUUUAUGUUAGCUAUGAAUAAGUAAAUUUAUUCAAAAUCAUACCUUAUCCACUCAAGAAGUAAAUUUAUACUAACAUUUAGUUACCUAGUUUAAAUUAAUAGAUUUUUUUUUAAUUAUUACUUGGUUUUUAAAUAAUUGGUCAAAAUUAACUUUCUCAAAUAAAUUGUCUAGUAUCUAUAAAAACAUUCUACCUACAUAAAAUUCCAAAUAUUAUUUAUGUGUACGAAGAUAUCAUAUAUUAUUAAUAAAUAAAUAAGUAUAAGUUAAAUAUUAUAUGAUAUAAUAUAUUGUAAGUACUAUAUGCCUAGCUCUAUUUUCAUAUUUACAAAAUAAAAAAUGUCUGAUAUAUAUAGCACAUAUGAAAUUCUCUAUAAAUAUAAAGUUUUUUUAAAAGUUUUCAACCACAUCUUUAUUAAUAAUUGGUUAUUUCAUUUUUUAUUGAUCAAUUAUAUAUUUAUUAUUUUUAAUUAUUAAUUACUAAUUUAUCAAAAUUGAUUAGUUAUUAAGAAUAAAAUCUUAAAUUAUACCACAAAAUAGUAACUUCUAUGGCUACUAACUUGUAAAGGAGUUUUUAUACUUGUAUGCAUUUUUAAUCAAAUAUUUAAAACAAAUGUAGUUAUAAAAAUAAUUGAAAUAUAUCAUAAAUUAUUAUAUGAUUUAUAUUUAUAGUGUUUCAUUAUGUUUGAUAUUUUUGUUUGGAAUAGAUGAGAAAGGGAAAGAAAAAAAAAUGAUGUAGAAUCCUAAUUUCAUUUUGAUCAUUAUUUUAUUAAUGUCAAUAUGAGUAUUACACUUUGGCAUUCUCCUAACAUUGUCUUUCAAUUAUACUUUUAUUUUAUAUUUCAAAUUUAUCACUUUAAUCCACAAGUCUGAAAUUGAAUUUAUUCUAGCUAUUAAUAAACUAUAGUCCUCUAAUUUGUUCUCAUUCAACAUUAGGUUUGUUUAGAGGUGACAAAAUUUGAUAUGACUUGUCAAUAUGACUUGAAUCUAAUACCCUUUCAUGAUUUUGGGUUGAGCAUAAUUGAGUUCAAGUCAAAUUCAUGUUGACUAUGGAAAGUGACCUUAAAUAAUAUAAGGUCCCAAUUCUGAUCACCAAUUGGUUUUCAGAACAAAUGGGGCCUUGUCAUAAAAUAUUCUGUGGUUAAGCGUGCUGCAGUCAAAGAAAUCUUAGGAUGAGUGACCCACUGGGAAGUACGGAGCACCUUGAUCUACAAGUGGUAUCAGAGCUUGGUCACAUGUUUGACGGGUGAGCUAGCACUGUGGGUGAAUGGCGAAGGCCUGGGGCGUGGCCAAGACAACUAACAAAGACGGUAGACUAUCACCGACGAAAUUAAUUUGUUACCAAAAAUAUUUGGCAAUAAAAAUAAAAUUCGUCAGCAUUAAAUAUUACGACUUUUGGGACAAAUUUUAUUUUUUUCGUGACAAAAAUUCUUACUUUUGUCGAUGAAAUAUUUCGUUGGAAAACACCUUCAGUGACAAAAUUUUAUUUCAUCAAGGAAAACUUUGGGCGACAAAAUAAGAUUUUUGUCACGAAACUUUUAGCGACGGGUCUAGGGCGACGAACAAGGCACGAAAGAAUUUUCGUUGGGGAAUGUUUUUGUAGACGAAAUUUAGACUUUCAAUGACAAAAUAUUUUGUCGCUAAAAGUCAAUUUUCUUGUAGUGAUUAAGCAAACUCCUCCCUGCAUCUUGUUUUUUUACUUUUAGGUUUUCCCUUCCGACUCCAUUUUCCCUACUCCUUCUUGUUGAACAAACCCAAUUUUCAGUUUCUUAUGAUGAUGUCUCUAGAAUUGGAAUGCAGUAUUAUGUCGACCCAUAGGCUAGCUUGGAUUUAGCCUAGCCCAGCACGUUUGAGACCCAGCAUCAGAGCCCAAUCGGGUUGAGGAAGCAAUUCUAGGCCCAACGUAAAGCUAUUUGGGUUAUAGCUUUUUGUUUAUAUGAAUUGCUAUUAUUACUAUGUCUAUUUGUGUAAUUAGAAAUCUUGUGCGUGAGAUUGAUGAAGACUUGAUCAUUGUUGAUAUUGGAAUAUUAAUUGAAUUUAUAGAUAAAAUAGAAAUUUAAUGUUGGGGAUAAUUACUUAGAGCACCUGUUCAUUCUUCUCUAGGUAGUUCCAUAUAUUGAGUAAAAAUUAAAAUAUCUAAAAUUAGAUAAAUAUUGGUUGUUGAAAUCUAUGCACAAAAAUAAAAAAUAUUUUUAGUAAUUUUGUUUAAUUUUAGAUAAAUUUUGAUAAUUAAUGUUUUUAUAUUUACAAAUGAUAUUUAUAUUAACUCAAGAAAAAAGAACAAAAUACAAUACCAAUGGCUAUGAAUGUUAAUUUCUUAUUUUAAACUUAAAAAUAAUUAAAAAGACAACUUAACGCUACAACAUUAAGUUAUUGGAGAAAUACUCAAUUUCAAAAAAUAGCUUUCAAACAAGUUUUUCAUUUUCUUGUUUUAUAAAAAAAAAAAAAGGGUAGUAGAGCAUAUGAAUGGAAUUUUCUCAGAAAAAGUUCCAUGUAUGUUGUCAAAUGGUAAAUUGAGCAAAAAAAAAAAAAAAAACAUUAUAAAUUCCCGCAUCAUUAUGGCUGAGGGAGGAAUGGAUCGCUACUAUAAAAGCCACAUAUAGUUGGGGAAGGAAUGGGUUGCUGCUAUAAAACCUCUUAUAGCAAUGUAUGGCCCAAUAGGACAACCACAUGGGCUGGGUUGCUACUAUAAAAGCUCUUAUAGCAAUAUAUGGCCCAAUAGGCAGAAUCACGUGGGCUUGUCCGCGACCAUAGAGCCACGAUAUAGCCACUAUCUCUCCUGCUCACUUUAGACUGCUGAACCCACUGAGAGCCAUGUCUUUUAUCCUUCACUCUUCUUAGCCACCAUUAGAGACCAUGGAACUCUUCUCCCAAAGCCAUAAUACCCAUCCUCAUCACUGUAUAUUUCUCCGACUAGAUUCUUGUCGUCACUGACAUCCUCAUCACUGAGGGGGCUUAGAUCAAUGACCAACUCGCUCAACGACCAAUUUCUUUAGCCACUUCACCGCCCACAUCUUCCAGGUAUUCUUUCGAUUCCUUCCAUGGCUUCACACUCUGUUAUUCCUUUCUUUCUUUCUUUCUUUGAUUUCAAAUUGGGUUUCUUUUCAUCACUUCUAUUUCCUCCCAUCUCUCUUUUUCUGGUUAGGGUUUGUGUUUGGAUUCCCUGGUAUAUAUUUACUAAUUAUUAUGAGCAUCAAACCCUCACCAUACUUUCUCAUGCCUCAUCUCUGCACUCUUAUUCUUCUUUCCAUUUUCAUGUGCAUCGAAGCUUAGCUUGGAAUCAAUGAUUGCUCGUGUCCCUUCUCUUUUGUCUUUUUUUGUCUUCCGUGCAUAAGAUGAAGUUGAAAAUUUUAGUGAUAUGAAAUUCAAUGCAGUCUGCUAUUAUUAUAGUGCCUUGUCUGCACCUAAUGAAAUCAAAGGUUAUGGAAGCUUCGGAUAGAGCAAAGCUCUUCCUAAUUAGGAUGCUACACUUUGACUCAUCUUAAUCUUGUUUCUUUUUUUUUUUCAUUUUAUUUAUCUAUUUUUUUAUUUUUUUAUUUUGAAUCCAUCAAAGUAGUAACUCCCUUGGACUAAUUUUGUUCUUCAUGUAAACACUAAGAAGUGGAAAAAUGAAUAUUAAGUUUAUCGAAAUUAAUGGGUAUGGACUAGAAGCAUUUUGUCAAAAAUCUGAAAAUUCAGAUGUUGAAAAUCAUAUCAUUUGAUUAGAUUUAUCUCAUGUACAAUUGCUAUUCAGGAGAAACAUUGGAUAGGUUUUGGGGUUUAUGCAAUUUUGGAGGGAAAAGGCUUCCUAAUUUACCUUCCUCAAUUUUAAUUUCUUAAAAUUCAAGUGGUAAUCUUAAAUGGACUUCAACAUCUGUUUUUCACCAACCAUUCUUUUACUUCUAUACAAAUCCUGUUAUCUCAUGUAUGGGGCAAAUGCAAUUUUGUGAUUUUCUAACUUCUUAAAAAUCAGGAAUUGACUUUUUAGGCUCAUUUUUACAUUUUUAAUUCAACUGAUUGACAUAAGCUUGAUAUUUGUUCUUUGAGUGGAAAUUCUGAUGCUUAGAGGAGAGACACUUUACUAAUUUUAUCUACUAGGUUGAAUGCAUUUGCUUUUUCUUCCUGCCAAUUUACUAAUUAUCAAAUUCCUUUUCUUUCUGGUUGGUUUUUCCCUAUCCUUUCUGUUUUCAUUUGAGGCCAUCAUAUCUCAGGCAAUUCACAUCCUGAGAGAGUUAGCUCCAACCAAAUUGGCAAGAGAGUUAGCUACAGAACAAGAUAUAAUAGCCAAGAUUGGCUUAUAAAUAUUCGAGAAUGAAAAUCUUACCAUUAUUUCAUUCUCUUUUAUUGAGCACCCAUUUUCCUUAAUGUGGAAUAUUUGAAACUCAAUGGUACAAAGAGAUACAAAAUUCAGAAGUAGUUUUAUAUUUCACAUAUGUCAUAGAGUUCUAAUUGAAAGACCAAUUGAAAGAAUCAAACUUUGGAUCUUAGGUAUUCAGUUAUAUGUUAUAACAGGUCUAACUGGUCUAAUCUACCUAAUUUGGUAAAUAAGAUGUUAGCAAGAUGAGGGUCAGCUUAGGAAGUCCCACAGCACAAGGCAAGCCACUUGUGAGAUUAAGCAGUCUGAUUAGGAAUACAAUGUUUGGCUUCACAAGUCAAUACAAGGCAAAAUUAAAACAUUAAUAAUUUGAUUUUAACCAAAAUUGAUGUCUUAACCACCAUGUUUCCUUUCUAAAUGAAGUAAGAUGGUUCAAUUUGAAUGGAACCUAAUUGAUUGGGAAAUUGAAAUAAGGUCACUUGCCGUUAGAAAUUGUUGUGAAGAGGAACUAACACAAUUUUUUUUUAUCAAACUUUGCUCUGCAUCAUGUUUGGCCCUCGAAACCCAUAUUUCACCUAAUUUAUUUGGUGGAAGAGGCUUCAAUGUAUCCACACUAACUAUUUGGGAUUCAUUUUUUUUUUCUUUUGGUUGAUUAUUCUCUUUUUUGCUUUCUUUUUUUCUUUGUUCCUUUUUGGUUUUCAAGUUAUAGAUCAUUUAAUCAAAGAAACAAUAACAAAAAAAAAAUUACUUUUACUUUAAUGUACUUUCAUUUUGGGUGCUAGGAGUCUUGUCUAGUGUGUGUGUGUGUGUGUUUUCCAGUUUUUAAUGUUUUUGGGUUUUCUCAAAAUACAAUGUAACUUCAAUGUUCCAUAAGAGAAAAAGAAAAAAAAAUCAAUCCCCAUCAAAGAAACAAAGAUUCAUUUAAUGAUUUCAUCUUACUAGUCACUUUAGCCAUUUAUCUGAAAGGGGUUUACUAUUAAGCUUCUUGUUUAGCUAUUUGCUAACAUCAUCCAUCUUCUUUAUCCAUUGACUACCCUAUGUAUCAAUAAUUUUAAAAACUCUCAUUUCAAUGCUUCAUUGUGCACAUGAUACAAUGAGCUAUAAUGCAUUGAAUUCCAGUCUUCAAACCUUUUACUUUCUUUUAUGUCAUGUUCAUUUGAUUUUUCUUUUUCAUUCCUUAACUGGAUGGGGGCAAUAGCCAUCUCUCUCAUUUGGCCCCUGCAUUUUGAAGAUAAGGCAUUUCCUUUUUCUUUCGUUGUGUGGAUGCACCUUCUAUGGCUAGGUUUAUCUUAAGUUGAAUAAAAAUCCAGUCCCCCAUAGGGCCAAUAUCAUCACUCCAAUGGCAUGUUUGCUUAUUGGCAGGGUGAACAAAUUGAGACUUUGGCAAGACAACAGUAAAGAGAAAGCAUAGAAAAGUUGAAACCUUUGGAGCAGCUCUAUUGUUAUCUUGAAAAGAGGAGGAAAUAGCAAGAUAUUAAUGAAAAAAAAUCUUUCCUAUUUUUCUCAGAAAAUGUGAUAGAAGUUUGAUAAAAUUAAUAAUUAAUAGUUUCCUAUUUUCUUUUUGUGGAAAAGGUAACAACAAAAAACUAUUUCAGAAGUUUUACCAUUAAGUCUGGAUUUUAUCAUGCAGGGGAUUAACCUUAAGCAUGAUAGAUAACCAGUAAACCCUUGACCAAAACAAUAUGAUUGCAAUUGGGGCUGCCAUCUCUCCAACCUCAUCAUACAAAGGUGGACAAUUUGAUAUCAGCUUAUUGGUCUGGAAGAAACUUAUUUUUUUUCCCUUUUGUUCUUUUUUUUUUGUUUUUGAUAUUGAAUAUGCUAAAGCUAAAUCUGAUUGCUAUGAAAGCGAAUUACUUACAAUAAGCAUAAGAAAUUUUUUAAAAUGAAUUUGUUUAUUAACUUAAUCUAUUCUAUAGAGCAUUUUAUCUUGCAAUGAUUUUUCCUUUCUUUCUUUCUUUCUUUCUUUCUUUUGAUCAUUGUAUGAAUUAUUACAAUAAUAAUAGUAAUAAAUAACAAGUAAUAGUUUUUAUAAUAUAAAGUUUUAUGUGAAAAGAAAUGCUUAAGAAAUUAAGUUUUUUUUAAGAAACAAAUGAAAAAAGGACUGAAACAGAAAAUACUUUUUUUUCUUCUUGCAUUCACAUUAUUGAAGUAUCUUAGAAUGAUAAUUAAGUAUAUAGAACAUCUUCUUGAGUCAAUUUUGGUCUUCAAAUAUUGAACUUGUGAAUGUACUUGCUGGCUUUGUAUUUAAACUGCCCUGAACUUAAUGAUUUGAAUAUGAAAUCCUAUACAAAUUUCUAUGCAGGUAUUAGUCCGAUGCCUUUCUUUGAGGUUAUGAUCUUUCCAAAAUCCCCCCUGGUUAGAUCAUAAGUAGAAUGAAAAUUUUAGAGUCCUAAGUAUGGCCUUUCUAAAGUUCUCUUUUAAAAUACAAGUUAACAAGUUCAUAAUGUUGCAUCACUAGUUUGUAAUCUCUUAAAUUCUAUUAUUAUUAUGUCUACAUUCCAUAUUUUGACAAAUUGAAAAAUACCAGUAGACGUUGCUUUAUAUUUUUAUUAUAAAGCAACCAGAUUUUUUAUUAUACUAAAAACAAUCUUUAUAUUUUGGUUUUUUAAAAUUAGGUGUUUAUUACAUGUUCUAGGCCUAAGUAGUUUAGUAAUUUAUUCUUUAAAGAUAGUUUGUACUUAUAAGUAGCAAUCCAAGUCAAAUAAUCAGCAAAUUAAGCUUAAGGUGAAAAUUUUCAAAUUACGAAAAUUUUACAUUUGUCAAAAGAAAUGAAAAAAACCAAGUUCUUAUGUGGAAUGUUUAUUUUUAUUGAUCUUAAAAGCUAAGUUCUUGGCUUGAUUGCUGAAGAAGUUGUUGGACAGGUCUAAGCAGGUGAAGUUUGAAGCAUUUAAAAUAAAUUAGAAUGCAUAUAGAAUGAUAAUUAUUUGCUAGUGAUAAUAGUUGUAACCUCAACUUUCUUUUGUUUCUGAUAUUAAGACAAUCAGUUUUUUUUUGAAAUGGCAUUUCCAAAAAAUGGAGUUGGCACUUCGUGGAAGACAAUGGGACUCUUUGGAAACAAGUGAUAAGUAGGAAGUAUGUGGUAGAAGAAGGGGGGUGGUAUACCUGAAAAGUGAGGGAAAGGUAUGGUGUGGGGUUUUGGAAGGAAAUUAGGAAGGAAUGGCCUUUAAUGAGGGGCAAUUUCAUUUUCUCCAUGGGGGAUGGAAGAAGAGUGAGAUUUUGGGAGGAUAGGUGGUGCGGCGACGACACUUUAAGCCAUUCCUUCCCUUUGUUGUUUGAGCUGGCCGCUUCUAAAGAGGAGUGGGUGGUUUCGGGGGAGGAGGGGGGUUGGAAUCCUCAUUUUUCUAGGUCGUUUAAUGAUUGAGAGAUGGAGAUGGUGGAGAGAUGGAUUUCAAAAAAAAAAAAAAAUGGAAGACUCUUGUUCUCCAAAGAGAGUAGGCUUUGAUGUUAGGUAAGCAACUAUAAGGGAGUUUAUUAAACAACUAGCCUCAAACAAAUAGCCUUAGUCAUUAUGUCUUACUUUCUUGGAAGAAGCUUCAAUACUAUUAAGGUGGCUAGGAGGAGUUGAGAAAAAAUGGAAAAUUUUAUGUGGACAAGUUUUCAUCUUGGAAACUAGAGCUUUGCAUCAUGGAAAGAAUAAAAAGAAACAUUGAGAAGUUUUCGUAGACUUGUUCUCAUGUGAUUUGUCACCUUGUUACUUGUGAAGAUCUCGUAACAUUAUUUUGCAUCUUGCAAAUUAGACUUGGGAAACUGCAAGGUUAGGUUCUCAUAAGAAAUUUUGAGGCAUGUUAGAUAAUAUUUUCAAAAAUAAUUUUUAAAAAUAAGUUUUUGAGAACAAUUCAUAAAAACAAUUUUAUAUCAUUUUUAGGAAUAAAAUUCUAUUUGAAAUUCUAAAUAAUGGUUUUCUUCAUUAGUUCUUGGUGAAUGUAAUUUACCAUGCAAAAUGCAAUAAUAUUAAAAAAAACACCAACCACUCUAUUUUCAUGAUAUUUUUAUUCUAAAAUUUGUUAGAUAUAUUUUUUAGAUUGGAAAAUUAUGUUUGUUUAAAAAAAUAAAAAACUAAUUUUAAAAAUAUUUGCAGACAAACCUUCAAUGUUUCAGUUGAAAGUACGUCUUUCCUUAUCGGAAACCACUUAGAUUAGUUCUUUGGAGGUUAGGGUUUGUUAUUAAAAAGUUUCCUAACACGAUGGUGGAGAUAACUACAUUGUUGAAUCAUGUAAAUUCUAUUGCUACGUGUCUAUUUUCUUUUCUUUUUUUUAAAGUUAAAAUUUUUAAAUCAUCCCCACAAGCAGCAUCAUUUCAAGGAGUCUAUGAAUUUUUAUAAUUGACUAUUUCUUAGUAAUGGUCGUGGACCAUAUAGUCCAUUGUAUGUAUGUGACCGAUUUCUCACUAUGUUUCAUUCUUUGUGUGGUCCAUUAUAAAUAGGGUCUAUUUUCAAUUUGUGUGGUUCAUACGGCAAUAUAGUCCAUUACAUAUGUGUGAUCAUUGUCUCACUAUGAUUCAUUCAUUGUGUGGUCCAUUGUAUGUUGAGUCUAUUUUCAAUUUGUGUGGCCCAUUGUAUAUAGGGUCCAUUGUAAAUAGGGGUACUUGUCGAGUUCAUUUUCUUGGCACUAAAUGAAGAUUUUCCUUGCACUUGGAGGGACUUGAUUCCUUUGCCUUUUGAAAUAUCCAAUGAGUUGGAUGAGAUAAAGGGAAGAACCUAUGAAACUCUCAAUUAUGAAUUUGUAUGAAAACAUAGGAAAUGAAUUUCAGGAAGAGGAUAAAUUAAUUGAUUUUUUGGUUUUGUCUUGCUUGACUGACAUUAAAGCCACCAAGCUAGUUUAUAAUAUGUCUAAUUUUGAUGAAUUUCUAAACCUCCAAGCUAGUUUAACGGGUUCUAUCUUAUCUAUACAACUUUUUCUAUGGAAUAUUAGGUAUCAAUCAAUUCUUUUAGCAGCAUGUUGCCAUCUCCAUGGAAUAUCUCAGUCAUUGUGUUAUGAAUCUUAUCAUGUUUUUUGGAUACUAAUUAUGACAAUGAAUGGCAAUUGGCGUUCGGCCUCUCAAACUUGACUAGUUUAGCUCCUUUGUCCCUAUGAGUCCAAUGAGAAAAGAAACUGAUGCAUGUAUCAUUUUUUAAAUAAGGGACUACAACUUGGACUCAUGAGAGAUCAUGUUUUGUUUGUAAUUGUAUAUCUUUCUCUACAUGCCUACCUUUAGAGUAAUUUAGAUCAAGUGGCUUUAAAUUAUUCUAUUUUUGUGAGUUUCAAUUAGCAUUCUAGUUACCUUCAUGGAAUUUGCUUUUAAUAGUGAAACCUAACUUGGUAUCUCUUGCAUUUUCCAAUUUGGAAAAGGAUGCCUUUAGUUAAUUAAUGUAAAUUGUAUGAUUAGAUUAUUUUUUCUUAAUAAUAAGGAAAUAAUAAGCUCUCUAGAGCAUCUCAUUACUUAUUAGGAAAAUUAAUGGCAAAAAAAGGAAAGUUGAUGUUGUAAGCCUUAAUUUUUCAAAUGAGAUUUGUUUAAUUUAUCUUAAAACUAAAUAAAUUGUAAUUUGACUUAAGUCUAAAUAGAACUUAAUUUUAUUAAAUAUUUUAAGAUUUAUGUUAAAAGAUACGCAUGACCUUAAUUCAAAAGUGAGCCUCAAAAGUAGUCUAUUGUACAAAAAUCCCAUUCAUCAUGAACCAUUGAUUACAACAUUUGCUAACUACACGUUCAUAAAUAAAAAUAGAAAAGAAAAAUAUUUUUUUAAGUCUAAUUAUGAAAUGAUUAUGAAAUUAACUUGUAAACAGGUGAAUAUUAGCCUAACUUGUUCUUAGCAGGUGAAACAUUAAUGAUUCUUGUACAUAGGUUAUUAGUUUUAAGAUUUCGUUGAAGCUAUUUGCUUACAAAGGGGGCGGCACCAUGACUAAACAAAACGAAGGGAAGAAGGGAAAAUUUUAUGGAGAGAAAAUCAAUAUAGAAAACCAGUUGAUCAAGAGGUUUGGGUUUAGAUUUUGCUUUAACAAUUGUCUUAACUUGUUAGAGGUUUCAAUGAAGGAUCAUACACUCAUCACAUAAUAUAAUUUCAUCUAGAUUGAUUUGAAGUAGGAUAUAGGAUAACCAUAAAAUCCUAACAAAAUUUAUUUUACCAAAAAAUAUUGUUAGUAAUUUCAAUCCUAGCCUUAAUCAACUUGCACGACUUAUACUUUUUAUGGAAUAACAGGUUUCUAGGCGUAUACUCCAUGUUUUAAUUGAGUCAUAACUUGUUCAUGACUCCAUAGAAUAAGGCAUUUGUUGGAAUUAAUGCAUUUGUCUUAUGUAUAGACUUUUUUUACUAGACUUUUUGUUUUUUUUUUUCUAUUCAUAGAAUAACAUGUAUGAAUGUGGCUUGUCUACUUUUAGUAGCAUUUUUUAAAAAAUUAAUUUAUGAGAACAGUCUUAACAUAUUUCUUUAUUAUUUCUAGAAAAAAAAACUAUUUGUAAACUUAAUUUAAAAACAAUUUUCUUAUUCUAUGUUUCCUCAAAGUACCAUACUUUUAUGUGCAUUGCAAUAUUUUGAGUUCAAUCUUUAUAUAUAUGUCUCUCAAAGUGGUUUUGAGUUUAGCAUAAUGAUCUUUUGAGUAAUAAUUGAAGGAAGCACCUGACAAAUUAUCUUUUAUUUUAUUUUUAGUAAUUCUACAUCUUUAUGAUAUGUAUCCCAUCUCAAAGUAAUUAUAAUGAUUUCCCUCCCUUCUUUGUGUGUUUUCUUUCUAUAUCUUGCAUUUUCUAACCCAAGACCACUCUUUUGUAUGUUAACCCUUAUCCAACUUACAAGGCUUUGGAAAUACUCAUGGACGCCAUAUUUUUCAAAAUAAUUUAUUCAAAUUUAGUUUUACAAGCAAAUCAUGACAACCUUCUUAUUUUCUGUUUACUUUAUCUAAGGGUGCAUUCUAUGCUCUUAAGGUCAUAUUAACUUUAUUAAUUCUUUUUAUCAUAUCAGAAUUUAACAAUCUCAUGAAAAAAAAUGGAAUCUACAUAUAUUUUGGAUAAUAAAUUUAUUUCUUAUAUUUGUUGAAUCUCUUAGAUAUUUCUUUCAAAAACAUUUCAUGUUAAUCACUUUGAAUAACCAAAAUAAAAAAUAAAAUAAAAAAUCUAAUUUUAAAAUGAUAAAAUUUUGGUUAUAUAUAUAUAUAUAUAUAUAUAUAUAUAUAUAUAUAUAUAUAUAUAUAUAUAUAUAUAUAUAUAUUAUAUUAUAUUAUAUUUCAUUAAUAUUUUGUGGGUCUAGACCGUCAACUAAAUGUGACCUUAAUUUACGUCGCAUGCGUUUAACAUUCAUAGAAAAUUAUAAAUAACAUUUAGUUUUCUCACAAUGAUAGUGAGAACUAAUUAACUUUUAAGAUUGAAUUUUCCUGGUUGCAUGAAGAAGUUGCCAAGGCACCUUCACAAUCAAGAUCAAUUAAUAUCUUAUUUGGGUAGACAAAGCCAAAAACAUUAUUUGUCACCUUCUUGAAAUAUACUACCCACUUUUCCACGAAAAUCCAUAUUUGAAAAGUUCAUAAAUCCUUCCCUUAGUCAUAGUUCUCAAUGCAAAGAAGUGAAAGUCUUUCGAGGCAAGAACAAAUAUCCGUUUAUUGCUAAGAAAAUUCAUUGGUAGGCAUUUUUUUUUUUUAAAUUGAGACAUGUAUAAUGCACCAUAUGGUUUAUGACCAUAUAGUGGUCAAUGUUAACAAAAUCAGUCUCGUUGGAAUUGUUGAAGGAAUAUGAUGCUAUCCAUUUAUUGCUAAGAAAAUUCAUUCGUAGGUCAUUGUUUGAAAUUGACACAUGUAUAAUGGACCAUAUGAUUUAUGACAAUGUAGUGGUCAAUGUCAACAAAGCCAAUCUUACUAGAAUUAUUGAAGGAAUACGAUGCUUGAAAGGACCACCUAAGAAGUUUGAUCCACAUACUAGGGUUGUUGAUGUAAUAAUGAGCAUUCAUAAUCUUCAAAAUAAUUAAUUUAUAUUUUAGUCUUAUUUGCAAAUCAUAAUAACCUUUUUAUUUUUUAUUUUUUUGUUUAUUUUACCUAAGAUACAUGCUAUUCUUAAGAUCAUAUCAACUUUACUUUAUGUUUGGUUUUAAAAUGGAUAAGAUAAAUGAUUAUUCAUUUUAUUUAUCAUAUCCCUAUAUAUGGGAUUUAACAAUCUCAGGAAAAACAUGCAAUAUAUAUGGCUUUUAGAUAAUAAAUUUAUUUCUCAUAUUCAUUGGAUUUCUUAAAUAUUUCGUUUGAAAAUUUUUUCAUUUUAAUCACUUUGAACAAAAAACAAAUAAUAAUAAUAAUUUAUUCCAAAAAGAAAAAAAUAAAAGUGUGUUAUAAUACAAAUUAAAAUUAUAUAUAUGUAUAUAUGAAAUGCAAAUUAAUAGUUUAUUCAAGUCUAAACCCUGAAUUAAAUAUGACCUUAAUUUAUAUAAUUUCAUCACUUUGCAUGUGUUUAACAUUCAUGAGAUGGUGAUACAUAAUAUUUCACUACUUGAUGCCUUUGCCUUUAGAAAUAUCUAAUGAGCAGGAAGAGAUAGAGGGAAGAAGCUAUGAAUUUCUCAAUUAUGGAUUUCUAUGAAAAGAUAGACGAUGAAUUUCAGGAAGAGGAUGAAUUUCAAGUUGAAAUGAAUUUCAUUAAAGCCACCAAAUUGAAAUGUCAAGCACUGUUACGCAAGUUUUUUAGUCUACCUAUCCCUAGAUUUAAAAAUUAAUUAAUUAAUUGAUUUUGAAUGCUAGUGGGGCUCAGACCUUCUUGAAACCUAAUUUGAAAGAUGUAACUUGAAAGAUAAAGUCACUCGCUCUGGAGGAAAAGUCAUUGACUAUGCAAGAAAAGGCUAAUAGGGAAUGGAGCUCAAUUUCUCUAUAACUAAUUAAUUAAUUAUAUAUGUAAUAUCAUAUAUAUAUAUAUAUAUAUAUAUAUAUAUAUAUAUAUGAUAUUAUUUUCAAGAAAAUAUGAUAUUUAAAGAUGUGGAUAUAUAGAAAAAAAUAAUAUUUUUAUGUUUAUUAAAAUAUAUUAUACUAUACUAAUAUUUGAUGUAUUGAAGGAGUAAAUAAUAGAAUAAAAAACAUAUCCUAUCCUAAUGUUUCAAAAUUUUUAAAUAAUAUAUGAAUUGCAUCCAACAUUAUUAUUAAACAAGAUAUAAUCUCUCUUAUGAUUCAAUAUUAUUUAGAGACUUCUCCAUCAUUUAUUUUAAAUUUGUUAACUAUAUCUCAUCCUAAUGUUUCACAAUAUUUUAAAUAAUAUAUGAAUUGCAUUGAAACAUUUGUUUUUAAAAAAGAUGUGAUCUCUCUUACAAUUCAACAUUAUUUAGAGACCUCUCCAAUCUUUAUUUUAAAUUUGUUAAACAAUCUCAUCUUGAUGUUUUACAAUUCUUUAAAUAAUAUAUGAAAUAUUGCAUUCUAACGUUUAUUAUUAAAAAAAGAUACAAUCUCUCUUACCAUUCAACAUUAUUUAGAGACCUCUCCCUUGUUUAUUUUAAAAUUGUUAUUUUAGAGUUUAUACUUAUGAAAUUAUUACAUGUUGUUAUAUGAUAUAUAUUAAGUUUAUAUAUGAUAUAUAAAAACAUUUUUAUAUAUGUAUUACAAAAAAAAAUUUAUGAUCCAUUAGAUAUGCAUCCCAUCUUUUUUAUGUGGUUGUUAAAUAUCAUGUGGAGGAGAUACUGGGAAGAGGGUGAAUGUAUUAUCUCACCUUUUAUCUUUAUUCUAUAUUCUAUCCACCAAGUUAAACAUUAAUUAAAGGGCAUAGUAUAUAUGGUUGAAUAAAGUUAAUAACAAGCCCUUUCAAGUAAUAUGAUUGAAGGUUUAGCUCCUCCAAGAUCAGUCUUGAACAAUGGAAAUGUGAGAUAGAGAUAAAGAAAGGCGUAAAACCAAUCAAAAGUUAGAGAAAAAAUUGUUUAUAGUGUUUGAUUCUUCUAUAGCAUUGACUAUCAUAGUCAGUAUUGAAGUAUGAUGGUGACUAGGUACAUCAACUUGCCCACAAUCUUUGAUUUUCUAUAGCAUUGACUAUCAUAGUUAGUAUUAAAGUAUGAGGGUGACUAGGUACAUCCACUUGCCCAUUGUGUUUGAUUUUUCUACAACAUUGACUAUCAUAGUCAGUAUUGAAGUAUGAGAGUGACUAGGUACAUCAACUUGCCUAUAUUGUUUGAUUCUUCUAUAACAUUGACUAUCAUAGUUAGUAUUGAAGUAUAAGGGUGACUAGGUACAUCAACGUGCCCACAGUGUUUGAUUUUUCUAUAGCAUUGACUAUUAUAGUCAGUAUUGAAGUAUGAGGGUGACUAGGUACAUCAACUCGCCCACUAUGUUUGAUUUUUCUAAAACAUUGACUAUCAUAAUCAGUAUUGAAAUAUGAGGGUGAUUAGGUACAUGAACUGGGUACAUCCAUUUGCCCACAAUAUUUGAUUCUUCUAUAGCACUAAUUAUCACAGUCAACAUUGAAGUAUGAGAGCGAUUAGGUACAUCAACUUGCCCAUAAUUUUUGAAUUUUCUAUAGCAUUGACUAUCAUAGUCAGUAUUGAAGGAAGAGGGUGACUAGGUACAUAUAGCACUGACCAUCGUAGUUAGUAUUGAAGUAUGAGCAUGACUAGGUACAUCAACUUGCCCACUAUGUUUGAUUUUUCUAUAACAUUGACUAUCAUAGUCAGUAUUGACGUAUGAGGGUGAUUAGGUACAUCAACUUGCCUAUAGUGUUUGAUUCUUUUAUAGCAUUGAUUAUCAUAGUAAGUAUUGAAAUUAUGAGGGUAACUAAGUACAUCAACUUGCCCAUAGUGUUUGAUUUUUCUAUAGCAUUGACUAUCUUAGUCAGUAUUGAAGUAUGGGGGUGACUGGGUACAUCAACUUGCCCAUAAUGUUUGAUUUUUCCAUAUAGAAUGUUUUGUAGCUAGCCAAGCAUGGUGAGCUAUUUAAUUACAAGACAUACCCACAUGCUUGUGUGAAAGAAAGGAGGUCCUUGCAAGUUGUUAUCCUAUUUAAUAGGUGAAGUAUUAGAAUUAUUGAAAAUAAUUGUCUUAAAUUAUGCGUCUAUGUAACUUUUUAUUAUAUUAAAUACAUGCUUUAGACAUUGUUACUAAAUACUGGAUUAAAACAUGAAUUUCCUAAGUAAUUAAAAUGACUACUCUUGAACUUGAAUUCCAUUCUUUCUCAUUUUAGCAAAAUAAAUAAAUAAAAUCCCUUUUAUAGAUGAUAAUUGUUGCAAAUUGUUAAAUUGUUGGAAAAGGCAUAUUAUAGGGUUUUGCUUUGAUAUUUUGGUGCUACUAAAUAGAUUGAACCAAUUUAGUAGGCUUUUACACUCUCCACAUAAGACAAUUAUAUGUUAUUUAACGGGGAUUGAGGACGGAGAUUUCACUUCAAGGCAUGAUGAAAGUCUUUUUUUUUUCUUCAAAGAACUGACACAACUAAAGUUGAUCUCAAAAGCAAAUCCAUAAAUGUAUUAAGAUCAAAUCUGAAAUUUCCAAAGGAGGGAAAAAAAUAACAAAGAAAAAAAAAACUCAUAUUUGGUAUAAGUGUAUAAUAUAAUUGAUUUUUAUGAAUUUCUAAACCUCCAAUAUAGUUUAAUAGGUUAUAUCUUAUCUAUACACCUUUCUCCAUGGAAUAUUAGGUACCAAUCAAUUCUAUUGGCAUCAUGUUUCCAUCUCUACUUCAAGUCAUAUUUAUGCCUGGACAUCUGUGGAUGGACCUUAUACCAAUGCAAAGCAAGUGGAGUAGCAAAAUUUCUUAGCCAUUGCAUUAUGAAUCUUAUCAUCUUUUUUGGAUUCUAGUUAUGACAAUGAAUAGCAUUUGACACUCAGCCUCUCAAACUUGACAAGUCCCUGUGGGACCAAUGAGGAAAGAAAUUGAUUCAUGCAUCAUUUUAUUGUGGGGGACUACAACUUGGAACCAUGAGAGAUCAUUUUUUUGUUUGUAGUUGUAGAUCUUUCUCUAUGCACUCACCUUCAAACUUUCAAAUAAUUCUCCUUUUGUGAGUUUAGAUUGUUAUUUUGCCCUUGUGGAAUUUGCUACUACAUUUCUAGUGAAACCUAACUUGGUAUCCCCUGCAUUUUUCUAAUUUGAAAAAAGUAUGCCUUUAUUGACUAAUGUAAGGCUCUCCAAAAUCUGAUUUUGAUUUUGUUUAUUUCUUUAUGAAUCAUAUCAUCAAUUUUUCUUAUGAAUUUUCUCUUAAGAAUAAGGAAAUUAGUAACUCUCUAAAAGUACCUCAUUUCUUAAUAAGAAAUUAAUGGUAAAAAAGGACAUCAACUUGCCCACAGUGUUUGAUUUUUCUAUAGCAUUGACUAUCUUAGUCAGUAUUGAAGUAUGGGGGUGACUGGGUACAUCAACUUGCCCAUAAUGUUUGAUUUUUCCAUAUAGCUAGCCAAGCAUGGUGAGCUAGUUAAUUAUAAGACAUACCCACAUGCUUGUGUGAAAGAAAGGAGGUCCUUUCAAGUUGUUAUCCUAUUUAAUGGGUGAAGUAUUAGAAUUAUUGAAAAUAAUGGUCUUAAUUAUGUGUCUAUGUAACUUUUUAUUAUAUUAAAUACAUGCUUUAGACAUUGUUACUAAAUAUUGGAUUAAAACAUGAAUUUCCUAAGUAAUUAAAAUGACUGCUCUUGAACUAGAAUUCCGUUCUUUCUCAUUUUAGCAAAAUAAAUAAAUAAAAUCCCUUUUAUAGAUGAUAAUUGCUGCAAAUUGUUAAAUUGUUGGAAGAGACUUAUUAUAGGGUUUUGCUUUGAUAUUUUGGUGCUACUAAAUAGAUUGAACCAAUUUAGUAGGCUUUUACACUCUCCACAUAAGACAAUUAUAUGUUAUUUAAUGGGGAUUGCGGACGGAGAUUUCACUUCAAGGCAUGAAGAAAGUUUUUUUUUUUUCUUCAAAGAACUGACACCACUAAAGUUGAUCUCAAAUGCAAAUCCAUAUGUGUGUGAAUAGAAAAUCACCAAUAAUUGUUAGUUUUUCUUUUAUGCACCUGUAAGAGAUAAUAAUAAACUUAGUAGCUUGUUAUGCUUUUGAAAUUAAUAAAUCAUAAUCUAUCACGUGAUGAUGCCAUACAGAUUAAUUUUAGGUGGUGUUCUUCGACUGAAGCCUAGGACUUUGUGUUCCUUCCCAUGGUUCCCACAGGGUUUCUUUUUUUUUUUUUUUGGGNNNNNNNNNNNNNNNNNNNNNNNNNNNNNNNNNNNNNNNNNNNNNNNNNNNNNNNNNNNNNNNNNNNNNNNNNNNNNNNNNNNNNNNNNNNNNNNNNNNNGGGGGGGGGGUGUCUUUGAUGUUUCCAUAUGAAGAUACGAAUAGAUAAAAUGAAAUUAUGUCAAAAUUUCCGUUUCCAUAUCAGGGUGCAAAGGAAAAUGGCAUGGGCUAAUAUUGUGUAGCAUGUACCUUUUUCUGGCUUCUUUAUGUACUCAAUUUCAGAUUACAUGUCAUUACUCAUCUUUAGCCUGCAUUUCCCACCUUCUGCUUCACAAUUUCCACACACAGGUUUUGACCAAUUCAUGGAAAAUCUAGAUUCCCCAUAUUCUAUAUUUAAUGGGAGUGAAGUUUCGGAAAUCUAGCAAGCAAAAUAUAUUCAUAAAUAAAUUAAAAUAGACAUUGCUCAUAGAUACGUACUGAAAUACAAUGUAUGGUAUUAUCGGCAUAAUUCAUGUAGUAUUAUGGUCCUAUCACAUCUAGCACAUUUCACAUUUCUAAAGAUAAAAGAAAUAGAGUCCUAUAAAUAUAAGGACCAACUUACUUUUAGUGUCAAGAAAAUUGACUCGAUGGUUUUAUUUGAAAAGUCAUAUUCAAUAAAUAAAGCAUCAAAAUUGACCACAUGUACAAUGGUCCACAAAAAUUAUUGAAGGAGUGUGAUGGCUGUAGGAGACCAUUUUAAAAUUUUGAAUAUUUAUUUACUCCUACAAUUUUAUGCUCAUAAUGAAUUAUAGUAAUAGACAUAUACCAAGGAAAGGUUUGAGCUCUCAAAUUGUUCCUUCUUUGUUAAUUCUUUCUCUAUUAAAAUGCAACUUUUGAUUUGAGAGCCUGAUUUAAAGUGUGAAGGGUAAGAUCAAAGUCCUAAUUAAAUUUCAACAAGGAGUAGAAAUCUAUGAAUGGAGAAAUCAAAGUGUCCACUAAUUUGAAGAACCAUAUAUGGAAUGGUGCAAUCCAAUGUCCAAGAAUGUAAUUGUAACCUUUAGAGGGCCCAAGGACACUUCUCUAACAAAAACUAUAUGGAAUUACUUACAAAAGAAAUGUUGUACUUGGCACUAUUGUUCCUUGAAAGCCCAGAUUACUACUAGCAACAAGUUAUAACAAAAUAACUUACUUGAACAUCUACAACCCUAAUAAUUAUUUUUGUAGAAUACUUGAAAAAAAAAAAAUAGAACUUCAAAGGAAAUGGAGGAUUUUCUUUGAUAAUUUUACGGGCAAGCAAGAACACUAUUCAAACAUCUAAAAUGAUAUUUUAUUACUUGUACAUAACCUUUCUUACAAGGAACCAAACUAUUGUUUGAAGUAGAAACUUUAUUUUAUUACAUACACUGAUCUCAUAGAAACCUUACACAUAAGACACAAUCACACAUUAUUAUUGGAUUACAAAAUAAGCAACUAGAUGGAGUAGGACUACCUUCCAUUUAAGCUGAUUGUACCCAUGGAAUUGGAUGAUGAAAUUGGUACCUCUACCAUGGAUUGCUCAUGAUUCUCGAUAGACCAUAGAGUUGGCUUAGGAGGCAUUUUCAAUAGUUCAAUCUCUCCUUCAAGCAUCUCCAAUGUUUUGCUCAUUGAAGGACGAUCCAUAGGCUUCAUUUGUACACACCAUAGCGCAACUAUCACCAUUUUCCUUACAUACUUUUUUUCAUCCUCAGUGGCAUCUCCCAUUUCCAUGUCCUCUCCUUGAUCAUAUCUAUCAUAAAUCCAUGAUGGGAAAUAUAUUUGACUUGAAUGCUCUGCAAAUGCAUUCACAUUCUUCCUUUUUCCCACCAUUUCCAAUAACAACAUUCCAAAACUAUAAACAUCAGCCUUAAAUGAUACACCUCCAAUGUUUUUGUAGAACAAUUCAGGAGCAAUGUAGCCCAAGGUUCCUCUAGCAGCAGUGACUGAUACAAUACUUUCAUCUGUUGAGUAUAAUUUUGCAAGACCGAAAUCUGAAACUUUUGGUGUGAAGUCUUCAUCAAGAAGAAUGUUGUGUGGCUUGAUAUCAAAAUGAAGAAUUUGCAUAUCACACCCUUGAUGUAAGUAUUCGAUCCCACGUCCUACUCCAAGUGCAAUCUUGUAUAAUCUUUCCCAACUCAAAGGAAUGUUGUUUCCUUGAUCAAGAAAAACAAACUUAUCAAGAGAUCCAUUGGGCAUGUAGUCAUAUAUAAGGGCCCAUUUUGAUCUCUGUAUGCAAAAUCCAACAAGUCUCACCACAUUAACAUGAUGAAUUCUUCCAAUUGUAGCAACUUCAUUGAUAAAAUCUUGCCCAUUAGCCUUUGACAUAACCAACAUUUUUACAGCUACAAUGCGGCCACUUCGGAGUUUUCCUUUGUACACAGAGCCAAAACCUCCUUGACCCAAUUUAUGCUUAAAAUUAUAAGUCAUCUUCUUUAUGUCUGAAUAUGUGUAUUUGAUUGGUCGAAGAUUUUGGUAGUUAUGUAGGAAUUCUUCAAUAUCAUCAUCUAAUGAUAAGUGUCUCCGUCGAAACUUGUUAAUUAAAUAGGCAAAGAGGCACAAAAUACCAAUCACAGCUCGUCCGAUGAUGAUCAUGACUACAUAUAAAUCACAUGUUAAAGAUAUGAAAAACGUCAGAGGAAGAUUUAUAAUCAUCUAACCACAUUCAAUCAUCAAAUGAAACAAAUGAAAAGGUCAUUUCACCUAUAUCUUAGGUUUUGGAUUUCCACUCAAACAUAGUCAUGUGACUCUUUUUCUUUUGGGUGACAGCAUGAUAUACAUAAAGGAUGGAAUAAUCAAUUGAGAAAAUUUGUUUUGUUGUACAAAAUUAAGGAAUGAAAUUAGAUGCCAAAUUCCAACUCUAUUCUUCAAUUUCCUUGUACUCUAACAAAUCUGGGAAUAAUUUGAAAUCAAAUACAUCACAAAUUUUUAAAAAAAUAAUAAUAAUUUUAUUUGAAAGAAAAUUUCUGAAUUUCACAAAUUGGAAUUUCAAUUUAUGAUUCAUUUUGUACAACCAAAUGCAUUGCCAAACUUGAUUGUCGGCUUUUAUCUUGAAUGAAAGGAUUCCAAAAGUGCCAGGCAAAAAGAGGUAUAAGACGUGUGCAAUUAUAUACUUAUUGAGAUCUGGAAGCCUUACCCAUGAGUUGAAAUAUAUAGACUGCCCCAACUGCAAACAUGAGAGGAACAAAAAUUAUUAAGUUCAAGAAAAGAAAGAUUCAUACAUAUGAUAGAUUUAAAAUGAGCAGGAAACAAAUAGAAGAGAAAUAUUAUUACUGCUAUUGGUUUUGAUUAAAAAUUAGGAAGAGAUGGAUAGGAUAGAAGAGAAAGGGUAAUAUUAAUAAUAAUAAUCAUCAUCAUAGUUAUUAUUAGUUAAGUGGACGAAAAAUCCAAUCAUUUAUUAUACUAUUGAUUAAUUUAAAUGUCUUAUAAUAUUUUUAAAAUUUUUAGAAAUUUAUUAUAUAUAUUUAAAUUAAAAAUAAAAUUAAGCACAUACCACAUACUGACUAUUGUGGGAUUGAAUGUGUAAUUUAGAAUAACAGUUCUUUAUUUUAUUCAUUUAUCGUGAACUCCAAAAAUAAAUUAUCAUUUCAUUUUAUCAUCAAAUUAAUAAUUUUUUAUUAUUAUUAUAAAGAACUUCUCAAAGCCUUACCAAUUAUGUCUCCAUCCAAAAGAUAUCCGAAGUCUGCAGGUUGAAAUUCAGUAAAUAUGGUCAAUGGUAAAAGUAGAAGAAGCUUUUGCAUUUUGCUCUAUGUGACUGCCGACUAGACAAUGAUAUUAAGCAGCCCAUAGGUACCAUCUUGAAAUUGAUGGAAUGAAAAUAAAAAAAUAAAAAAAUAAAAAUCUCUAUCUUUCUUCUACAACAAAUGGAACUAAUAAGCCUUACUUUGGAUAAAGUAGUCCACACCUAAUAUAUAUCCUGUUAACAGAAAAACAACAUAAAUUGAAUUUAACAUGAGAAAGAUAAUAGAAGUAAAAAUGAACAUGAAAGAUAAUAAAAGUAAACUCCCAAAGUCUCACUGAUUAUAAUUGGCAGAUAGGAAAAGAACCCAACUGCAAGAUCAAACCAAUUAAGCAAAUAUUAUUAGUUAUAAAAUGUUGAAGCAAAAUAAAUACAUGAAUGGAUAAAAAUAAACAUUGCUCAUACGUUUGGUGCACUGUACGGUAUAAUUGCUAUAAUUCACAUCGCAUUCUAGCCCUUUCACCCAGCAUUCGCUUUUGCAGCGGAAGCUCAAGAAUGAAAGUUCAAGCCCCAGAAGCAGCAUUUCUUGCAAAUCUGACAUUGAAAGAUUGCCGGGCUUCAAGAAUUGAGUAAUAAUAGUCCUGCUGAUGGUGCAUGGAUACUUAAUAUCUCCCACUUCCAUGGACUCGCUUCCGACUAGUGCAUAAACAUAUGCUUGUGAGGAAGAUGAAGUCGCAUUGCAAGGAGUGAUAGGAAUGUAGCUGCCGUCACUUAUUGGCUGGUCGCAAUUCAUUAAAACUGCUGUACUGGUCAUUCCCUUCCACUCCAAAUAAUAUGUACUGUAAUCAUCGAAGAUUUCUCUUGUCAAGAAAUAGAGAGGAGUUGAGAGACAGUUGCCCUUUUCGACCCCAGGAUCCACUACCCGAAUGGUAUAGUGAUCGUAGUUGAUAUCAGCAACAUAGUAUUUCUCACCCUCCCGGACGUUUACCAUAGUACGAUUGUUUUCGCAGACCAAUUCAUAGUCAGGAUCACCACACCCAAAUGGAUCACCUUUCAAUCGGAAAGGGUUGCUGAUGUUUUGAAUCUCUCCACAAGAAGAGGGUCUGCAAGUCUGGUUUCCAUUAGCAGCACAAAUUGCAAGCAAGAAAGUGUGGAAGAGCGCUAACGCCACAAGUUGUGCUUCUCUAAACAUCAUAACAUUUGAGAGAGAUACGGAGUUGGAAUUCUUCUGCUUUUAUGUUUAAUUUAAGAGAGAGAGAUCAAAUUAUCCCCCAACAGGCUUGCGGUCCCAAUUUUCCUGCAACGUGAAAAGAGUGUGAAAUGAGCCUUAUUGACUGUUAUAGUCAACUACUUUGAUUUUUCUAUGUAUGGAUAACUUCACAUUGAAGAAACGCAUACCCACCCUCUGUUCAUGAUCAGGUUCAAUCAUUAGAGGCUUCUGAAUUAGCAUAAUGAAAAUGAAAAUCAAGAAUCACUAUAUUUGAAAUUAAUUUUUUUUUUUUUUUUAAAAAGGAUCUUACUACUGAAUUAGCAACUUUCCUCGACAUGGGCCAUAAUGUAUACCAAAUUAACCUUGUACAAAUAAUGAAUUAUGUACGGUAUCAUGCUAAGUUACCAUUUUUCCAAUAAUUUAAACUUCUAUAUGUUUUAUAUAGUUUAUUAUUAUUUGUAUUUUAAGUUUUGUUUCUUCUAACCAAAUGCCUACUUUAAAUCAAAAUUUGAUUUUUAAAAAACAUACAAAAUAAAUUAAGGAGGACGGUCCAUUUAGAUUUAAAUUAUAAUAAAUGAAGUAUUAUUAAAUUUUAGAGUAGGUAAUGUGACUUACAUAAAAAUGUUUAUAUGUAUAAAUUAAAUGGAAUACUUACAUUUUGAGAGAGACAAAAUAAACAUAUACAUGUGAUACAGGGUGAAAGGACAUUGUUAUAAAGUGAAAAUCAAUUAGUAAAAUGUACCACCGCAGUAAUCCUCCUUCCUACAAUUCUUCUCUAUAAAUUUUCAGGCUAAUCUCCUCGCGAUAUUUGUAUCUCCCUUUCCACUUUCUUUUCUAUCCCAGAGAUUUCUGUCCUUGGCAAAAAUCACAAAUUCCUUCCAUAAAAAUGGAUCGAUAUCUCUGUUUGUUUUUGUUCUUGUUUCUGACCUUGUUUGUGGAGAUGAGAGGGGGCCGAGAUGAGUGCAUGACAUCGAAUGGUUGUGGCGACCAGGGUCCACUCAUCCGGUUCCCUUUCCGUCUAAAACACCAGCCACACCACUGUGGAUAUCCGGGAUUUGAGUUAUCUUGCACUGAGAAUAAUCAGACCAUGCUAGACCUGCCAGUUUCGGUAAAGCUCUUGGUGAAGAAAAUAGUUUACAAAUCCCGGGAAAUCAUUGUCCAGGACCCGGAUAAUUGCCUUGCGAGACAGCUUCGAAACCUCAAUUUAGCUGCCUCCCCCUUCUACUUCAAAUUUGGACUGGACUUCACCUUCUUCAUUAAUUGUUCCUCAUAUAAAACUCCAGAACCCGGAUCGUGGGCUUAUGAUUUUGAGCCCAUCCCUUGCCUUUCUAACCCUGGUAACCCAGUUUAUGCUGUUUAUUCCUCCGGAUCUGUCCAAUAUACGGAUCUAUCCUCUUGCCGCAGGCUUUACAACGCUUCAGCUCCAGGUAAUCGAGAUUAUGGGGAUUAUAUGUUCAAUGGAAGUGCAUUUUCUUUGAAGUGGUCGAAAUCAAUAUGUGGAAGCUGCCCAGAAGGAGGAAAAAUAUGCAGACUGAAGAAGAGUAAUAGCAGGGAACCAGAAACUGAAUGUAUUAAAGGUAAAGAGACUGCAUCUUAAUUCCCCAUUCAUCUUCUAUUCAUCUUCUUUUCAUCUUUCAUGCUCACCUCAUAUCCUCUACUAUGAUUUAAUAUACAAAUGCUCCAUUUUGGAAUUAAAAAAAAACCAUUGUAAAGGAUAUGAGCUGAUAAAUUCUGCUGAUUGAAUUUGCGUUUUAUUGGGAUUUUGAAAAUCUGAAAAAAAAAAAAAAAAAAAAAAAAAAAAGAAGAAGAAGAAAGGAGAAUAAUUUGAUUACAAGGGAUAAAAUUAAUAAUCUCUAAAUCUGAAAAAAUAAUUUAAAAUAAUUAGUGAAAAUAUUUUUUUACAUUUUAAAACUCCUGUUAGAUGAAUUUUUGGUUAAAGUAAUAUAUUGUUUUUCUUGCAUUUCACCUCAAAACAUCGAGCUAAACUAAUGGAUCCAAACUAAGGCCUUUUCUUUUCUUUCUUUGAAUUUUUAGCGCUCAAUAAAAUUAAGGGAAAUUAUUGAACAAAGAGUUAAAUGUUUAUUUGGAUUUAGUUUUUUGAAAAAUUAAAGAAAUAAAAGAAAAAUGUUAAAAGUUCUUUUAUAAUGGAUUCUUUCCUACCUACUUACAAUUAAUAUUUUUCUUUAUUUUCUUCUUAUUUUUCCAAGGACGGGAACCUAAAAAUACAAAGUAAUACAAUUGAUAUUCAUUUUCUAGUUUUAAUGGUUAUCCACAUAGAUGACUUUUCCCUUAUACCUAACAUGAGAAGUUCGAUGUUAAUGGUCAAUUGAAUCGCCAAGUGUCAUCGUACCUACCAAUUGGAUCACUGUAUAUAAUGGUAUAGAAUAAGGAUAGAGAUUUCUUCACAUUCCUUUUACAUAGAGUUUCAUUUUUAUUUUUAUUUUUAUUUUUGUCAUAAAAUUGGAUGAAUUUGUGUUUAGGGAGUCAUGAAGACAAUACGGUAUUAUGAAACAUAAAACUAUGAUACAUAAUAGGGAUUAGAAGGGUAUGUUUUAAUUUCCACUACAAGUUAGGAUAGAGUUAGUAGCAGAAUUGGUAUUACCUCAAAAAUGAACCAUAGAAUACAAGAAAGGGACCCAAAAAGAUAAGGUUGAAGCCUAGAAUAAAAUUAAUUAGAUUAAAAUCAUAUCACAUGAACAUGUAAUUUAGCAUGUUUUUAUUAAUUCCAAGAGCAUAACAAGCUAAUUCCUUUUUUUUUCUUAAUUUUUUAUAGGUGUAUCGAAGAAAUUAAUUGUGAUAGGUAAUAUUCUAUUUAUACAUAUUUUAUUAUAGAGAUAAAGAUUCUUAAUUUGGUUAUUUUACCUAUUUAUUUAAAUAAAAAGUUUAAGUUUUCUUCUUUUUAUUUAUGCAGGUGCAAUCUUUGGUUUCUUUCUUCUCAUGUUAGUAAUUGUUGUGGCUUAUCGAGUCUAUAGCUCAAAUAAAGUAGAAAGAGAUAAUAGAGUAAAGGUUAAAAAGUUUCUAGAAGACUAUGAAGCUCUCAAGCCCUCAAGAUACUCCUAUGCUGAUAUUAAAAGGAUUACGAGUCAAUUCAAAGAUAAAUUAGGGGAAGGAGGAUAUGGAACAGUGUACAAAGGAAAGCUUUCAGAUGAAGUUUUUGUUGCAGUAAAAAUCCUUAACAAUUCUCAAGGAAAUGGGGAAGAGUUCAUUAAUGAAGUAGCAACAAUGGGUACAAUCCACCAUGUUAAUAUAGUUCGUUUAGUUGGAUUUUGUGCUGAUAGAUUUAAACGAGCUCUAAUUUAUGAGUACUUACCAAAUGAGUCAUUGGAAAAGUUCAUAUUUUCAAAAGUUGUCAAGAACUAUUCACUUAGUUGGAAGAAACUUCAAGAAAUUGCUAUAGGUAUAGCAAAAGGAAUUGAGUAUCUUCAUCAAGGUUGUGACCAAAGAAUCCUUCAUUUUGAUAUCAAACCUCAUAAUAUUUUACUUGACCACAACUUUAAUCCAAAGAUUUCUGACUUUGGUUUAGCCAAAUUGUGCUCCAAGGAACAAAGUGCAGUCUCUAUGACAAUUGUAAGGGGAACAAUGGGCUAUAUCGCUCCAGAAGUGUU
rnacentral:lncRNA from 1 species